AGAGAACUUGAGUAUACGAGAACUCUAAAUCUCGUGGUGACAUUGGACUUGUCAAAUAACAAUUUGAUUGGAUCUAUUCCAGAAGGAAUAACAUCACUUGGUGCAUUGCUUAACCUAAAUCUAUCAUACAAUCUUUUGUCAGGGCAUAUCCCCAAAAGGAUAGGGGAUAUGAAAUCUCUGGAAUCUCUUGACCUCUCUCAUAACAAACUUUCUGGUGCAAUUUCAGAAAGCAUAUCUAGUUUAAGUUGGUUAAGCCACUUAAAUUUGUCCUACAACAAUCUUUCAGGACCAAUUCCCAUAGGAACUCAAUUGUCUACCUUUGAUUCUUUUAUGUAUGCUGGCAACACGUUUCUGUGUGGACCUCCACUGCCAAAUAAGUGUUCUGAUGAUAAUUUGCAACAUGGCAAUGACGAUGAAGAAAAAGAUCAAAAAGAGGAUAAAGUAGAGAAAUUGUGGUUUUACUUUGUCAUAGCACUUGGCUAUUUUAUUGGAUUUUGGGCUGUUAGUGGAAGCUUGUUGUUGAAGAGAAGUUGGAGACUUGCUUACUUUCAAUAUAUUGAGGAGUCAACACAGAGGAUAAAUGUAUCAUUGACAAUACAUUUAGCAACUUUUAAGGAAAGAUUGACAGGAAUGGUGGUGCUGAGUGACACACUAUGGUAGUCUUUAUGCAUUCUGUCUCUCUUUUAUGUUAUUGGAGGAUUUCACGUGUUUAUUUUGCUUGAUAAGUAAUUACUUUGGACUUUGUAAAAUAGUAAUAAAAGCAAGUUCUAGAAUUUCUAGUUUAACUAAUAAUUGCUAAAAUAUUGCAGAGUGUAUCCUUUUCCAAUUCCCAAAUAGUCUGAGUGAUACAACCUCCCCUACACUCAUUUAAGAAAGGUUGAUGUUUUUGUGACUUGAGAAAUAUAAUUAUUAUUAUUAUCAUUAUUAUUGUUAUUAUUAUUAUACAUCUUUAGUUUCAACAUGAAGAAAAUCAAUGUGCGUGUUCAUAUUUCUGACUUCUGCGAACAGUUUUUCUCCGUCCCACUGUUGUACAUAAAUUUUAUACAUUGUCAUACGAUAUAUAUUGCUUUUUCAUUAGAAAAUUUAAUACUGAAAAGUAGAAUAUUUUUUGUUUCAAAACAAACAAAACAAUAUUUAAAUUUAUUGUUUUAAACUAACUCUUAAAUUAAAAUAAUUAGCCUAAAGAAAAUUUAAAUUAUUUUACAAAUUAAAAAUUUUAAAAUAUAAGAGGCCAUGAAGCUACAUUUCCAAGUAAAUACUUCAUAACCUUUUUAUAAAAAGAAGACCAUGUGCGACAGAUAAGGCAGAUAGUUAAUUCAUGAAUUAAAUAUAUUUUUAAUUUUUAAUUUUGGAUACAAAACUGAUAUUUAUUAAUAUUUUAAAUUUUUUAUAUAGAUUGAUUUUAAAUUUUAAAAAUAAAAAUUAGUAAAAAAAUAUCAUUUUAUGACGACUUUAUUAUAACGAAUAAAAAUCAUCCAUCAUGUUAAUUGGUGAAUAAACAUAAAACAUAUUAUGGCAGAAUUAUAGAUAUCAGUCUUAAUAUACAAUAUGGUAGCAAAUUUAUAAAUAAGUUUAAAGAAACUUAUUAUGACAGAGUUAUGAAUAUCAAUCAUAAUACCUAAUGCGUGGUAAAAUUGUAUAUAAGUUAAAAACUUAUAAUGACGAAGUUAAUGAUCUCUGUCAUAAUAUCUUAAUUUUUCCAGCCCUGUAAUCUUUAACUUUUUCGAGAUUUUUUUUCACUUCGCGUUUGCAAGCCCUAAUUUCUUCCCUUUGCUCUCUCGUUUGCGUUCAUCACUCUCAUUCAAUCAUGCGUUCAUCACUCUCAUUCAAUCAUGCGUUCAUCACCCUCAUUCUUCCCCAAUCCCUAAAUCCUCCCUUCCGCCGUUUAUCAUUUAUGGUGACCAAGCCAUCGAAGUGGAGUUCGCCGGUCACCGUCGAGUUCAUCGGUACGUCGUCGAAUUUGCAAAUAUCUUAUGGGAUUCUAGCGUUACUUGGACUUUGGUAGAAGGAGGCCAAUAUCUUAUUCGUAGGUCUCGAUAACGUUGGCAAAAUCACCCUGUUCCACAUGUUCAAAGACGAGGUUCGUCUUCAAUUUCAUUUCUUUUCCCUUUUUCAUUCCAAUCGUUACCGAUGUGUAGUAUUGUUGACUGUCAGUGAACUUUGAACAAGAAUGAAAUGGUCAUCUAAUAUGCUUGAUACGCUUUUCGCAGGGAAGAGAUCUCAGCCCUAUAACUGCGAAGCUGUGGAAGAAGUUCUUUGAAAACCUGUUUGACACAAAUUCCACUAAUGAAGUGGUUAAGAGGAUGAAGGAAAAGAAAGUUUCAUUUAAAUGGAUUCAAUUGUACGAGGUAACAUUUUUAAAUUUGCUUUGCUGUUUUGUUUUCAAGCUUGGAUAGUUUAAAUGAAAGAGAAAAACUAUAUAUAUAUAUAUAUAUAUAUAUAUAUAUAUAUAUAUAUAUAUAUAUAUAUAUAUAUAUAUCUUGACAAAAGAAAAAAGCUAAGGUUAACAUCCUAUCAGGUAUUAAGAAUUAAAUGCUAGAAUUAAGCGUAUGUAUAGUUAGUGAUAUUAGCUAUUANNNNNNNNNNNNNNNNNNNNNNNNNNNNNNNNNNNNNNNNNNNNNNNNNNGAGUAAUUAAUCUCAUUUCCAAUUCUGUGCACAGGCAAAAGGAAAGGAAAUGGCUCAGGUUGAGAAUGAAGCACUUGAUCGAAUCAAACAACUGUACAAAAAAGAAGAUGCAAGUAUGAUCCUAUUCCCUGUUUUAAAAAAAUACCAGUAUAUCUGUUAAUUACUGAUUUUAUACGAUUAGCCUUGCAUUUUAGCCUAGGAGCAAUGUAGCAGUUCUUGGAUAGUUAUAUUUUCUGUGACAUGUUUGGUUUGAAGUAGUAGUUACCACCAAGGAUUGGAUCACUGCAGGAAAACAGAGCAGGCAAGUAAGGCCUUGCACUAAAGUUCCACCUUCAAGUAAAAGAAGAUUUUGUGGAGGUAACCCUUUAAUUUCUUAAAUCUUUGUCUCANUAGUUAAGUACAUUUUGAAUUUGAUCAAGUAUAUUAGUUAUUUAGUCUUUUAGAUAGGAGCUUAACUAGUUGAGACAUGAGAAUUAACUGUUACUUACAAGAUAGGUAAAUAAUGAACAAAAUAACUUUAUAUUUCAUCUAGGNUUUUGGACUCUGUUAGCUGCAUCUACAAGAAAGAAAUGAUGAUUUCACAAGAAGAGUUGGUCCUUAGUCCAGUCAUAAAUAAGGAAAAGAAAAGGGUAAAUAGUAUAAAUAGUAUAUUUUAAAAUAUAUAGAUAGAUAGACAGAAAUAUUCGUAAUCUNUNUGACAAAAGGUGUUUGAUCUCCAUUUUGGUCUUCUCAGGGUAUAUUUAGCUCUGUCAUCAAAGAUUUUACUGGCAGUAAAGAAAAAUUUAAGUGUUCUACUUUUAUAAGAUAUAGGUAGAUAUUNCUAUGAUUGAUCUAUAAAUCACUAUGGCUAAAUACAAUAAUUAGGUGUCAAUGUUGAAUUUGAAUUUCAAUCAUGGCCAUGAUAGAGUAUCAUAUAGGGAGGAACUACAGAUUUUGCAGUGGCAGUCCUUGUCUCUAUAAUGGAAUUUUUGUUUUUUUAGUCAAAAGAAAAGAAUANUAUUGCCUCACUAUAUAGGUUGUAAAACUAAAAAGAUAAGCAUUACAAUCUCUACCAAUCAUAUGAAGCAUUCUCAAUACAAAUUAUAGAGAAACACAAAAGUAGGCAUCAAACAAAAAUUACUAAGAGAAUCUGAAAUGUAGGAAAUCACAUUUACUUCAACAAAAUUCAGACACUAUAUAAUAAAACAAUUCAUCUUACCAUGCAAAAGAUAUAGUUCUUAGACUUGACAUUGGGAUGGAAAUUUGCUAUGCUUGUGACUUAGUUCCAUUUGAAAAAAUUAUACUUAAUUUUGAGUCAAAAAAAAUUCUUUUUAUACCAACUUUUGAACUGGUAUAAAAUAGAAGUAUAAAAAGUAGUCGAAUUUUUAUAUUAGUUUUAAAAUUAUUAUAAAAAGUUUGUUAAUAAAAAGAUAAAUUUGUAUAUGAUUAAGACUUUUUAUAUCAGUUUAAUAAUGAAUUGUUAUAAAAAGUAUAACACUCUAUACAGAUUAACAUUUCAAGAGUGACAGACAUCAAUUGGAAUACCUUCGCUCUUGAAGAUAUUGUUGACUAACCUUAAACAGAAAACAUAGUUUCUUCUUCAAAGAAAGUUGUAUUAUNUUCUAAAAAUAUGAAUAUAANGGUUUUUGCUAAUUUGGANAGAACAUUUAACUACUAGUAACAACGAACAUGGAAAUCAAAUAAACAUUGCUAAGGUUUACACUCAAAGACAAUAAUAUUUGACUUGUAUUGUUAUGUACAAGAGAGUUGUAAAAAUUUACAUGUAAUUACAAUAAAUACAUUGUAUGCUUAAAUCAGUUAAUUAGCAGCCCUGCGAUGUGUAAAGUUUUCUGCAUCCACUUGGGAAUAUGUGUGCUUUUAUAUUUACAUUACAAUUUACAAAGGAAACUAAGUAGUGAAGUUGGCACAAAAAUGACAGGAUCAUAAUCCUUCUGAAAUUUUUUUGUUGUUGACAUAAGGCAGAAGGUUUUGGGCGAAGAAUGUAGCAAGUUGUAUGGUUUUUACUGCUCUGUUCAUAUCUUAAUUUUACAUGCAAGUUGCAACAAAAAAAAUUAGUGAUAAAAAAUGCAUUUUAUAUACUUUGAACUAGUUAAUGAAUGAAUCUUUCUUGACACCAGGUUCUCACAUAUUUUGCAUCAAGGCGUGCUACCUCAUUAGUUGUUGAUAGGUAUGAGAUUUUUUAAGCUGAUGACAAAUACUUUGGUUAUGUNUUGAUGAUAAUAUUNAAUAGAAUGCCCAGAUUNGGUACUUGUGAAUUCUGUUAGGAAGAUAGUGCAAUACACUUAUUAUCCUUUUUAUUUUUCAGUAUGUGACUAAAUUUUUGUUGUCACUUUACUUUAAAUUCAUUGAUUGUAGAUGACAUGCCACAUUACAAUACUACAUUCUGAUGAGGAGUUUUGUUCAUUAUUUCAAAAUUUAGUGGUGCUGGAUCAAAUUGAAGCGCUCCGUCUCUUCGAAACUGUCUACGAUUGAAGCGCUUUCACUUCUCCUUCAAGUCUAUUGGUUUCCCUUUAUUGAAGUGCUUUGGAGUUCCUUAUGAAGGCUUUGAGCUUAAAAUAGAGAGUCGUGGAUUACCUCCUGAUGGUGGUGGCAAAGUUAUUUUAUCACUUCGUGUUGUUCAUAGUCUAUCUGUAAGUUUUAAAUUCUUUUUUAUGAUUUCAUCUUUUAUUUUUAAAUUUGAUUGUUAUAUUAUGUGUUCUUCCUAGCAGGCUGGUAGUUGGAUCGAUGAAGAUUUUGUGAAGAAAAUUAGAGAAAUUAUAAUUAAAUUUUAAAACCUAGCAAAAUAGUAUGAUCGUGUAUGUAUAUGGCGGGUGAAUAUGUCUCAAUUGCAACUUUAUAUGAUUUUUCUUCCCUAAGGUGUUUGUGAAAAUGCUGCAACGAGGGAAAUGGUUGGAUUGAGUUUUAUAUUACUAUUAUGGCUUGUUGAAUACUGUAUGAGUACUAUACGACCCUGUUUUGCACUUACGUGGAUGCCAUAGGAAUGGUGGGUUUGUGUUGGAAGAAUGAUUUGGAAUUUUUUAUUUAGGUGGCAUGGCUUUGGGGGUGGGAUAGGGUUUCGGUCUAGUCCAGGGGAAAGAAAGGAAUCUGCAAAUCAUGCUUCCAUAUAUGUGNAAAUUGUUUGAGAGGUUCCUAUAUAUGCUCCUUGUUAAUAAAACAGGCCAUGAGUAAUUGAAGCGAAUGUUUAAGAGGCAAAAUGUUUAACUAUGAUCUUCUGUUNUUGAAAUUCAUAAGAAUGAACAUUUUAGAUCUUCAUGAAUAGGUGUUUGGGAACAUUGUUGAUCUGUGUUACCUGUUGAUCGAUGAAAUCCAAGAAAUAUGAUUAAUACUUUAUAUUUCCAUGCAUUUGUUGGAUGUUUUGUUUUAAAUCCAUAAUUUAUGUUUAGAAGUAGUGUUCAACCAAAAUGUGUUAAUUACUGUUAUUAGUAGUAGAUGAUUUCUAGUUGUAACAAUUAUGGUUGUUAAGUUAGUUUAACAUGGUAAUCCUUAUNUUAUUAUCAUCAUUNUGGAGUAUUUUGGAUAAUGUUGUAUCAGAAAAUGAAAAUGAGUCAUGUUUAAUUACCAUUGCUAUUAACCAUUUAUUAUUGUAUGCAAAGAGAUAUAUGGACUAUUAUUUGCCAUAGCUGCAACUACAGCAUAUAAGUUUAGUUGACUAUCACAAGCUUGAUAGAAAUUAUAAUUUGAUAGCGUCUUUCUUACUAAUAUCCUGCCUCAGUGAUAUAUUUUACUUCAUUACUAAAAUAUUAUUAUUGGCCAAGUGCAGAUUGAAGGCAAUAAUGCAAAAGCAGAUGAUGCAAUCAUGCUUUAUCAAGAUGGUUAUUUGUCAGAAACCAAUGCAACUAACCUUGUAUGUCCUCAAAUUUACCCUUAUUGUCAAAGAAGUCUUUAUUUUCAUUCUAAGUUAUGCUUAUCAAUGAAGUGUACAUUGGCAUUGAUUGGACUGUUCUGGUUUGCAAUUUUAGGUAAUGGAUCUUGUGCAAUUUUAGGCAUUGAUUGGACUGUUCUUGUUGUAUAAAAUAUUAUUUUUGAAAAUAAUAUAUUAUGAUAGGUGAAUAAUUACUUGUCAUAAUAUAUAUUAUGAUAGGUGAAAGAAUCAUCGUCAUAAAACGCUACAUAUUAUGAUAGGUAAAGUUGCUAUAUUAUGACAGAUAAGUGAAAAUCUAUCAUAAUACACUGGACUAGGUGACAGAAAGUUCGUCAUAAUACAUUGGACCUAUUAUGAUGGACUUUUCUGUCCGUCAUAAAAUGCACAGGACCUAUUAUGACGCCUAGAACUAUGACACUAAGUUAUCCGUCAUAAUAGGUCAUAUUUACCCGUCAUAAAAAGCAAUUUUUCCACUAGUGAAAUAUACAUAGUCUCAUAAUUUAUUUAUGCUAAAUUUUGUUGGUGUGUAAAACAUUUUUCAAAAUAACGUUUAUAUUGUUUAGACAACUUUUAACUCAAAUAUCAAUCUAUAACAGAGUUUAACAAACCCGAAAAAGUUAACGACAUUAAUUUAAAAUAACUAUGUUCAUCUAUUUUUAAAAUUUGAUAUAAAAAAGUAUCAAAAUCUUAAAUAAAAAAUAUAUUUAAAUUUAAGAAUUAAAAAUAUAUUUAAUUCUUAAUUUAUGUAUUUAUCAUUUAUACAUUAAGAAAUUCUUAUAGAUAUCCAAAAAUUUUGAUGUAAAUAUUUUAAAAGUGUUAUUAAUUUAAAAAUAAUGAGAUUCGAUUAUUUUAAUAUUAAAUGAUUUUAAUAUAAAUAGUUUUGUUAUAUAUAAGUUUUAUUAUUUUAAAACUUAUUAUUUUUCUAGAAAUUAUUUUUUUAGAAUUCUCUUACUUCUCUUUAGGAGUUCUUCUCAUGCGUUCACAUGUUUGAAGAUCAAAUAUUGUCUGAGAGAUCAUAGUAGAGAGAUUUUUGAGUCUCCCGGUCAAGUUUUCCAAAAUAGUAACUUAGUUUGUACUCUUUUUCUUCGAUAUGUCUCGUUUCCUUUGCAUGUGAGCCUUAGUGUUUUUGUAUGUGAAGUUUGAGUCCUCUAUAAGACACUCUGAUGAUCAGUGGUUCUAAUAGUGUACCUAGAUCAUGUUUUUGUUGUUCGUAGGUGUAGAUUAUAUCCUUUGAUCUUUGGGAACUUUUUAAGGUUCUUUAAAGUCAUGAAGUCGUUUAACAGGUAAGGAGAACUAGCUAAUUUUGUUUUAACUUAUAGAUAAGUCUUCGCAAGAGUUCCCAUUGGACAAGCAAAACUCAUUAUUUCUAUCGUGGUUGGGUGAGAGUUUUGGAUCGCUAGGCAUCAGACUUUGUAUUGGGCGUUAUUUUCUGUAAUUCCUUUUAUUAUUUUCUUGGGUUCUCUGAUAAUUGUCUUGUUUGAUUUUGAGCUACAAUAUACUUGAAUUGAUAUUUAUUGAUGCUCAUUGAAUGAUAUAAGUGUGAUUGUGAGAAUGGAAGAUAUGUGAUGUGAGAAGAACCUUAACGAGAGGUUUUGUGUUUGACAAAGCUGUGGUGUAUGCUUGACAAUGGGAUUUCUAAAAGAAGAUAUCAUGAUAUUCUACUAACCAUUCAGCUCGUGUAGAGAUUAAUGGGGUUGCAGAGAGAAUUGAAGGAGGUAUUUACCCUAGACUUUUUAAUCUUAAGAGUGGAUGAUUAACCUCAUAAUAGGUCGAGUUACCCUUGUUUAUAACUCUACAUAGUAUAAAUACUAUCAUUGAUGCACGCCUUCAGUGAAGUUUAUGCCAAAGCAUCGUAUCCGGAUAAUUGAGUCUAGAGUCAAAUGAUGGUAUGUUUAUAUGAGUUAUAGAAUGUUUCAAUGUUGAACUAAUAUGUGAUAUAUUAAAUUAUUUAUGAAGUUUUCUUCUGAAAAUUGGCUUACCUUGUUAUUUCUUUUGUUGUUAUUGGUGAGUUGUUUAUUUAUUUUUUUGUUAUGAUCAUCUUAUUGGUGAGAACAUAUGAGAGAUAUGUGUUAAAGUAUGGUUGGUGAAGAACAAAAUAUUGUAAAAGUGUCUUCUUGAUUAUCUAGUAGUUAAGUUUGGUCUUAUAAAUAUAAUUAUUAUUAUUAUAGUUAUUUAUUUUAAAUAAUUAUAUGAAUAUUAUAUGUGAUGACAAAUUUGUUUUGUUUUAUAAAAUUGGAUGUUACAUUUGAUUCCUAGAAAAUAUAUAAUUAUUAAAUAAAAUAAUCCAAAUUAUUUCUAUUAUAUAUUUUUGGUUGAUGAUUAUAUAACUUAAGACAAAAUUUAGGAUAAAAUUAUUUAAAAUUAAAAGAAUAAAAUAUUUUAUUAUGAAUGAUAUAAAUCAUAAAUAAAAUAUUUAAAAUUAAAAGAAUAAAAUAUUUUAUUUUUGAAUUCUAUAAUAAUUUUUUUUUAAAUUGUAACAUGAAAAAUAUUUUUUAUAAUAUUGUUCAAUAAUAUAUAUUAUACUUAUUAUAAAUAUUUCUAAAUUAUACAUUUCUCAAUGAAUAAUUAAAAACAAAAUUAAACGUAAAAUUUUCGAAAAAAUACUUAAACUUAAAUUAUUAAUAGUGAUUGUUUGACUCAAAAGCCUUCCAAAUUAAACAAGUUGUUAUAAAAUAAAAAGGAAAUAAAAUGAAGUUAAAAAAAAAAAAAACAAUCAUAGAUGUGUAGGAAGAAAAAAAAUACUUAUCCAAUGGCAAAAUCGAACUUCUCAUAUCAUUACAACAAAUAACUAAUAAAAAAUUGUAUAUGGAAAUUUUCUAAAUAUUCAUUCAUGGGCACGCCUUUAUAUUGAUUUUUUUUUAUCAUUUUUAUUAAAAUUUAUAUAAGCAAUGAUAAAAAUAAAAAUAAACAUGCAUAAAUAUUUUACUUUUUUAAUUUUCAAAUUUAAAAUAUUUUUGUUUUCUAAAAAACCGAAUUGUAUUACACACCUUAUUUAAUAUUUUAACUUCUCUGCUAUCUCAAACGAAUUGAUUUUUUUUUCUCCACAAUUUUGAUUAAUUGUUUUAAAUAAAAUUUUAAAUUGACUAUUGCACUUUCUAAAAGCCAUUCAGAAUUAUUUUUCCACCAAUUAUAAUAACAAUAACAAAGUUUAAAUUCUUUUCCAAUCUUUAAAUUAAAAAUCAUAAAUAUUUUUAUAUAAAGCCAAAUUACAUUUCACCUAAGUUAACUUUUUAAUUUAUUUCCUCUCUAGAACAAAUUAAAUUUGUUCUAGAUAAUUUUAAUAUUUUUUAAAUUAAAUUUUUUCAUUAAAUACAUUACUUUUAAUUUUUUUUUCUUUGUGUCUUUUCUCUCCUUUUUCUUUUUCCUCUUCCCCUUCGCAGAAUUCAUAAGAUACUGUUCAAGAAAUUGGUCUCAAAAAACGAAUUCUAAUAAGCAAAAACAACUAAAAACGUCACAGCUACAAGGGAAAAAAAUGAAAUUUCCUUCAAAUUUUGACUUUCAGGUAGGUUACAUUACUGGAAUUUAAAAAAAAAAUAAAUAAAUAAUAGUGGAAAAUUUAGUCUCUAGUAAGUCCAAUUUUGACUUGGUCAUAUAGUAUUAGUCUAUUCCAUUGGAUAUAUUUAUAUUAAAUCAGUAUUAUUUGUGGGAUAAAAAAAAAAAAGAUAACCUAUCAUCGUUGCUUGACUUUUGUGUAAAACAAUGUUUCAAAAUUGAGAAAAAGGCAAAGAUAAGAUUUAAAAGUAAGAACCUUUGAAAUGAAGAUCUGCUGAUUUAUAGAUAAUAUAUUUAAGUGUAUAGUGUUCGUUGGGAUAAUCUCAUAUUCUUUAAAAAGAAUAAUAAAGUGAUAAUCAAUUUAUAAAUUACUAAUUUUUAGUUAAUGUUAAUAAGGAUUUUUUUUUUAAUUAAUAUCGAUCAAAGUUAUGUUCGAGUAGUGUAAAAUAUAGUUAUUAUAUAUGAUUGAUAUUGCUUAAGAUUAUUAUUUUUUAACUCAUGUAAGCUUAAAAAUUCAUGUUUUUGAGAUUAAUAAGGAUUGAUAGACGAGAAAACCCUCAUUGGCAUCUAUACAAAAUGACUUAUGUUUGCCUAAAACUAAAUUUGUUCAGUAUUAGUUGAACCACUAGUUGAACCACGAUUCCAACUAAUAUCAAUUGAAAAAAUUAUAUUUGAUAUAAGUCGAAAAAUAAUAUUGAUGUGGAAAAAAAAAUAAUGAAUGUUGAUCAUAAAAGUAACAAGUAUAGACUAAAAUUCAUCUCUUAUUGUCUGGGUCAUAAUGACUAUAAGACUUUUUACUUAUAAAUUUGAUAUUUCAAUUUUAUUUAAAAUUUAUUUUCCAGAUCAAUUACCUUUUUAGAAAGUAUUUAAAAAUUUUCAUAAAAAUAAAUUAAUCUUUGAAAAAUUUUCAUCCAAACACAUUAUAUGGUUUUUUCAAAUGACAAAAAUAAAAUUAAAAUGAAAGAAAAUAUAGGGAUGAAGUGUCCAAAUGGGAAAUAUCUUUUGUCACUCUAUAUUGUUUUCAUAAAGACAUAUCUUAGAAGGGUUAAAUAUGUUUUUAGUCCCUAUACUUUGGAGUGAUUUUGGUUUUAGUCUAUCUUUCAAAUUAAAGUACAAUUUAGUCCAAUUUUAGAAAACUCUGGUUUUAGUCCUUUUUACCAAAUUUUUUUAACUUUAUUUGUUAUUUCAAGCACGUUUCAUUAUAGCAUUUGACACAAUUUUGCUUCAAUAUUAACUGGGAAAUGCGUUUGAAACAGCAAAUAAAGUUAAAAAAUUUGGUAAAAAUGACUAAAACCAGAGUUUUCUAAAGUUGAAGGACUAAAUAAUAUUUUAGUUUGAAAGAGAGACUAAAACCAAAAUCACCCUAAAGUAUAGGGACUAAAAACAUAUUUAACCCUUCUUAGAAUGCUAGUUAUGGAACAAUUUUUCAUUAUUUAUUUUAGAUUAUAUAAAAACGAAUUUGGAUUUUGAUUGGUGGGAAUGAUGGAUGUGCUAUUGAGUUUUAGAUAUGGACAUAGAAGAUUGUGGAAUAUUUAGUUUAUGUGGUAUAAAGGUUUUUGAAUGACUUAUGUAUGUUUUGAGAAACUUGACUUUUAAAAAGGACCAUAUGUUUAUGUAUGUUUUCUUCCAUUUAAAUGACCAACUCUGCUUAAUACUUAACGUUAACAUGUGAAAACCUAAGAGACUUAGUCUAUUUUCUUAGAUUCUUAUAUAUUUUGUUGCUUCAGAAUAUCUAAUAACAAAUUUAUUUUGUUUUGUUUUAUUUUUUAAAAUCCUUUGGAAAUUUUAAUCAAAUAAUUAUAACAGCAAUAACAAUAAACAUCUACAACGUUUAAAAAUUGUUAUAUUUAAAAUUAUUUUAAUUUCCUACAAAACCAAAUUAUAUUAACUUUUAAAUUUGUUUUCUCUCUCAAACAAAAUAAAAUUCAUUCUCCAAGUUGAACAACUUUUAAUUUCCUACAAAACCAAAUUAUAUUAACUUUUAAAUUAGUUGAACAUAAUAAUUUCACAGAUCCUAGUAUAAAAGUGGUGUUAUGGAUGAUUACAAGGUCGAGUCACUCUUAACACAUGCAUAAUUUCUCUUAAGAUUAUGUUCAGUAGUUAUUCUCUUAUUUCUUGUCUUCACACCACUGUCCGAAGGCAUACCUGCCAAAGGUUCUUCGACGUUUAAGUCAAUGUCUGUUCGUACGGUAGCUAAAUAUCACUGUAAUAAAUGCACAGUAAAUGCGAACACUUACCUCUUACCUUUGACUUGUAUUUAUAGUUUUUGUCAUGAGCUUGAGAUUAGUGAAACCUUAAUUGUGACCCAAUCUCAGCUCAAUACCCUAAAUUAAUGGAGGAGGAGAAUUAGGUUCCUUUGAAGAACCUUUCCAAAAGGAUAAAGUCGGUAUGACUAAAGGACAUUAUUGGAAAUAAACUCCUGGUUAACCAAGAGAUGUUGUUCAUUAAAGGAAUUGGGAAUAAAAGAGGAAGACAUAAAGAUGUACCUAUAAGAAGGAAGAAGACAUGUUUUGAAGCUUAGACAAAGAAGAGUGUGAAAGGAAACCAAAGUAGUAACUCAAAGCGAGGAAGAAAUAUAAAAGGAGAUGAAGUGAUUCAUAAAGCAAUUGAACAUUUGAAAUGAGUUUUAGGAAAUGGUGAAACCCUUUUAUGUAAAAAAAGAUAGGCCUUAUUUCUCAACUAAGAGGGGGAGGGGAGGGGGGAGGGACCGCUGAAUCGGUUUUACUUAAUAAAAAUUGUUCUUUUGAAACUCUUUUCAAAAUCUUCAAAUCUUUCUUGGAAUACAAGAAAAUAAAGAAAGUAAGGAAGUGAAAGAGAUAAAGAAUACAACCAUACUAAGGUUUAUACUGGUUCGGCCUUAAUGUCUAUAUCCAGUUUACUUUCAAUCAACCUGAGAUUGAAAGGUAAUCCAAUAUAUAUAUAUAUAUAUAUAUAUAUAUCAAGUCUUACAACAAUAAUUACAUAGACAAUCUUUCAAUGCAAUCUUCUCUUUAACUCCAAAUCUACUAUAGUAAAAAAAAAAAUAAUCCUCUUUUUGCAACCCCUUUGAGAUACCUAUGGCAGUUUUGACGCUAAGUAAUCGAUUAAAUUAUUAAUGUAAUCGGUUAAGCAAUUACCAAUGUUGUAACAUAAUUACAUUAAAUGCAUUUAAAUGAUUAAGCAUAUCAAAAACGAUAAUCAAGUAACAAGAGAUGAAGUGCUUAAAGAGAUACAUCAUAAGAAAUUCUUACAGACCAUUUGCAAAAUGUGUGAUGCUCCCCCUGUCAUAAUGCAAUAACACUUUAAACAAUUUAAGCAACAAUUUUAUACUAGAAUUAGAGCUCAAACAAUUAUUUGAACACAACAAUUUUAUGCUAGAAUUAGAGCUCAAACAAUUAUUUGAACACAGUAUAACAACAUUAAUCAAUGUAUGAGAGUAAAAAAAAAAAAAUAUUAGAAUGGAUACUGAGUUCAACAUACUGUAUCAAGCAAUAAAAAAUGAUAACAUGUAUCAGAGUAAAGAUAAUGCUUGAUGCAAUUAUACUAUCAUGUACAGUUUUCAAAAUACUCAGUUUUUGUUAUGCAGCAUAUUUAUCUCACAUGGUAUUAUGAAUGCAUGAUUUCAUUUCAUACAAAAGGCAUAAUGAAUGUAUCAAUAUAAAUAUUAUGCAACAAAAGGUACAAUUUUCAAAAUGAUGCCAUGUAAUGAUUUUCAAAUCAAUUUUGAACAGUAUGCAACAAUUUUAAUCCACUAAAUGAAUAAAGAACAACUAUGGCAUGUUAGUAUACAUGAAUCAGUAGGAAAUAAGUAUAAAAUCAUGCACGUGAAUUUUUAAUCGAUUUCAAUCAAAACAAAUUGAUUUAAUUAUUCUGAACAAAUAUUAAUUGAUUACAUGGUCAAAGUAAUUGGUUCAAGGUUCUGCUUAUGAUCAUAUUGCAUAGUUAUGAUCAUUUCAACCUAUCAAUAUCAUAAUCGAUGCCUGCAAAACACAACUUUCUCAACUUUGUUGAGUGUUAGUCUAGUAACACAUAGUAGUUGUGAGGCAAUAUGAGAUAUCAAGUAGGUAUGAAUUAUGCAAUGAUGUAUAUAACAAUGAAACAACACAAACUGCAUUCAUGCACCAGAUUCAUCCAUCCAAAUUCAUUCAAACAAUCAACUAAUCAUUUAAGAAAUCUGAAUAAGAUAUGAUAAAAAAUAUAAUAUUUCAUUCAUCAUAGAAAAUAUCAAGAUAACGCAGUUCAAAUAUGAAAGGCCUUAUAGCCAAGAUUGCAUUCAUUUCAAAAUAAAACUAAAAGACAAAACAAACUCUAAAACUUAGAUCAUGUCCAUAAGCAAAAUGUCAUCAUCACUUUCAUCCAGGACACUCUCCUCCUCCUCCUCAUCAUCUUCUUCAUCCUCCUCACUGCCAUCACCAGAUUCUUCAAUAUGUAGCUUUCCUUUGGUAGCGGUAACAUCUUUAUUAAUGGAUUAAGUGUGGAGGGAAAUCCAAAUUCAAAUUUUAAAUCGAUCACACUUCAAUCGAUUGCCUUAAUUUUCAAACCGAUUAAAUUCACUUAUCAAUUUAAGACAAACAAACACAAUAAACAUGGAUGAAUAUUAAUCGAUUACAUUAGUUCCUUAAUUGACUAAACUGCAACCCAUCUUAGAUUCGAAAAACAGAGAAGUACUAAGACAAGUUUAAACGAUUACAUGACUUAUAUAAUCGGUUAAGAUUUGUGAACACGAUUCUUCAUCAAAAACAUAACAAUCAAGCACAAAUCAAUCGUUCACAUCAAUAUGAAUGUCACAGAUCAAGAAUGAUGGAUGAUUAACAAAAUUAAAGUACUCUUAUCACAAGUAGUCCUCAAGAAGUAAUUAAUUUAUCCUUUGUAUCUUCCUUGAGUUCUUGAGUGCUACCAGACCUAUAUAUUUACCUGCAUAAGCAUCAUAAGGUUUGGAAGCAGGUACCCAAAUAAACUUAGGGUCUUUUGUGUUAGUAACAAUGAUUAGUUUCUCAGGAAUCCAUUGGAACUUUCCCUUUGGAACACCAAUCUUUUUAUAGUAACAAGACAUGGAAAUAUGCCCAAUUGCAUUGCAGUUAAAACAAGUAAUAGAAGAAGGUUUACUAAGAAUAGAAAACUUCUUAGCAUUUAUUCUAUUAUUUUUACUAGUAUAUCAUAUGCCUUGUUUAUUGACUACCCUUCUCUAGGAGCCUAAAACUGCUUCUAAAUUUGAUCUACCAAGAGUAAAUUUAGAAAGAGUGUCCGUUAAGUAAUCUAUAUUUUCUAAAUGAGCAAGGCAAUCUUUACAAUCUUUGACAAUAGUUUUAACUUCAAAUUUAGAAGUUUCAAUAGAUUGUAGAGCAACAGUAAGAUCAUUUUUCAAACAAGUAUUUUCUUUAACAAGGUUAUCAGUUCUAUACUUAUAAUCUCUUUUCUCACUAUUUAAUCGAUUAACCUUGUACUGCAGCUUCAUUACUUCUGCAUGAAGUUCCUGAAAGACAUCCAACAGUUGAUCAUAUCUUACUUGUAAUGGUUCAUCAUCAAAAUUGCUUCCACUACUUCCAGAAUUUACUCAUCCAACCAUAAGACAUAGGUUUGUCUCUUCCUCUAGACUUUGAUCAUCUUCAUCACUAGAAGAGCAUCUUAAGUCGCAUUCCUCCCACAGAAUGUAUUUCUUCUGCUUGUUCCUCCUUCUUUCUUGAUAAGGUCUUUCAUCAAUUUUCUGCAUCAGCUUCAAGACAGGGUAUUUUGGUUUAAUAUGGCCUUCUUUGCAACAUUCAUAACAAGUAGGAGUAACAACUUUGUUCCUUCUUUAGCUUUCUUUAGCAUUGCCUGCAAAAUCAUAUAUAUUGUUUCUAGAUUUCAUAAAUAUAGGGAACUUUUUUACCAUCACAUCCAACACUUCUUUCUCAGGUAAAUUUGCAUUUGAAACUACAUUGUUACCAAUAAGGAGUAUUGGUAAAACCUGAAGAAUUGUUUUGAUGAUGCUGCAAGAAGUAUUAUUUGAAGAGAACANNNNNNNNNNNNNNNNNNNNNNNNNNNNNNNNNNNNNNNNNNNNNNNNNNNNNNNNNNNNNNNNNNNNNNNNNNNNNNNNNNNNNNNNNNNNNNNNNNNNNNNNNNNNNNNNNNNNNNNNNNNNNNNNNNNNNNNNNNNNNNNNNNNNNNNNNNNNNNNNNNNNNNNNNNNNNNNNNNNNNNNNNNNNNNNNNNNNNNNNNNNNNNNNNNNNNNNNNNNNNNNNNNNNNNNNNNNNNNNNNNNNNNNNNNNNNNNNNNNNNNNNNNNNNNNNNNNNNNNNNNNNNNNNNNNNNNNNNNNNNNNNNNNNNNNNNNNNNNNNNNNNNNNNNNNNNNNNNNNNNNNNNNNNNNNNNNNNNNNNNNNNNNNNNNNNNNNNNNNNNNNNNNNNNNNNNNNNNNNNNNNNNNNNNNNNNNNNNNNNNNNNNNNNNNNNNNNNNNNNNNNNNNNNNNNNNNNNNNNNNNNNNNNNNNNNNNNNNNNNNNNNNNNNNNNNNNNNNNNNNNNNNNNNNNNNNNNNNNNNNNNNNNNNNNNNNNNNNNNNNNNNNNNNNNNNNNNNNNNNNNNNNNNNNNNNNNNNNNNNNNNNNNNNNNNNNNNNNNNNNNNNNNNNNNNNNNNNNNNNNNNNNNNNNNNNNNNNNNNNNNNNNNNNNNNNNNNNNNNNNNNNNNNNNNNNNNNNNNNNNNNNNNNNNNNNNNNNNNNNNNNNNNNNNNNNNNNNNNNNNNNNNNNNNNNNNNNNNNNNNNNNNNNNNNNNNNNNNNNNNNNNNNNNNNNNNNNNNNNNNNNNNNNNNNNNNNNNNNNNNNNNNNNNNNNNNNNNNNNNNNNNNNNNNNNNNNNNNNNNNNNNNNNNNNNNNNNNNNNNNNNNNNNNNNNNNNNNNNNNNNNNNNNNNNNNNNNNNNNNNNNNNNNNNNNNNNNNNNNNNNNNNNNNNNNNNNNNNNNNNNNNNNNNNNNNNNNNNNNNNNNNNNNNNNNNNNNNNNNNNNNNNNNNNNNNNNNNNNNNNNNNNNNNNNNNNNNNNNNNNNNNNNNNNNNNNNNNNNNNNNNNNNNNNNNNNNNNNNNNNNNNNNNNNNNNNNNNNNNNNNNNNNNNNNNNNNNNNNNNNNNNNNNNNNNNNNNNNNNNNNNNNNNNNNNNNNNNNNNNNNNNNNNNNNNNNNNNNNNNNNNNNNNNNNNNNNNNNNNNNNNNNNNNNNNNNNNNNNNNNNNNNNNNNNNNNNNNNNNNNNNNNNNNNNNNNNNNNNNNNNNNNNNNNNNNNNNNNNNNNNNNNNNNNNNNNNNNNNNNNNNNNNNNNNNNNNNNNNNNNNNNNNNNNNNNNNNNNNNNNNNNNNNNNNNNNNNNNNNNNNNNNNNNNNNNNNNNNNNNNNNNNNNNNNNNNNNNNNNNNNNNNNNNNNNNNNNNNNNNNNNNNNNNNNNNNNNNNNNNNNNNNNNNNNNNNNNNNNNNNNNNNNNNNNNNNNNNNNNNNNNNNNNNNNNNNNNNNNNNNNNNNNNNNNNNNNNNNNNNNNNNNNNNNNNNNNNNNNNNNNNNNNNNNNNNNNNNNNNNNNNNNNNNNNNNNNNNNNNNNNNNNNNNNNNNNNNNNNNNNNNNNNNNNNNNNNNNNNNNNNNNNNNNNNNNNNNNNNNNNNNNNNNNNNNNNNNNNNNNNNNNNNNNNNNNNNNNNNNNNNNNNNNNNNNNNNNNNNNNNNNNNNNNNNNNNNNNNNNNNNNNNNNNNNNNNNNNNNNNNNNNNNNNNNNNNNNNNNNNNNNNNNNNNNNNNNNNNNNNNNNNNNNNNNNNNNNNNNNNNNNNNNNNNNNNNNNNNNNNNNNNNNNNNNNNNNNNNNNNNNNNNNNNNNNNNNNNNNNNNNNNNNNNNNNNNNNNNNNNNNNNNNNNNNNNNNNNNNNNNNNNNNNNNNNNNNNNNNNNNNNNNNNNNNNNNNNNNNNNNNNNNNNNNNNNNNNNNNNNNNNNNNNNNNNNNNNNNNNNNNNNNNNNNNNNNNNNNNNNNNNNNNNNNNNNNNNNNNNNNNNNNNNNNNNNNNNNNNNNNNNNNNNNNNNNNNNNNNNNNNNNNNNNNNNNNNNNNNNNNNNNNNNNNNNNNNNNNNNNNNNNNNNNNNNNNNNNNNNNNNNNNNNNNNNNNNNNNNNNNNNNNNNNNNNNNNNNNNNNNNNNNNNNNNNNNNNNNNNNNNNNNNNNNNNNNNNNNNNNNNNNNNNNNNNNNNNNNNNNNNNNNNNNNNNNNNNNNNNNNNNNNNNNNNNNNNNNNNNNNNNNNNNNNNNNNNNNNNNNNNNNNNNNNNNNNNNNNNNNNNNNNNNNNNNNNNNNNNNNNNNNNNNNNNNNNNNNNNNNNNNNNNNNNNNNNNNNNNNNNNNNNNNNNNNNNNNNNNNNNNNNNNNNNNNNNNNNNNNNNNNNNNNNNNNNNNNNNNNNNNNNNNNNNNNNNNNNNNNNNNNNNNNNNNNNNNNNAUUUUGGAAUUGAUGCUCCAAGCCAGGAAGUAAUUUCAUCAAGUGAUAUCAAAAGCCUUGGUUCAAGCACCAAGUGGCUCAGCUAAGUAGUAUUUAAACUUUGCUAUUGCACUUUGAUUUGCNUAAUCUUCCAUUAUGAGAUUANUNUUGAAUUCAUUUNUGUUUGGGNAAAUAAUAUGNACAUCACUGUUUCAUUAUUUCUAUGGUGUGUUCCUGUCUGCUUGCACAUUUUAAUCAAUGAAAUUAAUCUAUUUGAGACAUUUAUGUGCUUAAUUUUUUUUCUUUGUUAUGAUUAGUCAUGUGCAUUGUAUUUUAGUGUUUUGCUGUUAAUUGUCAAAUUGAAUUUGUGUUUAACUGGCUCAGUAUUCAAUUUCAUGAGUACUUUAAAGUUAGCCUUGGUAUAAUUUUUUAUCAAGCAUCAAAGCAAUGAAAAAUUAAUUUGAAUGAGCUAGUUGAUAGUUUCUAUGUGCAUUUCUGGAUGAUUAAGACGAUUGAUGAUUAAAUUGACAAUUUUGUCUCGAAGCUGUUUCUGUGAAGAUUUUUUUUGUUCAAAUGCAUCCCAUAUGAGAUAUGUUUAUACACAUUGAGAGCUUGGAUACAGUAAAUUAACUGAUCAAAUUUGCAUAAUUGUGNUGUAAAUUAUUUGGUUUAAAAGAUUAUUGAAAGAUAAAAUCUAAAUCAGCUUUUGUGUUAAAUUUUGGUGUGAAAAUCACAAAGGAAUAGUCUUUUAAAAGAAGUUAGGAAAAACUGCAAUUCCUUGGUUGAGUCAAUUUUUUAAUUUCUGGUUUACCACUAGUUAAAUGUUGAAGAUCUUGUAAUAAUUUCAUAGUGUCUUAUUCAAGUUUUCUAAAUUGUUUUUUAGACCAAUUAGGUGUCCAGAAAUUGUUUGAUUCAAAAGAAACUUAUAAAUCCUUCUAAAAGGCUGAAAGAACAGCACAAGCUUAAAUCUGAAAACUGAUACACCCAAAUUUGACUAUUUUUUUUAAAUGUCUUAUAGCUUCUUGUUUGUCAAUUUACAGCUGUCUUAUUUUACCUCAAAUUUCUAAUUUCUUAGUCUAACAAAUAAUGUCUGAGAAGUUUUUUUCUUCUUUGGUUUCUGAAACUUGAAAGAAAGAUUUGUGUGUUUUAAGUUUCUUAAGAAAAGCCUGAAGUAGUUGAUAAAGUUAAUUGGGGGAUAAAAUUCUUUGGACCAAGAUAAACAAUUUUAUUGAAUUAAAUUUGAUUACUGCAUAUUGUUUGAAUUAUAGUAUAUGUUGUUUUGAUAUGCACAACUGAACUCAUGAGAUUGAGCAGAUUGGGAUAUGAAAGUACAUGAAUUAUAGUUGUUGUUUGGGAAGUUAUACAUCGUGCUGCCAACGAUAGCUUUGAGUAAAUUGUCCUAACAAUAAAGUCUUCAUGAUAAACUUGGAGUAGUUGUGAUGUGAUUAUAUUCAUUGAAGUUAUUACUGCGUUCUUUGUACUUUAUAAAUUAGUAGCUGAAUCAUAAACAUCUUAAUUGUCUGAUAAAUGAUUGUUGAUUUCAUGGGUAAAUUGAGUAUGCUGAAAGUUGAAUUUUGUUUACUAAGAAUCAUUGAAACUUGUUUGAAAUUGCAAAUAGAAAUAUGAAUUGACUUGUAAGCAUCUCUUCAUUGUUUUGGACUGAACAGAUCUUAAAAUAUUUUUCAAUCUGUUUGUGAGUGCAUGAGAUUUUUUGUUUGACAUCUUAUGACAUGAUCUUUUGAUACCUGGUACCCAUUUGAGGGAGAGAUAUAUAAGGUUGUUAUAUAUCUAGACAUUUUAUGAAUGUUAUAUGAGUUUUAGGUUGAAAAUUUGGCCCAAAUCUCUGUUUUUCGGAAAUUAACGUCAAUAAUCGAUUACCAAAGGGUCAUAAUCGAUUAUCUCGGCCUAAAAAUUUAGAUUUUGACAAUUUUGAACACAAAUAAUCGAUUAUUUAAAGUAAUAAUCGAUUAUCAACAUAAAAAAAAAAAACUUUUUUUAAUAAAAAAUUCUUUUUGGUUUGUUUUAUCACUGGGGAUUAUUACAUUUAGGGGGAGUACUUUUAAAGGACUUAAAUCCUUUUUAAUUUACCUAUUUUAUGGGGAGCAUAAACUUUAGAUGAUUUUUUUUUUAAAGAUGGGGUGAAGCUUUUGAUUGAGAACUUUUGUGAUAACUGGAGAAUAUUAGUCUUGCCCAGAAAGCUAACUUUGAUCAAAUUUAUGAGUGGCAGCAAGCUCAUGAAGAUUAUAUGGUUGAUCAAUUUCUUGACAUUGAUGUUCAUCUAGGAUAUAUUGCAAAUCACCUCAACCUUCAACCACCCGAGAGAUUUCGAAGUCCUGAAUUUUAGAAUUAGGAUUUUAUGUUUGUGUGCUUUGUUGAUUGGUUGUUGUUCUUAUCUCUAUGUUAUAAUUCUGCACUUUAUUACUCUUUAUGUAAUCCUUCCUUUUAUGAGUAAAAUGAUCUCUUGAUUAUAUGCAUAAUUUAUCAUAUUUAGGGGGAGCUUUUUAAUUUAAUCUUUUUGCUUAUGAUAAAAAACGGGGAGAAGAAUUAAGGGGAGAAAUAUUUUACAAUUUAAAAAUUGGUAUUGGUACAGUACUGCUAACUUUGUGGUUGUCUAUUAGCUUGUAUGUGUUGCAGGUAAACCGUAGUUGCUUUUAAAAGUGAAUUUUUGAUCAUCAUCAAAAAGGGGGAGAUUGUUACCAAUAAGGAGUAUUGGUAAAACCUGAAGAAUUGUUUCGAAGAUGCUGCAAGAAGUAUUAUUUGAAGAGAACAGUAAAAUUAUUUAAAAAGCAACUUGUAGAAUUUGGAUGUAGUAGGAAAAACUUAAACCUUGUAUUUUUAACUUGAAUAGUCAAUUAUGGACAAGCUAUAAUCGAUUAUCACUUGCAUUUUGUACUAGAAUAAUCGAUUAUCAUGAAGCAAUAAUCGAUUAUCACAAGUCAUACUUGAAUAAUCGAUUAUCACUUCAUAUAAUCGAUUAUCACUUUUUGAAAAUCCUGUAACGGACUUGAAUAAUCGAUUAUCACUUACAAUAAUCUAUUAUUCAUGGCAGUUGGGACCUGACCUUUGGCAUUCAGUGUAAUUGGCUAUAUAAUUGGCUUCUGUAAACUUCAGAAGCAACGUUUUUGAACUAAGAGAGCUUAAUAGAACAGUGUGUGUCAGAGGAAAGUUCUCAUAAGCUUUGUUCAUUGUUCCCUUACUUGGUCUCGUGAAAGGAGAGGCUCGCGUAUCGUGUGUCGAUAGUAGGAGCAGACUCUCUUCGAGUUAGCAAGGUGUUCUGCCUGGUCUUGUGAAAGGAGAAGCUCGCGAAUCGUUGGUCGAUUGCCGGAGCGGUUCUCUUCGAGUUGGUAGAGUGUGCUCUGCCUGGUCUUGUGAAAGGAGAAGCUCGCGAAUCGUUGGUCGAUUGCCGGAGCGGUUCUCUUCAAGUUGGUAGAGUGGUCUUCUUCCGGUUCGCUCGUCGAAGGAAGGUUUAUCUAUCUUAUUUUCAUUCACUUAAUUGUAAUCUGUGAGAUUGUUUUUAGUGNAACUNUUAAUCACUCUUUANANUGAUUAACNACUGGANGUAGAUUCUGUUGAAUCGAACCAGUAUAAAAAUACUCGUGUGAUUUUUCUAUUCCCUACACUCAUUUUAGUUUACGCAUAUUAACUGUUUGAUUAAUUUUCUAAAAGAAAAUUAUUUUUGCGAAAAAGGACCAACUUCGUUUUAACAGUGACCGAACACGCCUAUACGCUCUCUAAGUUUUAAUUUUGCUGCGUUAUACUCUUCGAAAAAUACCCCUCCGAUACCAACAUACAUCGGUAUCAUGCUUUCUUGGAGCAUUCUUGCUAGAAAUCUUAAGGACAAUUGAAUGCUUUUGUUCAGUUUCUUCUUCCUCCCUUAGUCUUCCUAAUUCCAACUCAUGUUCCUUGAGCUUACCAAACAAUGUUGCCAUAUUCAUAGUGUUCAAAUCUCUAGAUUCAGAAAUGGCAGUCACCUUUGGUUGUCAGCUUCUAUUCAGAAUUUUCAAGAUUUUGAUGUUAACCUCCUCCUUAUCAAAAAUCUUGCCGAGAGUUAUAAGGUGAUUAACGAUGUGUGUGAACCUCUUCUAGACAUCAUAGAUGUUUUCUCUAGGCUUCAUCCGGAACAUCUCAUAUUCUUGAACAAGAGAGUUCUUCCUGGCCCUUUUCACUUCAUCAGUCCCUUCAUGAGUGACUUCAAGAACAUCUCGCAUCUCUUUUGCACUUGCGCAUGUAGAUAUCCUGAAAACUCAUCAAUUGUUAGAGUAUAUGAAAUCAUAAUUUUAGCUUUAACAUCAUAAUGUGCUCUUUUACUCUCGUCUAGGUGCCACUCAGAAAAGUCCUUUGACACAGUUUUACUAUCAACAACCUCUGUAGGCUCAUAAGGUCUAUUUAUCACUACAUCCCAAACACCCUUAUCUACUAAUUCCAAGAGAAUUCUUAUCUUGAUUUUCUAAAAAGGAUAGUUUUCUCCUACAAACAAAGGGGAUCUGUUUGUGGAAGAACCUUCUCCAAAAGUUUGAGAAAUAGAGGCCAUCAAGAUCAAAAUAAUCAAUUACACUAAAUAUCAAAUCGAUUAGAAUUUGAGCAAAAUUCAAAUUCCCAGCUUUGGUGCCAAUUCUAGGAAAAGAUAGACCUUAUUUCUUAACCAAAAGGGGGGUGAAUUUACUUAAUAAAAAUUGUUCUUUUGAAACUCUUUUCAAAAUCUUUAAAUCUUUCUUGAAAUACAAGCAAAUAAAGAAAGUAAGGAAGUGAAAGAGAUAAAGGAUAGAACCACACUAAGGUUUAUACUGGUUCGACCUCAAUGUCUACAUCCAGUCUACUUUCAAUCAACCUGAGAUUGAAAGGUAACUAUAUAGAUCGAGUUUUACACCAAGAAUUACAUAGACACUAUCAAUGCAAUCUCAUCUCUAACUCCAAAUCUACUAUAGUCAAAUCCACAAAAAGAACAAUCCUCUUUUUGCAACCCAUUUGAGAUACCCCUCUCAAAGUAACCAGAAAUCCAACGUUCUCUUCCUGUCCAGCGGCAACAGGGCAACAACAAUCACAGAUGAUUGUAGACGAAAUUGAUCUUCCAGUAGAACACCUUAGUGCAAAUUGAUCAGACUUUGAAAAUGCAGCAACUCUUCAAGAAUCCUUAAUUUGAUUUCUUUCUCAAUGAAAUGCCUGGAGAGCAAACACUCCUACAAUUAUGAACUCGACAAACUUUAUCAUAUAUGAAAGAUUUGAUUCAAAAGUUGCUUCUGCAAAGAGCUGUGCGUCAAUUUAUACAUGUGACAGUUUUAACGCAAAGUAAUCGAUUACAUCAUUAAUGUAAUUCGUUAAGCAAUUACCAGUUUUGUAACAUAAUUACAUUCAAUGUAUUUAACAGAUUAAGCAUAGCAUGCAAUCGAUUAAGUAAUUAUAGUAAGUCAAAGCAUUUAAAAAUAUGACCGUUAAGGUAGUUAUGUCUUAUCAAAAAACUAGUUUUCAAAACACACAAGCUUUAACCAAUUAAGAAAAGAGUUUAAUCGGUUAAGUACAACACUUAAGAAAAUUUGAAAACCUUUUCAAUCCAAAACUCAUCAUUGCACACAACAAACAAGUAUAAUCAAAUAUAUGAGUUUUAAGCGAUUAUACAUAUAAUGUAAUCGGUUAAAACUAGUAGUUUGCUACAAUUAAUCAGGUACUGAUAUCGGAUGAAAUGAAACAAAUUUUAUAAACUGUGUAAACCAUUUAUUCAUCCAAAUAUACAUGGUGCAAAAAGUUUUAUCAUCUUUAACCAGUGAAUAUGCAUAUCACAAAUAUAAUCACAUAUCAUAGAUAAAAACAUAAUGAAUAUGCAUAACAUAUAUAGUUCAAACACAAACAAAAAUAAACAUCAGUUUUGCUUACUAUAUAUGUGCAAGAAACUAUUAAAACAUUUUUAUUGUUGUCAUCAUCAAAAACACACAUGAAAUAUAUAGGUUUAGCUUUAACGUAUAUAGCUCCCUUAUCAACACUUUACACAAUGGUGGUAAAGUAAUUUCAAACUAUUCAUUUUCUUUUCAAAUGAGAAGAUGCCAUGUGUUAAUAAAGGUAUAUGAAAGGAUGCUUGUUAGAAGUCUUGGAGACCGUAAUCAUAUAUAUGAAAGCCCUUAUUGAUGAUGCAGAGUAAUUAAGUACAAAAACAAAAGGGAUCGAUUUUUGAUCCAUUAUUGUUAUUAAUUAUGUAUGUUAAGUGGUGAAAUACCUAAGGAUCCAAAUAUGAGAUCAAAAAUAAAAUUCAUUAAUAAUAUUUUUAUGUUAAUAUACACUUGAUAUCCUUAAACAUUUUUUUAUCAGCAUGUUAAUAUACACUUGAUAUCCUUAAACAUUUUUUUAUCAGCAAAUGUUAGUUGUUAGUAUUUUAUUAGUGAAUAGAGUUAGAUCUAAAGUAUAUCUCAUCCUUUUUUCCAAAACUCUUCAAACCAACCUUAUAACUCUCAAAUUUUAAUACUGAGAAUUGAAUUCACAACCUUUCACACUCUUCUUUCCAACUUUUUCCAACUUUUACCACUAAGCCAAUCUUAUAACUUAGAUAUUCCAAUGCCUAAAAAGGCUAUAAAUACAUUACUACAUUAGAUCCAUCUUAUUAUCACUUUUACUCAUAUUAAUCACUCAUAAAACUCUUUCUGACUUAAGCUAUAGAAAGUCUUUGCAAUUCUCUUUGAUUUUGAUGCUCAUUCACACGUCAAUAAUCUAUUAGUUUACCUCGAAAGCCAAACUCAUUUUCCAAAUAGCACAAUAGUUGUUGAGAGAGGAAGAAGAUUAAAUUAUUAAUAUAUAUCUACAACUAUAAAGAAAUAUUUUUCUCAUUAUUUUCUACUACUAACUUAUUUUUGAAUAAAUUAUCAUUACUAAAUAAAUAUACAUUUACCAAUUUUAGUUUAAAAAAUUAUAAUUAUAAAACAUUAUUCUCAUUAUUUCAUUUAAAUGAGCUCAUUUUGUUUUUCUCUAAAAACAUAACAAAACCUAGUUCUGAAUUCCGUUUCCGAUGAUCGAAUUAGUAGCAUUUGAAGGUAAUAAGUUUUUUAAUAUUUUCAGUGUCCACUCAAUCACUGCAUAGCAGUGCUACAUGGACAACAAUUUCAAGAAAUGAACUUUUGAUAGAAGACGUAAGAAGUAAAAUAAAAUUCGGUUUCCAGAAAAUAAAACUAUGAUAAAUGACAGAAAACAAUAAAAAAAUACAAAAUCCUGUCCAAAAUUCAAACCCAUAGAACCAAAUUCCAACAGGAAAAAACCUCUAAUGCGAAAAAGGACUGAUGCAAAUUCAGCACCCAAGAGGGAACAAGUGAUCUACUAUUAAAAGCAUACAUAAACGAUAUAUCAGCCUCACAUAAUUGUGCAUUCUUACUUCCCUUUGUAGCUAAAAUUCAUGCAAUAAGAAAGGCCAAAUUUUUUUUAUUCAUCUUCAUUCCUCGAGCUCAAAACUGUUUAAUGUUUUUGCCUUAAACUACAGCAGGGUUUCUAAAAAAGUUAACAUAAAUAAAGAUUUUAUUAAAAUUUUCAAAAUCAGAAUGAGACUGAACCUCAAGAUUUAGUUUAGCAAUAUUUAUCCAAACAAACUCGUCAAUUAAGAUAUGGACCCCUCUUAAUUUGAAAAUAAACACAUAUCCAACAACAGCAGUAAGUUUAAAGUAGAAAAUCCUUAUCUUGAAGCCUUGAUCCUUUAAAAGUUAUAGAAACGAUAACUGAAGAAAUAUGGCAGUAGCUAUUUUUGAGUCAUUUUUCUAUCACUCCGAAAUUUUCUAAACUCCUCAAUGAAAAUAAUUUUUAAAAGCUAAAAUUAUGCUCAAAAUCAAAUUCAAUAUUUUUAAUUGAUUAAAGAUUUAAAUAAUCAAUUAGUUUGUUUUUGAGAACACAAAACCCUAAUCGCAUCGGAACAACAACCAAGGUACAACAACCUUACACUAAAAUCACAAAUUAGAAAACUCUAAAAUCCAAAAUCAGAAAACCUACUGUACUAAUCUCAUUAAAGAGAUGUUACAUAUCUCUUUAUAGUGUUUUUCUUUUUUAUAUUUUUUUAAUUAUUUGAUUCUUUUUAUUUUUUUUAUCAAUAAAAAUUUGUCACAUGUCAAAUUAAUAUGUAUCAUGUAUCUCUUUAUAUGUAACACUUCCCUCGUAUCACAAGUUGGAGGAACCCAAACUCUAACUCCUUUUUUUUAACCAAUGCCACUUUAUCUCUAAUAAUUUUCACAUAUUUACCCCUUAGACAGCCACGUAUUCACCACCCUUAAUAGUCACGUUGCGCACUAUUCAGUUCUCGUUGUCAGUUGGACCCUUAAAAAUUAACGUCGUGACAAAAAAAGAUUUAAUGAACACUUUUUUUACAAGUUGUGAUUCUUUUUAACUUUUUAAAAAACGUAAGAUGCACUUGAACAUUUUCUCUUUCGAGGGGCCAAAAGAUGUAUUAAGUUUUUCUUUUAAAUUAAACAUUUUUUACUUUCUUAAUACGAAAUUUGAAUUUUAUAUAAAUUUUAUACAAAUAUUUUUAUAAAAAUUGAUAUUUUUAUUAAAUAUUUUUAUAAGUUUAUUCAUAUUUAUAUUUUAGUUUGAAUUUUAUUUAAGAUUGUUUUAAAGGUCUUAAGACAAAAUAAUAUUAAUUGAAAAAAAAAUUAAAAUUAAUUUUAAGUGAAAAUAAUAUUAACAGAAAAAAUUCAAAAUUAAUUUCAAGCAAAAUUUUUUUUACCAAUUACAUAUCAUAAAUUAAAAAUAAAUUUAUCAAUUUAUUUCAAUUCUUUUAAAUAAUUGCAUAUUUUAAAAUAUGUAAAAUUCAAUCGUGUUUGAGUUAGUUUAAAAAUAAUAAUUUAAUAAAUUCAAAUGUAAAAUUUGAAAAUAAUUUUAAUCAAUUUUAUAAGAAUUUAAAACAAAUAAAUUUAAAAUUUGAAAAUAAUUUUAAAUAAAGUUCAAAAUAAAAUAUAAAUAUAAAUAAAGUUAAUAAAAUAAUAAUUGUAAAAAUAAUGUUAAUAAAAAUAAUUUAAGAAAUUAAAAUAUCAUAAAUAAAAUUAUACUUUUAAAUUUUUGUCAGAAGAAGAGGCUUUCUGAUAUUUGUAAUGACUUUCUCUUGUAAGGAUAUAAGCAAUGGUUUUAAAAUACUUUGGAAAAACUUAGCGUGACUUGUAGGUUUGGAGAAAGAGGAGGUAGUAUAAAAGAGGUGUUAGGGUUGUGUUUUGGUUCAUUGCUACCUUAAUAAAAUUGGUGAUUACGAUAAGGAAGAUGGCAUGCUCUUCUAGGACGGUUAUUUUGUUGCUUAUACUACUCACCGUCUUCAACCCUUCAACACUUGCUGAGUUUAGCACUGAAGAUUCAUACGAGAAACAUAUCGAACGAGGACAUGUUCCUAGCAUCCCUGUCCCGAGCUUUGGCAUCCCUCGCCCUCGUCCUCGUCCUAGGCCGCCACCAAUAGACAGACCCCAAAACGACGCUCCCUAGGCCUACCCUACCACUAUUUUCUAUCAUAAACAACUCUCUUCUUUCUCUUCCAUCGGGAAAUUGUACUCAAAACAAAUUUUUAUUUAUUUUUUGCAAUCUCUUUCGUUUGUUUGCUCAUGUGUAGUAUUUAAGUUCUUUUUAUUUAUGAGAAGCUUUUAUCCAGAGAAGGCUUCCUUCCAUACCAAACUUACCAACUAAUUACCAGCUUUCAAUUUCAUCUCAUCAUGUGAAAAAUAAUAAUAUAGUGAUAAUCAAUUUAUAGAUUAGUAAUUUUUGGUUAAUACUAAUGUGGCUUUCAUAUCCAUGUGUACCGUAUGCUCUACGAUCAUAUCCAUGUGAUAGAUGGUGCGGUCCUCCUUUGACCAUCAACAUAAGAUUACCACCAAUAAUAAAUAGCAUAGAGUAAAACAUGAUUACCAAUUAUUCGAUCUUGAUUAGGUUGUCGUUAAUCUUAAGUGUAUUUUAAAAUUAUGAAAUAUAAGUUUGAAAUAAAUAGAUAGAUAAUUGUUUUUAUUAUACAUUAAUUGGUAUAACUACCGAAAAUUCAUUUUUGAUAUCGGAAUACUUUUAUAUGUAACUUUCUAGCUUGAUUGAGGAGAACGAUGGACAAAAAAAACAAAGAAAAAGACAAGAAUUUAAACACACGUAGAAGAUUCAUAACUUUGACCCAUAAAUCAAAAGAAAAAUAAAAAUAAAAAAUAAAAAGUUUGAAAAUUUAAUAUCUAAGAAGUCCAAUUUUGACUUGGUGGUAUAGUGUUGAGUCCAUUUCAUUGGAUAGAUUUAUCUACUCCUUAAGUAAAACCCCUUUUUAAAUUUUCUUUCCCAUUAAUAAAAAUAACCAAGUUUUACAUUUUUUUUCCAAUUUUUAAAUUUAAAAUUAUUUAUAUCUUUUAUCUUGGAGACUCACCUAUCAGGUGGAAGUCAAAGAAGCAAAACAUUAUGUCUCGUAGCUCAUCAGAAGCAAUUACAGAGCACUUACAUCAACAAUCUGUGAAGUGUAAUGGAUUCUCUAUUUUCUUCAAGACCUUCAUGUUCAACGUCAGCAACUAGCCCUUUUUCUUGUGACAACCAAUCUUCAUUACAAAUAGCUUCCAAUCAAGAGUUUCAUGAGCGCAAAAAUUACAUAGAAAUUGAUUGGCAUUUCUCUCUCAUUUUCAACGAGUUCUAAUUUUUUUUCUAUAAGGAAAUAAACCUACUUCAUUCUAGAAAAAUUAUCAAUAAAAAGAAUAAAAUGAAAUUACAAUUUAGUUCUAAAAAAGGGUUUGAAUAGAAGCUAGAAUUAUUUUGCAAAACCUUUCCUAAAACAGAUGUGAGCAGACGAUCUACUAAACAACGUCUAUAAAUUCGAAAUAACUGAAAAGGUUUCUACAAAUCCUUUCUACAUAAUCACGGAAGAAUUGAAUGAGAUGGAAUACAUUCUAAAUUAGCUAUACGAACCGUUUUCGAUAUGAAAAAUGGUCUCUAUGGCGUGUAAAGAAUAUGGAAGUUGAAAUUUCAAUUCAUCUUCGAUUCUUGAUAACCAAUGUCCCAUCUUAUUUCUCAAGUAUUACAUUCAACUAGCAAAAUUUGUAUAACUUAGUAAACAAAACUAAUGAUAAAUUUACCACAUUAACAAUUUCACAUUUCCAUUGCAAAGAGUGAAUAAUCAUCCCAUUGGUUCAGAAUCUCAAGAGAAAUAAAAAAAAUAAAAUCGUUAAGAAAAGCAUGACACAUGUAGAAAGAGGAACAUUCUUCGGAGAAUUUUGUGCAGUUUUCUGAAUCCAUCGAAUUGUUUAUAGUUCACCACUGUCAGACAGUUCAACCUUAAUUAUCCAUAUCCAUCUUUAGAAGGGAUUGAGUUCACCUGUGAGAAGAAAUGUAGGACAACAUGAAAACUCUUGCUGUUCAUAAAAAAAAAAAUGUAUUCAUUGCAAUACUUCAGUGAUGCAUAGGCGUAGUGUUCUUAAAAAACGUAACUCACAUUUAUCGUGGAGCAAAUUCUUGUGUUGAUAGACAUGCAAAUUUGAGAAUUUAUAAAAGGAAAAUGAUACUUGAACAACAACUUUUGACAACAUUUAGAUACGAGACACGUGUUCAAAUAUGAAUGGUGCAUAUGGAAAAUGAAUUUUUAAUAUGAAAAUGGUGUGGCAAUGAGAAUUGGGGACAUGUUUCAAAUUUUGGUUUCAUUUUCUCAUUUUCAAAUUUGUAAUCUGUGGAAUGUUUGAGAGAGAACCUCUGAGCAGGAAAACUAGAGAGAGAGAGACUCGUCUUCCCUCCACCCAGCCACCACUGCCGCCGGAGUGCUGCCUUACUGCCGGCUUUCGUAGGCAAAAUCUAGUCGGUGUCGUCUUCCCUCCACCCAGCCACCCAAUGUCGUCGGAGUGUUGUCGUAGUGCGUCGUUCAUACGCGAAACCUAGACGAUCUCAUCUUCCCUCCAUCCUGUUAGAGUGCUGCCAUAGUACCGUAGUGCGUACGCGAAACCUGCGCUUUCAUUUAGGAUGUGAGAAAGUCCCAACUCCUCUUACUUAUUGGUUGAACUGUAGCUUCGAAUUAAACAAGUUAUGAACAUUUUGCACAUUCUGGUUUUUUGUGCAAUUUAUGCAUUUAAACUUACCAUAUUUGUGAUGUUUUCUUUUAGAAUUAAGGACGUUCAAUAAACCAACGAAUCAUAAUUAUUAAGAGUCAUGCUGCAGGAACAAAAUUGGUAUUAAAGGCAAAAUAAGUGGGUACUUCAGUUGAACUUUCUGCACAACAAGGUCAACUAUAUGACCAUGAAACUCAUUUUGGAGUGUCUAAUUUCUUUCUCGUCAUUUUUUACAAUUAUAAGUAAUUUGGAACCAAUUUUUAUACAAUUUAUGAACAAAAAUGUGGCAAAUGAAGCAUAAUUACUAAGAGUCAUGGUGCAGGAACAAAACUGGUAUCAAAGGCAAAAUAAGUGGGUACUUCAGUUAAACUUUUUGCACAGGAAGGUCAACUAUGUACAUGAAACUCAUUUUGGAGUGCCUAAUUUCUUUAUCAUCAUUUUUUCCAUUUAUAAGUAAUUUGGAACCAACUUUUAUACAAUUUAUGAACAAAAACGUGGCAACGGAAGCAUAAUUACUAAGAGUCAUGGUGUAGGAAUAGAACUGGUACCAAAGGCAAAUUAGGUGGGUACUUUAGUUGAACUUUUUGUACAAGAAGGUCAACUAUGUACAUGAAACUCAUUUUGGAGUGCUUAAUUUCUUUCUCAUAAUUUUUUCCAAUUAUAAGUAAUUUGGAACCAACUUUUAUACAAUUUAUGAAAAAAAACGUGGCAACGGAAGCAUAAUUACUAAGAGUCAUGGUUUAGAAAUAGAAUUGGUACCAAAGGCAAAAUAAAUGGGUAAUUUAGUUGAACUUUUUGCACAAGAAGUUCAACUAUGACCAUGAAACUCAUUUUGGAGUGCUUAAUUUCUUUCUCAUCAUUUUUUCCAAUUAUAAGUAAUUGGGAACCAAUUUUUAUACAAUUUAUGAACAAAAACGUGACAAAGGAAGCAUAAUUAUUAAGAGUCAUGGUGUAGGAACAAAACUGGUACUAAAGGCAAAAUAAGUGAGUAAUUUAAUUGAACUUUUUGCACAGGAAAGUCAACUAUGUACAUGAAAAUCAUUUUGGAAUACCUAAUUUCUUUCUCAUCAUUUUUUCCGAUUAUAGGUAAUUUGGAACCAAUUUUUAUACAAUUUAUGAACAAAAACGUUGAAAAGGAAGUAUAAUUACUAAGAGUCAUGGUGCAGGAACAGAACUGGUCCCAAAAGCAAAAUAAGUGGGUAUUUCAGUUGAACUUUUUGCAUAGGAAGGUCAAUUAUGUACAUGAAACUCAUUUUGGAGUGCCUAUUUUCUUUCCACCAUUGCCACUUAAGCCAAUUUAUUUUCAUUAUUUUUUCUACAUAGAACCAUGUACAUACAAUAUUUCAUAAAUCCGAAAUCCAAAUUUACUGCGGACUGCAGUGCAAACAUUUUAAACAUUGAUCACUCUGAUGUUCAAAUUUCAUUAACAAUAAACCUAACAACUACUUUUCUUUCUACAUUCUUUAGAACAAAUAUGUCUAGUUAGCAUCAAUACAUAUUGAAAAAGUUCUUAAUAAACAAUAAAUAACUUUGCAAAAAUCAUUAUUUCCCAACAUUCUACAAAAUGUCUAAAUCUUGGAACACUUGAUUCCUCCGCACAUUGUCCAUAUCCAAAAUCCAUUCACAAAUAUAUUGCUCUCUAACAUGUUGCAGUCCCUCCUGAAAAGACAAAAAUGCACAACAUAUCAAUAAAAUGCAACAUUUCUAUGAAAGCUCCACAACAUGAAAAUUUUUACAUUCUUAGAAUUGUGUAAGUGGACAUUGUGUUUCCUUAGUAUUUCUCAAUUGUCAUCCCAAAACUUCAUACCUCUUUAUAUAAUUAAAUUAUUGUAGUUAUCUAGUUAAUACUUUGGUUUAAACCCCUUUUUUGGUCCCUAAGUUAAGUUCUGAUGUUCAAUUUAGUCCCCGCUUUUAAAAAUGUCAACUUUUAGUUCCUAUGAUAUGAAAAAUGUAUCAAAUCAGUCCUCAUGACAACACUUAAUGAACAAUAAAUCACAAGUUUUCAUGCCUAGGUAUCCAAUAUUUUGUGAUUUGUUAACGGAAGGUGUUAUGAACAACAAAUCACUUAAUGAAAAACUUGUGAUUUGUUAANGAAUAGGACUGAUUUGAUACAUUUUUCAUAUCAUAGGGACUAAAGGUUGACAUUUUUAAAAGCGGGGACUAAACUGAACAUCAGAACUUAACUUAAGGACCAAAAAGGGUUUAAACCUAAUACUUUUAAUUCCAAACCAUUAUCUAAUACUUAAUAUAAUAUACUAAUAACCCCUUGUUACAAGCUAUCAUAUAUAUAUAUAUAUAUAUAUAUAUAUAUAUAUAUAUAUAUAUAUAUAUAUAUAUAUAUAUAUAUAUAUUUAUUUAUUUAUAUAUUUAUAUAUAUUAUUUUAAAUAUUCCACUAGAAAAGUUUACUGUAUUUAUAAUAUAUAUAACAUUGUAAUCCUGUACACAAAAUCCUAAACAAAAUAUAUAUUAGUAUGCCGUAUAAUAUAUAACAUAAUAAUUAUAAUAUUUUAGAUCCAAAAUUUCAACCAAAAACUUAUGCUAUAUAAUAAACAAUGUAAUUAAUUCAUAUUAUAUAUAAGUGGAUGUUUAGUUUAGUCCCCGUUUUUAAAAAUGUAAAUCUUUGGUCCCUAAGUUAUAAAAAAUAUAACAAAUGAGUCCUUUUUUUAUGUUCAUGGUCAAAGUAUAAAGAACAAUCUAAAGUGUUGUUAUUAUUAAGAAACAAAUCAGAGCAAUCUAAAGAUGUAGUAGUUGUAAAGAAACAACCAAAAACAGUAUUUUAAGUCAAAAAAGGACUCAUUUGAUACAUUUUUUAUAACUUAGGAACCAAAGGUUUACAUUUUUAAAAGCAGGGACUAAACUGAACAUUCGCUCAUAACUUAGGGACCAAAAAGAGAUUUAAACCAAUAAAACAACGACAUUUUACUUUUUUGUUUUUGGCAAAAACAUUAUAAAACAGCAAACAGAUCACUAAAACUUUCUUCUCUCUUAUUUCAGUCUAAGAAUAAAAAGUAGGUUUAUCUUCAUUACCCAAGUGUAUAUCAUUCAUGCAUCAAUAUUUAAUAUUCAUACACUUUAAAAACUCACUAUUCAUGUACAUUUUAUAAAAUUUCUUCCUUCCUAAAAUAACCACUACAAAAAUAAUGUGAUGUAACAGGGGUUUAUUUUCAGAGGUUUUAAAAACUCCUAGAAAAUUCCGACGGUUUUAUUAAGGUUUAAACCAUCAGCUGGUCUUCACUUUUGUAUGGUAAUCUCAGUUGGGUCCUCAUUUUUUAAACGGUCUCAAUUGAGUCAUACUUUUGUAAAAAGGUUUAAUACCUAUUUUGGUCCCUCUUUUUGGGGGGUUUGUUCAAAGUGGUCCUCCCUUUUUUAAAAAGUUCAAUAAGGUCCUACUUUUUGCAAAAACUGUGCAAGUUAGUCCUUUUUGCUAACGGCGUUAAUUCUGCUAACGGCAGAGCUGCCAGCUGGCAAAUAUUUGAUGACUUGUACAAAUAAAAUUCGUUUUAGUCCUCAUAUUGGUUUAAAAAUGUUCAUUGUGGUCCUCGUAUUGGUUUAAAAAUGUUUAUUGUGGUCCCGUUUUGGUUUAAAAAUGUUCAUUGUGGUCCUCGUAUUGGUUUAAAAAUGUUUAUUGUGGUCCCGUUUUGGUUUAAAAAUGUUCAUUGUGGUCCUCGUAUUGGUUUAAAAAUGUUUAUUGUGGUCCCUUUUUUAAAAAGUUCAAUAAGGUCCUACUUUUUGCAAAAACUGUGCAAGUUAGUCCUUUUUGCUAACGGCGUUAAUUCUGCUAACGGCAGAGCUGCCAGCUGGCAAAUAUUUGAUGACUUGUACAAAUAAAAUUCGUUUUAGUCCUCAUAUUGGUUUAAAAAUGUUCAUUGUGGUCCUCGUAUUGGUUUAAAAAUGUCCAUGGUGAACUAAACCCUUUGUUGUUGGGGAACAAUGUAAUCUUUUGAAACUCUCUUAUAUUGAAAUUCUUAUUUUAUUCAUAUGCUUGCAUAUGCUUUUAUUAUCAAUUGUUGAGUUUCUUAUCUAUGCUUAAUGUUUUUAUCGUUUAACUCAUUCGAUAAAAAGAUAUUUGCCUUUGUCGAUACGGAGACGUACGGGGAAGUCAUGAACUGAUAGAGAAUUCCUUGAUUAAGCAAUACUACCUAGAGAUAGGAGUAGGACGAUCAUUUGUAUUUUGCUUCUAUGAUAAAUGCAUUGCUAAUUACUUAGGGAGACUAGAGAUAGUAAACUAGUAGUUAUUAGUAGGCUCUUUUCGCUGAGAGAUCGAGUUUAGGGUAGGCAAAGAAAGUUUGCAUGACAAUUAGAUAAUAAAGCGAAUUUAAUAAGAAAAGUAGAUAUAAGAGGGCAGAAAAGAUGAAAUUGUAAACUUCAACGACUCCAUUCAUUCAUAUAUUUUCUUUGCCAAUUGAAUCACUUGCAUUUGCAUGUUUAUUUUCGUUCUUUGCAUUAAACACUUAGAAUCAAUUCUUUUCAAGUCUUAUAAGAUCAAUUUACAUGAAAGAUAAGGUCUAAGAGUUCUUUGGAAGACGAUACUCGGACUUACCGUUUAUAUAUUACUUGAUAACGAUCUGAUACACUUGUUAGGGGCUUAACAGUUUUGCAGCCUCUUUAAUGCAGAUAUGUCAUGAGUUUGAGAAUUUACCCUCAUAUUGUUGUCGGAACACCUGGAAGAAUACUAGCAUUGACUAGGGAUAAGGAUUUUUUUUUGUAUAAUGUGAGACAUUUCAUAUUAAAAUAAUGUGACAAGAUGUUGGAAUCACUUGGUAUGUUUCAUUGUUGAAUGACCACUCUACUGUUUUUAAUUUUACUUUCAUAUGGUCAUUAUUGUUCCUUUUAUGGUUUCUCCAGAUAUGAGGAAAGAUGUUCAACACAUUUUCAAAAUGACUCCCCAUGAUAAGCAAGUUGUGAUGUUUUCCUGAACACUCAGUAAGGAAAUUCGCCCAAUUUGCAAGAAAUUUAUGCAUGUAAUAUCUCAUACUUACAUACUGCUCACAAUCCCUAAGAGUUUUCAAGAUAUUUAGAAUGCUGUGGUUUCAUCGUUUUCCUUACCACAGGUUUUUCUUUUAGGGUUUUCUAUUUACACUACUUUUACUGAAACACCCAGCUGGUAGGUGGAGUUUAGUGGUCUGAUGACCGGAUAUUGGGUUAGGAAGAAGUUUAGGAUGAUAUAUUUUAGGUGUGAUCCUAUUUGUUCUUGAAUUAUUAUUUGUUCUUAAAUAUUGUAUUCUUUUGCAAUUUAUAAUUACCAACUAAUUUUAAGAAUCCUAUGAUUGAUUUUAAUAUUUUAGCAGGUACAAUAAAGUUUUUAAAUUCCUUUUAUUAUGGCAGCGUGGCAUUCUGGGUUUUGGGCCUCAUUUCUUUUAGUGGCCAUGGUGAAGUUGAAGAUAUAGAUGAAAGGAUAGGCGCAUGGUGGAAUUUUUUGUUUGUAUACAUAUUAAUAUACAUUUACAUAUACUUUUCAAACAAAAUAAAACAAUCUUAAUAUAUUUCAAAUGAAAAUUAAAAUUUUAAAUAAAUUGUUAUUAUUAAUAAUAAUAUAAAUUUGUGUAAUUAUUUAUUUUAACAUAUUAUUGACUAACUAUUAUUUUAAUGUUGUAGGCAUUUGAUUAAGGAAAUAGAUGAAAUGAAGAAGACAAUUGAAGAAUAACUAGAUUUUCUUUUAUCAUUCAGAACAUGUAUUUUUAUUUUAGGUUUUAAGAUUAAACAUGUUAUUUAAGUUGUAUGUUUAACAUUUAUAGUUUAUUUUAUAUAAUAAUAAUUAAUUUUGAUUUUUAGAUUAUUCUAGUUUAUUUUUAAUUAUUUAAAUUAUUCUGAUUUAUCAUUAUAUUUUUUCAUGUUAAUUAAAUCAUUAAAAUUAUAAAAAAAUUAAAUUAUUUGCAUUAGUGGUUUUGAAAACUGCACUUACAUAAAUCCAUAAAUUACCGAUGGUUUUCUGUAACCCUCAUAAGUAUCAGCGGUUUUUGUGAAAACCUCGUGAAUAGCGACGGUUUUGAGAAAACUUAUAAUGGCGGUUUUAAGAAAACCCCGUAAAUAAUGGCGGUUUCUGUGAAAACUUCCGCAAAUAACGGUGUUUUGAAAACUCCCGCUAAAGCCGCUCACUAGUGCAAAAUAUACAUUUUAUACCUUUUAAAAUUUAGUAGGUAUAAAAAGUAAUACAGUGGUACUAUUACAAUAAAAAAGAGAUAUAAAAAACUUUUUUAUACCUAUUAAUAUUAGAAGAGGUAUAAAUUAUUGAUUUACAUCUCUUAAAUAUUAUAAGAGGUAUAAAUUAUUUUACCAAUUCAGUUUCUUUUUCCCGAGAUACUUUCUUUCUUUUUUGCGCAAAACUUCAUCUCCAUUGCCAAUCGGUUCAGUCGUGUUGAGGUGGUUGGGUAGAGCUUUUCUUCCCGUUUCAAGUUGUUUGCCUUUCUCAUUCACUAUAACUUCGCACAUUUCUCAGAAGCAGAAGUCUCAGAAGCAGCAUUUCUCACCGUCUUCGUACAUCAAAGAGCUUUUCAGCGUCGUCUUCCUCACUUUCAAUGGCUCGAGAGCUCAUCCUUCACCAUCAUAGAGCAUCUUCCUCACUUUCAGGUUAGGGUUUCUCCCGCAUUUCCUCAUUUCCUCAUUUCCUCAUCUUCCACCGUUAUAAUCACAUUCUACCAAUUAUAAUCCCUUUUCACCGUUUAAAACUCCUUUUCCACCGAUCAAUCGGUCCAUUCUAGGGAUCCAUGGUUCCUUCACGGUUUUCCAUCGAUUAAACAAGUUCUCUUGAGGGGCGUGUGCUACCAGGGAACAACUCUUACAACUCAGAGAGGUAUUUUAUAUGUUUUGGUUUGUCUGUAUGUGUUGGAAUAUCCAAGAUAUUAUUUGUGAUGCUGAUAUUGUGUAUGGGCAGUACCAGUGGUUUUUCAGUAACACUUGUUUCAUUCUCUGAAUUUUAUAACCUUAACCAUUUCUGAAUUUUCAUCAUGACAGAACUCAAAAGUCACCAUCAUCAAACAUGUUUGUUUUAGGAAAAUAGGCUUUGUUUUAAAUUUUGUGGGAUUUGGAAAGGGUGGUACCAUUUAUGAUUGCUGUUGUCGCUUACUCACAAGAUAUGGAGGGUGUUACUGAGUGAUUGAAAAGUUAAAGAGAGAGAGAUAUAAAGUACGCGAAGCCAUGAGGAACUGACUCAGAAGAAACGAGGUUGUCUUGCUAUUGUUGUUGUGUUGUGUUGUUUGUUUCUCGCUACAAGCCUUUUUCUUUUUUCUACCUUUAAUUUUUAAACUAUUUCUAAUAGAGUAAUAAAAAGAAGGCUUUUUUUAUUAUUUUUUUUUUCUUCUGCUGCUAUUCAUACUACACUAAAGUUUUAGUGGCAUCUUUAAAUAACACCACAAAACAGGGCAUCCUCUUAAACUCGACUUAUCCUAAACCAUGAGUGCACUAAUCAUUUCUAUUCUUANGCCACAAACUCAACUAUGAAAAUUUGGUAAUGUGCCAAUUUACAAAAAAUGAAUAUGAUCAUAAAUGGCUACGGGAUAUAUAUGUUGUUCAAACUAAUUUCACAAUAUUCNCUCUAUGCAUAACUGAUUUUCUGAUUUUGUUAUAUGUUAUUUUAUUUAAUAUGUAAUCCAGGGAAAAAAAAGGUAAAUGCAAGGCAAUGCAAUAGAGGAAUCUGUCUGCAAAAUCCAACCUCUGCAGCAAAAAGUACAAUAGUUUAGACUUUAAGGUAAACGUUAAGUGAUAGCUACAUGUGAUAUAUAUAUAUAUAUAUAUAUAUAUAUAUAUAUAUAUAUAUGAUCAUAUCCUAUAUCUUAUGAUGAUUUUACGUUCAUAUUUUGAGUUUAAAAGCUUAAGUACUACAACAUUUAGUGUUUAACCAUAAAACAAACAUAAGUUAGUAUUUCGAAUUUCCUAUGUUUUACUGGUUUCAGAUCAAUACAAUAUUCUGACAUCAUAAACAUAACCGGCUAGAGCAAAUUUUAGCAGAACUUGGUGUAGUUGUUACAUCGAGAUUUAGAGGACCUAGUCUAGUUUAGUGGUGAAUAAGUUUUCAACAUUCUGCAGUAAAUUGAAGUGGUUAAAGGUUAUGCAACACUGGACAAAUUUCUGAUAUAUGAUAAGGCGAAGGACUGAGAUAAAUUAUAAGAUUUACCAAAUGUAAUAGAUGUUUUCAAUUGUUUGAUAGAUGAUUUACCAAGUGCAUGGUUCUAUUUGAAAAAUUAUUUUGUCACUCUUCAGAUAGUGAGACCAGUAUGGAGCGGUCUACAGAUGCUUUCAAGGAAACUCAUAAUAUAACCCUGUCUACCGAAGAUACUUUAUUUGGGGGUCUGGUGUCAAACCUUCAGGUACUUAUAACCCGAAAUCAGUACACUGCUAAAUGUUAUUCUUGUUCUUCUUUUCUUUUGGCACUCUCUUAGUUUGUGAUUAUAUAUUUUCUUGGUAGGAUCAUUGCCAAUCUAAUUUUGUAAAAGUUUAUACUGGAAAUUGAGGAUCAUGCUAAUGAGUGUCCUGAAUGGGAGUGCAUUAGUAGAAUCCAAUACUACAAUUGCUCAUAAAACCUUUUGUGCUUUUAAUUCCUUAACCACUGAAUAUGGAUUAUCAUUCUCUGUAUUCAAGAAUAGGAGUAUUUAUCAUGUCUGGCAGNUNUUAUAAUCUUUGCAACCAAGAAAAGCCACAUUUACUGNAGAUACUUCGGUGGGGUAAGUAUUGAAACUUUAGUAACAAUUCCCAAGGAACCUUCACUUCCUACAUCAUCCGUAAUUUAAUUUACAAUCAAAUAUUUUACUUGUUUCGAGAUUCAACGUGUUGUUCACCCCAUACUUGGGUCUAUUGAGAGCUCGNAUGUACCCUUUGNUGUCCAUAAAGUCUCUCCUGUUUCUAUUUCAAAGGCCAUAAAAAAUGAAUCAGAGUUAGAAGGGAUGCAAAAUUGCCAUUUAAGGUAACCCUAUUUUACCUUUGUCAGGAUUAUUGUUGAUGGUUUAUGCAUGUUUCAAUUUCUGUGCUUUAAUGAUCUUUUCCUAAUUGGAGCUCUGCCUGCAUAUUGGUGGUGGCUGCAUAAUUCAUUCUUCAUCCAGUUAGAUAUUCAUAGAUGUUUGAUAAAAUUGUUCAAUUAAAUUAGUGUACUUGUCAAACAAAAGGAGGAAUAAACACAUGUCCGUAUGUACAUAUAGUUAUGCUAUCUUUUCAUUUCUAGGGAUGCUGCUGCCCUUGCUCAGUUCUGGGAUUGGUUAGAAACAGAAAUUACCAAAGAUAGAACAUUGACAGAAGUAAAGGUUUCGGAUAAACAGAAAUUAUCUGGAAGGUACCAUUACUAAAUUCACUGUGUCAAAUAUUUAAUUCAUGAAAAUCUUUUACACUACUUUCUGACUACUUGUUUCAACAUUAAAUGACUAGGUAUUCAUUGUUAAAGUGAAAGUGAUGUGCCAAUACAUGCAAUUGGAAGAAGGGCUACCACUGAGAUGGAGAAAUCAGUGUUAAGUUCAUAAAAUUACAUUGGCUAAUUGAUUUGUCAUAAAUAUUAACAGAUUUAUUUAUUAGAGAUAAAAGGUGAUAUAUUAGACUUUUUCUAAUUUAUUUUUCAUAAAUAUUAACAGUUAAGUACAUGAAAAUCCAAAGUGUUUAUCUUUUCUCUUAUAGCGGUAUCUCUUUUGCAUGUGUUACACCAUGAUGAUCGGCUGAGUUUUUUUUUUGGAGAGAAAUAUACUCAUUAUUAUUUUUUUUUAAAAUAAAGCAGUAAGAGAAGAGUAAACUGAAAUGAAAGAUUUUUUCAAAACAUGGUCAGUGAGGGGUGCGUGAUUGGUUAUACUCGUAAAAAUUUGUAUUUUUUCAGUACUUAAUUUGUAUUUUAGUUUUAUUGUAAAUUAUAAAGAUUAAAUGUUAAAGGAAAUAGGUUUUCAAUAUCUAAUAUAGAAAUAAUAUAACUGUUAAAUAGUUAUAUAUAAUUUAAAUUCCAUAAUAUUUACAAUGUGUGCUAAUAGAAACAAUAUUUAGGAACUUGGUUAGGUAAAUAUUUUAUUUUGAUGUGUUAAUAGAAACAAUAUUGAUUAUUUAAACUGUAUUUUAGGAUUGAAUUUUAUGCAGGUUUGGAUAAGGAUAUUAAUAUAUACAAAUCAAAUAUUAAAAAAAAAUCACUUUUUACACCGGUUAAAUCCAUAUAAGGUAUAAAAAGUCUUUUUUUUUACACCGGUUAUAGUAUAAGCAGGUAUAAAAGUGAGAUUUUUUUUAUACCUAUUCUAGUACUAAUAGGUAUAAAAAAGAGCUUUCUAUACCUAUUAUAAACAGAAGAGGUAUAAAAGUAAACUUUCUAUACCUAUUUUAAAGUAGGUAUAAAAAAUCGAAAACUUUCUAUACCCCUGCUUUUAUACUAGCUUGAAAAGAGGUAUAAAAAGCUUUUUUUAAGAGGUAUAAAAAACCUUUUUUGUACUAGUGGCUCGAAAUUUUGUGACGGUAAUUUUCCCAGUGGUUUUGCCAACAGCGGGAAAUGCAUUUACGAGGAGUUAAAACUACCGGUAAUGCAGAAAAAAAAAAAACCCUGAUAAAAUUCGGUAUUUUUGUAGUGAACCUCUUCAUUUUAUAUUCAACUUUAUUCAUAUAUUAACUCAACCAAGUCACACUUCAUCCAAAACUUACGAUACAUCAACAUUACUCUAAUUUCCAUAACCAGAUUUUAUUCUAGAAUCAAGCAUACAUCAAGCUAACAUUUGUCUACAUAUUAUCUUUCUAAUUUCAAGUAUAUUUGAAUCCAGAACCAAUAAAUAAAUAUAUAUAUAUAUAUAUGUAUGUAUAUAUAUAUAUGUAUGUAUAUAAAUGAUAUUGAGAGAAAUUUCUAACUACACAUUAGCCAUUACAACACCGAAUAGUCUAUUAAUAUUUGAUUCCAAAACAGCAAGGUCAUAUUCCUAAUUUGCAUACAAUCUGCAUUAAAAUCAAUUAGCAUAAUUUGACAGAAUAGGACACACUCAUACACUUUUAUUUUGCAUAUAUCACAAGAAAGAUUGUAGAAAGAUUGAUCAAUCAAUAUGUUCAUAGUUAACAAUCCAUUAUAAAAUUAGAUAUAUUAGUCUAUACAUCAUAAACCAACUAUCAGAAAUCAAUCCCAAAUUGAUUCGUAUAAGUAAUCGAAAACCCCAUUUUACCUUUCUUUUUCAUAUAACAUAAAAGAGUAUAUGGAUAAAAAUUUCCAACAUCCAUAGGCACCAUUACAAUCACAUAUCAACACGAUACAAAAAUCAAAAGCAAUUUAGCUCUCCAUACAAUUCAAAAAUAUAGGUAGCCUCUACCUACCAAGUUCACUAAUAAGGACCUAUAAAACAGUAUUGAAAGAAAGAUAUGCAGUCAUCGAGACUAUUGAAAAAAAUCAACUUUCAUGUUCAUUCAUGCAUCCCUUAAAACACUUGGAAGGUGCAGGAAAAUUAACAUCGAGUCGUUCAAAAGACAAAAAUCAAUUUCAAAAGCUCUAGAAAUCUAUCUUACAGCAAUUAUCGGGACCAAUGAUUGCUAUUAAACAUUAAAAUAAAAACAGCAAAGGUAUGAUUAAUUAAGGAAGCAAGUCAUAGUUAAAAGGAAGAAAAGACCUUUUAUAAAGUUACUUCGGCGGUACUCCGGCGAAACUCCGGUUGAACUCCGGCAACAAUGGGUGGUAGGAGGAAGCGCAGGUUUCACGUACGCACGGUGGCACUACAACGUCAAUGGGUGGCUAAGCGGAGGUAAGACUAGAACGUCUAGGUUUCGCAUGAAACGCAACACUACGACGGAACUCCGGCGAUAGUGAGUGGAUGGAUGGAGGGAAGACAACACCGUCUAGAUACGACGACACUCCGACGGCAUUGGUGGCUGGCUGGAAGGAAGACAAAUUUCUCUCUCAACUUUUCGUGCUUCAGCUUCCCUCUUAAAUGUUCCUCAAAUGGCAAAUCUGAAAAUAACAAAACGAAGCUGAAUUUUGAAAUCUGCCCCCAAUUCUCAUUGUCACGUUAUUCUCAUAUUAAAAAAUCAGUUUUCACGUGUACCACUGAAAUUUGGACAUGUGUCCCGUAUUCAAAUGUUGUCAUAAAUUGUUGUUCAAAUAUCAUUUUCCUUUAUAAAAGUAUAAACUUUCAAUGGUUUUAUUCUCUUUCUCCGUUUAUUACUCUAGAGUGCUUUUAUAACUGAGAUGUCGAUGCAAAGUAUUCGGUCAAAGGUGUCAUCGAUUUUGGAGUUGUACCAUUUGGUUUAUAGUUACCCGUCCCAACUUCACUGGAUAAGAACACCGUACAAUGUAUAUCCACUCCCUUUUUGUAGAUUUAUUUAAUUUUUUAACCGGGUUUGUUUUGAUACCUUUUCUUAUUAUUUCUAAUAAAUUGUUGCAACAUGAUUAUUGAAUUAUAUAAUUUCGAUUAGACUCAAACCUUUGAAUUCAAAUAAUCACAAAAAUAAACUUUCACACUUAGCUUUGACUAUUUUACUAGUGGUGCACAUAAAUUGAAGUCCAAUCAUCAAUACAUCACUUUCCUGUAUUCUGAUUUUUAUUUGAUAAACCAAUUGCCUAAAUAUUGUCUACUUCGUUGCUCCUCGCCAACUCUGUUAUUUGUAUUCUGACACUCUUCUCUGCAGACAUGUCGCGGUUGCCUUUUGCUAUUGUUUUCCUUUUGACUGCAGCAUUUGCGGUGUUUUGUUCAAGUGGCCAUGCACCACUUGGUUGCAAUGAAGAAGAAAGGCAAGCUCUUCUAAGGAUCAAAGGAAGCUUCAAAGAUCCAUCAAGCCUUUCAUCUUGGGAAGGAACUAGUUGUUGCCAAUGGAAAGGUGUAGGUUGCAAUAAUCUUACAGGCCAUGUUGUCAAGCUAGAUCUCAGAAAUCCUUGUUAUCCCUUACAAGGAGAUUUUCAAACCUAAAUAUUACCAUGUGUCAUCCAUUGGUGUAAUGUGCGCGAAUAAUGGUCAUCAUCCAAAAUAUGACGUAGUAACCACAUUCAUAUGACUCCGUUUGUCUAUUACAUUACAAUAUAUCAUCAUAAUUAUAAAAUGUUAAGUAACAUCAUUGAAAUAAUACAAAAUAUAACAAAGUAUGAACUAAAUUACCAAACUUUAAGGAAAACCCAUGCAAGCUUUUUAGCUGUAGGAUCUCCCAAAAUAACAUCAUAUGUGUUGCAAGGGAACUAUAAAAAAAAUUGUUUUAGCAUACAUUUAUAUAAUAAAGAAAGUUCAAACAUUGAGGUUUUUACCAAUCUACUACAUGUUUAAGAGGGUUGAGAGGAGACUUGUCCAAUAAACAAAACCAGAGAGCAGUGUUCUCCGGUAUGGAGAUCACAAAUAGCUGCCAAUGACGCCUGAAAUUAGUAAUAACUUAAUUAUCAUAUACCAAAAUUAAUAAAUAAAACUUUAAAGUUAACAAACUUCACUUACCCAAGUAUAUAAGGGAGAAAAUAUUUUUCCUUCUUCAUUACAAAGCAGGUGGUAAUGUAUGUUUGGAUAUCAUCAAAUUUAUUUCUUUCAUGAGUCUUAGAGGGCUCAAUGAACCCAUAUACAUUAUUGAAUCCAUUCUUAUCACUGACAUCAAACAUAUUAAAAAAGAGUUGUUAAAAUAUAAUAAUACUAAUAAAAUUGGUGAUUAUGAGAAGAAGAUGACAUACAAUUCUAGGACGCUAGUUUUGUAGACUAGUGUAAUCUUAUUUCAAGAAUGCCUUUAUGAAUUGUCCGAAAACGCACCGCACCGCAAUUUCAUACGAAGACCUGUCUGUUUCAUUUGUUGGUUGCUUUCCCAAUAUUUGAAAACUUUUUUAGCAAACCUUUUAAUAAUAAGAUACUUGUCAUGAUUUUAUUGAUUUGUUUGAAGUUAUAUUUAAAAACAUUUUGUUGUUGAUUUGCUCUCAAAAGAGAUAUUUUCUUUGGAUAAUAUUCUCUUGAAUUAUAAUUAGUUAUUUCAAAAUAUCUUAUAACAAAUUUAUUUCAUUUUGUUUUUUUUCGAUAUUUUAAUCAAAAAUUAUAACAGCAGUAACAAUAAACAUCUACAAAAUUUUAAAAUUUAAUUCAAUUUGUACAUUUAAAAUUAUUUAAAUUUCCUCCAAAAGUCAAAUUACUCUGAAAUUUUAAAUUUCUUUCCUCUUUCAAACAAAAUAAUAUUUAUUAUCCAUAAUCUUAACUUUUUUAAAUUCUAUUCUUACCAAGAAAAAAAUUAUUUAUAUUUUUUUAAUUUUAGAAUUUUUUAUAAUUAAUUAUUUUCAAUUUAAUUUGUAUAGCAUCACAUUUCAUUUUCAACACAGAUCUAAAAAUUACAAGGUAUAUUUUUAUUCAUUUUAUAUUUGUUAUUGCAUCUUUUAAAAUCUUUUCAAUAUUUUAUUUUUCCAAUAAUAAUAUCAAUAACAAUAAAAAUUCACAAAGAUUUUUAUUUUUUUAAUUUUAAUCUUUUUUUAAAAAAAAUGUUUUGUACAAAACCAAGUUAUAUUUCACCUUAUUUAGUUUUUAAAUUUCUCUGCUAUCUUAAGCCGAUUAAAAUUUGUUCUCCACAAUUUCAAUUAAUUGUUUUAAAUAAAAUUUUAUAUUAUCUACUGCUUUUGUGAAACCCAUUUUUAAAUUUUCUUUCGACCAUUAAUAAAAAUAAUAAAGUUUUAUUUUUUUUCAAAUUUUUAAAUUUAAAGUUAUUUACAUUUUUUGCAAAAACCAAAUUAUAUUCCAACCUAAAAGAAUCUUUUAAUUUCUUUCCUCCUUCAAAUCAAUUAAAAAUUAUCUACAAAAUUUUAAUUAUUUUCCUAAAUUAAAAUUUUCGAUCAAAUACAUUAUUUUUUUUUUCUGUCAUGUUUCUCCCCCUUCACAUAAUCCACAAAUCCCAUUUCCAAAAUUCGGUCUUCUGAGAAAAUAAAACGCAUGAAAAAUAGCAACCAAAAAAUUCCGAGAACCAAAUUGCACGUAGUUUACGUGAGCCGAAUUAGAAAAAAAAAAAAAAAAGUAAACAAAAGCAGAUUGAAAAUUUAGGCUCUAAAAAAUCGAAUUCCCACUUGGUAGUAUAGUGUUCAGUGUUAUCUGUAGAAACACCAUCACCUAUAUAACAGUAAGAACGCUUAAAACGUAUAAGAACGUUUGACUAUUCGGCUUUUGUGUUGGUGAAUGGAGGCACAAGCUGUGACAGUGCAAUGACUUGAGAGGCCUGAUUGAUUUCAAUAUUUUUUAAGGGUUAAAUAAAUAUGUUUUUUGCUUCUUUUUUUUUUAAGUUUUGUUCUAUUUUUUUAAGAUUUGUUCUAUUUUUUUUAAAAAAUUAAAGAUCUAGUCUUUUAUUAUUAAUUCUGUUUUUCUUUUUUCUAAAAUGACAAACGGCUGUUUAAGAAAAAGUUAACUCAUUAUUUAUCAUCUCAGAAAAAAAAAAUUAACAGUGUUGGUUAAAGGAUACAUGUAACUUUUUUAAGAAAUAAAAGACGAAAAUAAAGUAAGGAGAGGAAAAAAACUAAAAUUAAGAUAUAGUUUAGAAAGAAAAAGUAUAUUUAAUUUAAUCUUUAAUAAUAAUAAAGCUAAUUGCAUGACUAAAAAUAAUUUAAAAUAUUAAAAUAUAGUAAAUUAAAUUAUAUUUGACUUUAUCGAGUUUUAUUUUUGUUUAAAUUUAAGUAUGUCACAUGUUAAAAUAUAUAAGAGAAUUAAAUUUUAAUUAGUAAAAUAACAUUUUAAAUAAUGCUAAGGUUAAUUUAAUAUCAAUAAAAAUAAAUAUAAAUAUGAAAAUGAAAUAAAAAAUUAAUAAUUAAAGUUUUUAAAAAAUUAGGAGAGCGCAUAGGUUUGGACAAAGAGCAUAUGCUAUAAAAGCAGUGUGUUGGGUUACUUAGUUUAUACAUUGCACACAUACAUGGUGCCUUACAACUUGGGUUUGGUAGGUUAUGAAUAAGAAGAUGUGGUACUUAGUUUUGUUGGUUAUAGUAAUCUUUAACCCUACAAAACAUGGUGAAUCCAGUACUGAAGCGUCUCAGGCCGCCACCAACAGACCGACCAUAGGGAUGCAUAAUGACAUCAUUUUUCCGGUGUUUCACAUCCCUUCCCAUCUUCCCAAGCCGCCACCAACAUCACCUUAAAAGGACGGGACAGCAUAUGCUCCGGAUGCCUGGUCAUUUUCAUCAAAUAAAUAAGGUUUAAUACCUGUUUUGCUCCCUUUUUACGUAGGGUUUGUUCAAAGUUGUCCUUCCUUUUUUAAAAAGUUCAUUAAAAUCCUACUUUUUGCAAAAACAUGUAGUCCUUUCUACUUACAGAAAACUUUUAACGGCAUAGUGCCCAGGUCAGCUAUUAGUGAAUGACUUAUUAAUUUUUUAUACACGUGCCAACUUAAAAACCAAUAAUGUGGAAAUCUGGUAUUUGAAGGUGGUUUUGUUCGAACAUCUACAACUCCAUCGUCCCUCUCCCACCUCCUCCGUCCAAGGGAUUUCCAUCUACAACCAUCAACAAGGUCCCUGUAAAAUACAUACUCAGCCUCGUAAUCGUGCAAAUGAAGCUCAACCUUCUGGUUAGUGUGGUAAUGAUGCUUGGUAAAAGCCGAUUUCCCAAACCCAAAAAUGCUAACCCUAUCACAAAUACCCAAAGCCAGCAUCACAGUUUGCAUCCAAGAAGAGUAAUGAAAAAGAGCCCCUUCUAGCACACAAAUAUAGAAUGUUACUAUUCAUAAAUGAAAUGCUAGUUUUCUUCCCAACCUUGGUCUCAAAGUGAUCAACCCUAGCAUUGUUCAACCUUAUCACAACCUCAUGUGCAUCAAUUUCACUUCCAUAAUCCCUAUCCAGCAAAAUCCCACUGUUCCCAACAAUAGCACAAGAAGAAUAUAUAUUUUUGCCAUUGGUUACUACUUUGUUGUGUGAAUCAAUUGGAAGCUUGAGUGACCGAGUCAACUCGGACAUGAUACCGGGUUGGAAUCGUCGCUUCCUGAACCAAUCAUGCAGAACCUUUCGGAAGUCGAGCCAGUAACGGUAGAAAAGGGGCGACCGGAGCGUCGCCGGGAUGUUGGCGGAGGCUCUGCCGCGGUCGUGGUGCUGCGCAUGGAUCUCUUACUUGAACUUCUCUUCAUCGAUUUCCACCGCGGCGUGGUGGAGGAAUGUGUCGUUGAGCUGCGGCGGCGGAGGGUUGCCGAUCCGGACGCGGUACUCGAGCUCGAUCGAGAGGAUGCCGGGGGGAGGACCGCCCGUGAAGUCAGCGUGGCGGCGAAGACUAGGAGGAGGAGGAGCGCGAAGAGAGGCCGAACCGUGCGUUUCAUCAAAAGAGUGGAGAAAUUAGGUUUCGCAGGGACCUUGUUGAUGGUUGUAGAUGGAAAUCCCUUGCGCGGAGGAGUUGGGAGAGUGACGAUGGAGUUGUGGCGGUGGAAGGCUAUGGAUUCUGGAGUUGAGGCUAGACGAACUUCAAACAAAACCACCUUCAAAUACCAGAUUUCCACAUUAUUGGUUUUUAAGUUGCCACAUGUAUAAAAAAUUAACAAGUCAUUCACUGAUGGCUGACUUGGGCACUGUGCCAUUAAAAUUUUUAAUGCCAUAAGCAGAAAGGACUAACGUGCACUGUUUUUGCAAAAAGUAGGACUUUAGUGAACUUUUUAAAAAAGGGAGGACGACUUUGAACAGACCCUACGAAAAGAGGGACCAAAAUAGGUAUUAAACCAGGAAAUAAACAUCCUUGUUUCUCUCUUGAGGAUCGAGGGUCAGUAUUCCUUGUUUUACGUGAAGUAAUGUUCGCUCGCUGGUUGUUGUUAUGGUGUGGUUCAAUCUACUUGAGGUUUGAAAAACAGAAAAAUACUUUGAGAUUAAGUUAGAUAUGUUUUUUUAUGAGCUUGAAGAACCUAGGUGAUAGGAAAAGGUGUUAUUUAUGAUAUCUAAUUUGUAUUUAUAAAUUUCAUAAUAAUAAUUAAAUCAGAUCUAUUAAUAAUUAUUAUUAUUUUUAUUAACAGCUGUUAUUAAUUAACUGUGCAUCAAUUUCUAUAAGCAAAUUGCACUCGAACAAUUUAUUUAUAUAGAUUUGUAUCUCUAUGUAUUUUCCAACUUUGAAUUGAUAAGAAAAUGUUGUUAAAAUUUCUCCAGGCCUAUCUUCAGAGUUCAAACUAUCUUGUGCUUAUUUUGUACUCCCUCCUCUAGCUUCCUUCUCUUUUGGAAUGCCUUCUAAGUUUGAGAAGUCUCAUACACUCAUCACACCUUCACGAAAACAAUCAACAAACACCUUGUGUACAUCUUUUCCAUCAAUCAUAUUUCCAUCUCCACUGCCUUCUUCUGGUUCGAGUAAUUGCUUUGUCUUGAAGAGUAGAGCCGCUUUUAUCAUACAACCCUUGGUUCUCAAAUUGACCUUGAAGAAGCCACCAUACGACCAAGCUCUCCUAUGACAUCGUCUAUUAUGUUAGAGCUGGAUGAAGCUCUUCUUCAAGAGAUCAUUGAAGCAUCACUCAACCCCUAUCCCUACCCAUUCCUAAACCACCUCCUUCUCCUUCCCACAUUGUUGAACCAAUCAACUAAGUUACCACAACCACCUUGUCCACACCCUCUCUUCAAACCAUCACCUUUUUUCUUUAACCUUUAAACACCAUAACCCAAAUCCUAAUCUACUUUCUGACCCAACUUCUCUUGCCUUGUUGUGACACAUACAAUAUCUCAUGACGUAGCAUGUUGCUCAUAUUAUCGUCGAACUUGCUACCAUAAAGGCUGAGCAAAAUAAGAAGUUCUUAAAAGUGGUCACCACCCUUAACACUUGUUAGUGUUGAUAAAAGCGAGAGAAGGUUUUUAAUAGAGAACAAAAAUAAACAGAAAUGAAAAGGAAAAUAUAUUGAAGGAGAAUAUAUGGAAGGAGAACAAUCAAAACUUAUUUUAUUAAACCAUAGAACAUUGUAAUUUAUAAAUUUUAAAAAUUACUACCUACUAACAAAGUGUUUCUAGAAUUAAGCCAUUAAAUAAAAUGCAUGAAUCAGAAAUAACAAACCUAAACUGAUUCUUUAAAAUUAGGGAAAUAAUAAAAAAAAGUUAAACAAAAUUAAAAGGUGGACAUAUUUCAGUCCUGAAGCAAUUUUCUAACACUCCUUCUUGUUUUAGGAGCUGCAAACACCAUUUUUUUCCUUAGAAGCUCGAACCUGUUGACUGAGAGUGGUUUUAUAAAUAAAUCUGUAAGUUGAUUUUCAAACUUGCAAUGAAUUAAAGUCACAACUUCAUUUUUCUGCACUUCUCUUAAAAAAAACAACUUGAGGUUGAAAUGCUUAGUUUUCCCAUGAAAUACAAGAUUAUGGGAAAUAACGAUAACAGCUUGGUUGUCAACAAAAAUCUUGGUACUUUCUUUCUGCUCCAGACUUAAAUCAAUUAAAAUCUUUCUUAACCAUAAAGAUUAAUUGACAAUAGUUGUUGCUGCAAUAAACUUAGCUUCUACAGUGGAUUGAGCCACAAUUUCUUGCUUAUUUGAGCUUCAAAAGAAAACACUUGAUUCAAGAGUAAAACAGCAGCCUGAAGUACUUUUCAUUUCAUCCAUAGAACAUCUUUCGUCACUAUCAGAGAAACCUGCCAACUUAAAUUCUUUGCUCCAUGUGAACUUAACACCAAAAUCACUUGUACCUUUCACAUACCGAAUCACUCUUUUGGCAGCCUUGAGAGGUAAUUCACUUGCACAAUGCAUGAAUCGAGAAAAAAAUACUUACAACAUUUAAAUUAUCAGGCCUUGUUGCAGUGAGGUACGUCAAGCAACCGAUCAAGCUCCUGAAAUAUCCUUCAUCAACUUUGUUAACACCAUCUUCUUUGUGCAACUUCUCUUGGAAUGCUUACUGUCUUGCAUUCUUCCAUUUGAAAUUUCUUUAGUAUUUCCUUUGCAUACUUUUUCUGACAUACGAAAAAUUCAGCUUGCCCUUGUUUGAUCUCCAUGCCAAGGAAGCAUGACAUAACUCCAAGAUCUAUCAUUUCAAAUACCUUCAUCAUCUCUUGUUUGAAGUUUUGAAUAUGCUAUGUAUUGAUUCUUGUAACUAGUAGGUCAUCGACAUAUAAUGAAACAAUGAGAAUUUCAGUGUCAUUGUGCUUGACAUACAAGGUUGUUUCUGAUAGACUUUUCUUAAAUCCAAAAUUUAGCAAAUAUUAAUCAAUUUUGCUAGACCAAGCUCUUGGAGCUUGUUUUAGACCAUAAAGGGCUUUCUUGAGAAGAUAGAAUUUAUCUCCCUCACUUUCCUUCACAAAUCCUUGAGGUUGCUCAACAUAAAUUUCUUCCUGUAAGAUGCCACUUAAGAAGGUUGAUUUUACAUCCAAUUGGAACACUUUCCAGCUCUUUUUUGCAGCUAUUGCAAUGAUUAACCUGAUUGUGUCCAAUCUAGCAAUAGGAGCAAAAGUAUCCGAAUAAUGAACACCAAAGAUUUAGGCAUACCCUUUAACCACCAGCCUAGCUUUGUGUUUGUUGAUUGAGCCAUCAACAUGAAGUUUGUUUUAAACACCCACUUGACUACAAUUACCUUCAUGUCUUGAGGUCUAUCCACUAGGAUCCAAGUUUUGUUUUUCUCUAUCAUUGACAACUCCUCCUUUAUUGCAUCUAUCCACCUUUGACCCUUUUUUGUUUAUGCACAGUCAGUAGGUUCACAUAAGGCAAUAUUGCACCUUUCACAAACAUCUGAGAGCAACCUUGUUCCUCUUACAAGAGCAUCAUCCACUAUUUGAUUCUGCCAGUCAUCUUCUUCUUCUUCUUCUUCAAUACUUGAACUAGAAAACUUGAGUUUCAGGUCUUCCAUGUUUUGACCCUUCUUUUCUGCACCAUCCAGGUUCAACUCUUUAUCAUCCAUGAAGUGAACAUCCCUGCUAACAAUAAUAUUUCCAGUUUGUGGCGGGAAAAUUUUAUAGGCUUUACUGACAGAACUGUAGCCUAUAAAAAUGCCUGGUGAAGCUCUCAUAUCAAGCUUGUCACGCUUACUUUGUGGAACAUGAGUGAAACACAAACAACCAAAUACUUUAAGAAAUUUUAGAGAUGGUUUAUAACCAUACCAUGCCUCAAAUGGUGUCAUUUCUCUCACAGCCUUUGUUGGAAGCCUAUUUUGAAGAAACACAUAUGUAUUUGUUGCCUCUACCCAAAAUGUUUUUGGCAAAUUCUACUCAUGCAACAUGCAUCUUGACAUCUCCAUGAUGUAUCUAUUUCUCCGCUCACUAACUCCAUUUUGUUAAGGUAUGUAAGGGGAUGUAAGUUGAUGCUUUAUGCCAGAAUCUUCACAAAACCUGUCAAAUUCUGCUAAAGUAUACUCCUUCCCAUCAUCAAAUCUUACAAUCUGAAUUUUGCAGCUGCUUUCAUCCUCAACUCUUGUCUUAAACUUCCGAAAAACUUGAGCCACUUUUGAUUUAAACUUCAAGAAAAAAAAAAUCCAGCACAUUCUGAUGAAGUUAUCAAUAAAGGUAAUAAAAUAGAGAUUACCUUUUAAGGAAGGUGUUCUGUGAGGGUCUGAAACAUCCAUGUGGAUGAGCUACAAUUUGUGAGUGGCUCUCCAUGUUGACUUCGGGAAUGGAAUUCAUUUUUGCUUUCCAAAUUGCAUGUCUUGCAUGUUGGUAUUUGAUCAUCAAUUUCUGAAAAAUCAACUGCCAUUUUCUUAAACUGCAUUUUCAGCAGCCUUUGGUGAUGAUAAUGCCCAAGCCUCUUGUGCCAUACUUCUGUGAUAUUCUCCUUGACAAGAAAGGCAACUUGCUCUUCCUCCAAUGGAUUUAGAGCAAAACCUUUUCCUUUCAUUUUGAUUUUGAAAAUUUCUUGACUAGCUGCAUCUUUAAUCAAACAAAAAUUGUCUUCAAAAGCAACUUUGAAGCCUCUUUCGAUCAAUUGGCCAACACUCAACAGGUUUUGUUGAAUUUCUGGUACAAAAAGGACAUCAGAAAUUAACUUUGUACUUGAGCAACUUGUCAUUGGAAUCCUUUGACUGAAAUAUAAUCACCAUUGCCUAUUUUGACUUUGGUGAUGUUCGUUGGCUUUAAAUUUUGAAAAGCUCCUUGUCAUAAGUCAUAUGGUUUGUAAUACCACUAUCAAUAAGCCAACUUUCAUUUUCUUCACUGCUUGCAAAAUAGGUGACAGAAAUAAUUGAUCUUCAUCCUCCUCCUAAUCAACAACUUUAGUUUCUUCCUCUUGCGAUUGAUUUUUGCUCAUGCAUAUGACUGCUUCAUGUAUCAUUUGAUUGCACUUUAUGCAUAGCGCAUUUGGUCUCCUCGAACAUCUGAAUGGAGGGUGAUCCAUUUUACCACAGUGUUGACAAAGAGGGUAAUUUUUCUUUCCCCCCUUUCCUUUGUUGUAAUUAUUUGCACUGCUUUGAUUGUUGGCUGGAUGAUUCUUCUUGUAGUUUUUUGUUUGUUGGCACUUGGCUAGAAGAGCACCUUCAGUAGCAUAAUCUUUCCUCAUCAAUCUUUGUUGCUCUUGGGCUUGGAAGGCAUGUAUCACUCCAACAAGAGUGAUUUUAGAAAGAUCCUUUGUAUUUUCCAAAGAAGCAAUAAAUGUUUCACACCUUUCUGGUAUGGUCACCAAAAUUUUCUCAACAAUUCUGCAGUCUGCAAAAUUACUUCCCAAAUUUUUUAUCUAGUUGGCAAUACCCAACAAUCUGUUUGAAUACUCCUUGAUUGUGGCAGACUCUUUCAUCCUUUGAAGUUCAAAUUCUCUCAUUAAGUUAAGCACUUGCAUGCUCCGAAUUUUUUCAUCUCUAGUAUAUUCUCUCUUUAGAUAAUCCCAAAUUGCUUUUGCUGAUUUGAGAGUCAUGAUCCUAGUAAAGAUGGUUGCAGAGAUGCCAGCAUAAAGACAUGACUUUGCUUUUGCUUUUCUGGUUUUCUUCUCCUAAUGAUUUUUUAUUUGGGCCACAGUGGAUUGUCAGGCAGCGGAAGGAUUUCAUAAUCUUCUUUUGUGGCUUCCUAAAGAUCAUAGUUUUCCCAUUGAAAAUUGGAAGAGUUGCUUGGAAAAAGCUUGUUUCAGAAUCCAUUCUAAGGUCUGUAAGAAAAAAGCUCUAGAUAUCAAUUGUUGGUGUUUAUAAGAGAGAGCAAAGGAUUUUAAUAGGGAACAAAAAUGAACAGAAAUGAACGGAAAAAUAUAUUGAAGGAGAAUAUAUGGAAGGAGAACAAUGAAAACUUAUUUUAUUAAACCAGAGAACAUUGCAAUUUAUAAAAUUUGAAAAUAACUACCCACUAACAAAGUGUUCCUAGAAUUAAGCCAUUAAAUAAAAUGCAUGAAUAAGAAAUAACAAACCUAAAUUAAUUCCUUAAAACUAGGAAAAUAUAAAAAAUAUUGAUUCCUUAAAACUUGGGAAAUAAUAAAAAAAUAAAACAGAAUGAAAAGGUGGACAUGUUUCAAUCCUGAAGCAAUUUUCUAACAACACCUUCAACUUAUUCCUUUCGCCUACACUUAUUAACCAACCACUACCACCUUCACCACCAACAUCAUAGCAAUGAUUUUACUUUCAUACCCUUUUCUUUAUCUUUAUCAAACACUACUACAAAAAGGUGCAUAGAUAGCGCUUUUUUUUUUUUAUCAUAGAUAGCGCUUUCUAAGCGCUAUCUAUGUGUGCGCUAUCUAUUAAUAGAUAGCGCUUCUAAAAAAAGCACUAUCUAUUGGUUCUGACAAUAGAUAGCGCUUCUUUAAAAAAGCGCUAUCUAUUGGUUCUGGCAAUAGAUAGCGCUUCUCUAAAAAAGCGCUAUCUAUUGGUUCAAAUUUAAAAAAAUAAUAAUAAUUAAUUUUAGAAUAAAAUAUAAAAAUAUUAGUUCUAUUAUAUACACACCACACUAUAUAUUAUAUACAAAGAAAUAAAAAAUAUGGAAAAAAUAUGACAAAAGGCUCAAAAAGAAUGUUAAUAUGAAUAAAAAUUAUUGUUCCAAUAAUAUUUAAAAAUUUAAUCAUUAAGUCGUUUAGUACAUGUCAUCACAUGACACUGCUUUUAUAAGAUAAUAUAUACAACCAUAACAUAUAUAUCCAAUCAGUACUGUACAUCACCAUAACAUAACCUAUAUGUACUAAUUACAUGAAAACACCAAUUUUCCCUAACUUCAUUGAUCUGACUUUCAUGAUAAUGUUGGCAUCUGCAACUAGAAAAAUACUGCAAGAAAGAAAAAUAAUGUAGAAUUAGUUAACUAAAUUUUAUUACAAAUUAAUUAUAAGAAUAAAGAUAACUUACAUCAGUCUCUAUCGGUGUAUAACUUGUAUUAUGAUGAAAAUAAUUAUUUAUAUGAAUUUUUUUUUAUUUUCACCAUGCUUGGUCCAACAUGAAUAACUUUUAUCAAUUCCAUUGCAUAUUAAAUGCUCUUCUAACUCAUCUACAUUCACUAUCUUUAAAUGACAACACUGCAAGCAAGGACAAAUGAUUCUACUAGGGUUUUUUGCAUGCUCAACUGCAAAUCUACGAAACUCUUUCACCCCAUCUUCAUAUUCUUUUGAUAAUCGACUAGCAAACAUCCAUUUUCGGUCCAUAUUUUAUUAAUCUAUCAAGAUUAAUCAAUAUAGUAUUAGCAAUAUAUACAAGUUAACACUAUUUGCAAUAACAAACUAUAAAAUAAUAUUCAUCCUACCUCAACUUUGAACACACCGUAUGUGUAAGAAAAGUUCACAACUGCAAUCUACAAAAAGAAUAACAAUGCAAUUAGUAAAAAUGAAAUCAAGUAGUUAUAAAUCUAAUUAAACAGACCAAAUUCAAAGGUUAAUUAACUGUAAUGGUUAUAUGUAUAUCAUAUAUGUUGAAUAAGAAGCACAUGGACCACUCUCAUUUUCUGUAGAUCAUUUACCCUCAUAUGCUAGGUUUGAUUAACUUUCGAGCAGAAUUGGAUGAAAUUAAUUUUGAAAAGGUUGAAAGCAUCGUAUUUGAUGUCAAGGAAGAUUUAUACGCUCUCAAAUCAUUGUUGGAUAUUUUGAAGACAUGUUCUUUAGUACUAAUGAGUUAUAAUUAAAUUUAUAAUUAAUGACUUUACAGUCUUAUUUCUUACUUUAUAAUCAAAACUAUCUUCAACUCUGGUCCAAGAACAAGCUUUAAAUCAUUGAGACAGACAGAUUUCNACAUUUGGUUUAAUCUGCACUUGCUUCNUCUGCUUUUCAACCUGAGUUGACUUGUUAGCCGUCACUGUUGUUUUUGAAGGAAAGAAAGGUAUCAAUACAUGUACUAUCAGCCAUUGUGAAUAAUAUAACAUAAUGAACUGAACUAAAUUAUGAAUAACAUAAGCAAAAGUAGAAGAUGAAGGAAUCAAAUUAAUGAUCGANUAUCUCCUGAUACAAACUAUGAAGUAUGUGACAUUACUUGCAUUUUUCAUUACUUGAUUUUUCAUUACCAAGAUUGAACUAAAGGUAUGUUAAGCAUGUUUUUUAGAAGAAAUUCCUUGCUUUAUCCCCUGCCUCUGCAAAAUGCAUAAUCUGCAAAAUAACAUGAAAACAGUUAGAAGCCAUCCCCUGAUGAAUGCUAUUACAAAACCUCCAACGGAAGUUGUCAAUCACUGUAAGAACUGUCCUACCUGAAAAGAAACAAUUUUUACCUCAAAAGACAAGAUAAUGGUUUAAGACUUGUAAGGUGGUUCAUUAAAAUUAAUACAUUUUCACCCAUGGCAUCUUGAAUAAGAACAAUAUCACCUGACAUCCUUCCAACAACCUCUCCUGUUCUAGUAGCAGCACCCUGGCCCAAUCAAUCAGUCUACCAUUCAUAAAGGUUGAGGGGAGAGAGAAUUGCAGAGUACAUAGUCAUAAACCAAUCACGAAGAUAAAGAUAAUAUCAGAAAAUUUGACCAGCUAACUUCAGAUAUAACAGACUUUGCCAGAUCAUAAGGAGAAAUGACUUGGUAAUUUACAGAUUCCUUCAAUCCAGUUUCAGAGGCCUUGAAACGGUCCAGUCCAGUAAGAUAUAAACGAUUUUAUGAUUUGCUAUAGUACAUAUGAAGCAGAGUUUGGUCUCUAAUUUACUGAAUGGAUGUUUCAUAUAGUAAAUCAUGCACUCUGUACACAGAUAUUUAUGGAUCUAACAAUAUGAGAUAUAUUGUAAACUCACCUGUAUUUCUAGACCAGCAACAACAUACUGCUUCAGGAGUCUAUCACCAAAUGCACGAGAAACAGCAAGAAUACCACCAACUCUCCAAGUUCCUGCACAUAAUGUUAAAAUUUACAAGGCACAAACCACAUGAAUCCAUAAAGCUGGUAAAACAACCACACUUUUAUCAAAUACUCAAACUAACCACAAGGAAUAUAAAUUAGAGUAGCAAUUAAAAUUUUCAUCGAUGCUCUGGUCCUUCCAACGAUAUAUAAUCGCUGCAAAAGUUAACCGAAACACAUGAAUCAACUAGCAAUGCAAUUUUGAUUCCAAAGUUUCAGGCUUCAAAGUGUACGAAUUGAAACUAAAUGUGGUAUAAAGCAAAGAAAACGUGCUCGGAUCCUCUUCCAAAGCUAGGUCACCGACAAAUGCUCCCAAAUCGAACACAUUAUUUUCUGCAUCGCUGGUUUCACCAAUAAGUGACAUCUAAAUCCCAAAUCAUACCACAUACAAGCAAUCAAUCACACUAAAAUAACUCUCCAUACCUGGAAUUUCUUGUUCUCCAUGACCAAACUCAAAAUCGUGAGACAUUGGACCCCAUUCAAAUCCUAAAACCAGAACCCGAAGUUGUUGUUCCAUAUUUACACAAAGAAUUAGUCUCACUCGUGCAAAACAGAGUCACCAAACCCAAAUAUUCACGCAACCCAUAUGCUAAAAUAAAAUAGCUAUAACUAUAACACAAUUACAAAAUUUAAAAACUCACAAGAGGAGUGUUGUUCUCCCUCAGGGUUUGCCCGAAGCGAACAUAGAUUCUACACCCAGUACACCAAUGGCACGAUCAACACCUGAUAAAAACGUUUUUUCAUGAAAAUAAAGGGCAAAGGAGAAACGAAGCCAAGAAGAGAAGGAGGAAGAAGGAACGUGAAACCUGAAAAUGGAAGUCCUAAAACGGAGGAGAAAUGGGAGUGCACUGAAGGAGNGAGCAAAGACGUACACGUCAAAUUGAAGGAGAACCGCCGAAGGCACCUAACGCACUGAUGAAACGGAGGGGAUGGGGCCUUAACGCACUGUGAACGGAGGAGAAGGAGCCCUAACGUACUGUGAACGGAGGAGAAGGAGCGCUAACGCUGAUGAAACGAAGGAGAGGAGCCCUAACCACUGAUCAAACGGAGGAGAAGCGCGAAUCAAACCGGGGAGCAGCGCGAAGGAGCAACGCGAAGGAGCAGCACAGUGAAAGCAAGAGCAGCGCGAGACGAAGCUUGGAGUGAAAAUCAAAUUGCAAGAAGAGUAGUAGCGGGAGUGGGAAAUAUUUUAAUCACUAGCACGUACCAUAAAAAGCGCUAUCUAUUUGGUUUUUAUUAAUAUAUUUUAAAAUACUAAUUAAAAAAAUUAUAUUAAAUAGAUAUAGAUAGUACUUAUUUAAAAAAGCGUUAUCUAUUAUCAUAGACAUAAAUAAUGCUUUUUUAAAUAAGCGAUAUCUAUUCUUCCACACAUNAAUAGAUAGCGCUUAUUUAAAAAAGCGCUAUCUAUUAUCCAUUUUGUAGUAGUGAAACAAGGGGAAGAAAAUAUAUUGUUAGAGUCAAUCAAUCCAGGGAAAGCUAGGAAAAUAGAUGGAGUACAUUUUUGUUACCCUUGUUAUUUUAUAAAAUUUCUUUUUGAAAAUAUUUUCUUCCACUCUUGAUACCAUUUCAUUUUCAACAUAUCAUUUCAUUCGCUCUAGUACAAAAUCAUACAUCAUAUCACAUGCUCUAAUACUGUCUAUGCACUUGCACAUACAUAUAUCAUUUGCUCUGAUAUAUAUGACUUAAUGAUUUGCUCUAAUACGCAUAUGCAUUGCAUAAUUCAUGACUUGAUUUACUCUGAUACAUAAAUGACUUGCAUAAUUUAUGACUUAUGGAACUCGUAUAUCAUUUACAUUUGAUAAUGUAAAGCAUGCUCCGAUAUUCAUUCAACUAAAAUGCCCUGAUAUUCAUUAUUUGCUAUGAUAUUAAGUUAACCAUUUGCCUUUGAUAUUGAUAUACUCAGAUGACUAACAUCAUAUUUGAUAUUGUUAAACAAUUAAAAGGAUAUCGUUCAUAUAACAACUAUAUAAACGUUAUGCGAAAGAUUCCACCAAAACUUAAUUGAUUCAAUGACUCUUACAUAAAUGCUAUAAGAUACACAUCAUCCAAACUUAUUAACUUUGAUAACAUAAGCGUUAUUAAUGUGUAUCAUUUAGACUAAAUAAAUAAGUAAAUGUACUAAAGGUCCUUACUUGCUAUAUAUUAUACAAAAAUGACCAAGAAAUAUAUUGUUUACUUUAUACUCCAAUUUAUAGACUCUAAUUGAUGACGUUUAAAUCAUUUCAAAAAGAGGGAGAUUGUUAAGACAAUGUUGUCUGGAGAAACUAAAUUGUCUAACAACUCAAUUUUUGAAGUUUAACAUAUAACAUUUAACAAAAUACCAGUGAGCAAAAUGUCUGAGAGACAUAUACAUCAAAACAUUUAUGAUAAACGCUAUCAAUCAUGACGUGUCAGUAAAAGAUUAAAAUUGAGAAAAGAGCAUAUAAGAAUAUAAGAUGGCUAUAUAAGGAAGACUCGCAGAAGAUAAGAUAAGAAGAAUUGAACAAACAAGAAUAACAUAUACAUGAUCUGUAUACUUAUUUUACUGCGUUAAGCUUACAUCGUUUGAGUCAUUCUAUUGUAAGAAAAAGAACCUUACAAGUUCUCAAAUUUCAUUGUAUUAAAUUUAUCCUAUCUUUGAGAGUUAUUUAAAUAUGUACUUGUAUUCAAAACACUGAUUGUGUUGUUAUUCGGAAGCGAAUCUAAAUAUUUGUACGGUUUAACUUGGUUGAGUUAAAUGUUCUAAACGAGUUGUCUAGGUUGAUACUAAGAGUUGACUAGAAAAUUCAUAAGUGGUUGAUAAUAAUCGGUGUACACUAUGAGUAGUUUAUACUCGAUUGUAAUCUUGCUUAAAAUUUGUGAAACUUUUUAAAAAGUUUGAAGAAAGAUCAGAUAUAGCUCAAAUCGAGUAAAUCAAUAUAAAUAUACGUGUCAUUACAUCUUUUAUUUUAAACGUUUUCCUUAACGCUUGUCAUUACAUCUCUUAUUUUAAACGUUUUCCUUAACGCUUGUUUUAAAAACAAAAGCGUUUAACAAUUAGUGUACUUUAUCUACACACUAUUCAAACUUCCUUACUAGUGUUUGUCUUAAUUUCAAAUGAUAUUAGAAAAUAAAAUAUAUUAUUUUUUUCACUCUUCCAAAUGAAUUAUCAUAUAUAUAUAUAUAUAUAUAUAUAUAUAUAUGAUAACAAAUUUAUUUCAUUUUGUUUUUUUAAAAUCCUUUCAAUUGUUUAAUCAAACAAUUAUAACAGUAAAAAUAAACAUCUACAAAAUUUUAAAAUUUAUUUCAAUUUGUACAUUUAAAAUUAUUUAAAUUCCGUCCAAAAAAAUCAAUUUAUUCUGAAUUUUUAAAUCUGUUUCCUCUUUCUAACAAAAUAAAAUUUAUUCUCCAUAAUCUUAACUUUUUUAAAUUAUAUUCUUAUCAAGAAAAGAAUUAUUUAUAUUUUUUAAUUAUAUAUUUUUUAUAAUAAUUAUUUCCAAUUUAAUUUGAAUAGCAUCACAUUUCAUUUUCAACACAUAUAUAAAAAUUACAAUGUAUAUUUUUAAUUAAUUAUUUUAAAUAAAAUUUUAUAUUAUCUACUGCUUUUGUGAAACCCGUUUUUAAAUUUUCUUUCGACCAUUAAUAAAAAUAAUAAAGUUUAAUUUUUGUCCAAUUUUUAAAUUUAAAAUUAUUUACAUUUUUACAUUAUUUACAAAGACCGAUUUUUUUUUUUAAUUAUUUUCUUAAAUUAAAAUUUUCGAUCAAAUUCAAUUUUUUUUUCUGUCAUGCUUCUCCCCUUGUACAUAAUUCACAAAUCCCAAUUCCAAAAUUCGGUCUUCUAAAAAAAAGCAUUGUAAAAAGCAACCAAAAAACAAUAAGGUUGGAAUUUAGUUCUCCAAAAAUUAAAUUCCGACCUCCAAAUGCAAAUUUGGCUUCCCAGAACAGAACCAAAUUGCAGGUAGGUUACGUGACCCGAAUUAGAAACAAAUAAAUAAAUAAAAGAAGAUUGAAAAUUUAGCUUAUAGAAAAACGAAUUCCCACUUGAUGGUACAGUGUUCAGUAUUAUUUGUAGAAAAAACAUCACCAAUAGCCUCUAUUCAUCUUCUUUGCUUAUCUUUUUGUCAAACAAUGUCACCAUUUAGAAUUUGACAAAAGAGCAAUAAGAACACUUAAAAGUAAGAUCGCUUGACUCUUCGGCUUUUGUGUUGGUCAAUGGAGGCCGAAGCCUUAACAGUGCAAUGACUUCAGGCCUGAUUGAUUUCAAUAUUUUUUAAGGGUUAAAUAAAUAUGUUUUUUGUUUUAAUUUUUAUUUUAAAAUAUUGAUCUAUUUUAUUUCUUUUAUAAAAUUACGUUUUUAAUCCUUCAUUAUUAAUGCUGUUAAUUUUGUUCCUGACGUGUCUUAAACGUUAACAUUUCAAAAAAUAAAAAUAAAAUAAACGUUCGUUAUGUAAUACUAAAUUUGUAACUUUCUAAAAAAAAUACGAAAAUGAAAAAAAAAACUAAAAACAUGUGACAAUUUAAGAAUAAAAAUAUAUUUAAUCUAUUUUUUAAUAAAAAAUAUAUCUAACAUAAUUGGUUUUGUAAGAUUAUUGAGUUUUAUUUUUAUUUUUUUAAAUUUAAGUAUGUCACUUGUUAAAAUAUAUAACAGAAUUAAAUUUUAACACGUAAUGUAACAUUUUAAAUAAUGUUAGAGGGAAUUUAAUAUAAAUUUAAAAAUAAAUAUAAAUAUUAAAAUGAAAGAAGAAGAAAAAAUAUAAAAAUUAAAUUAUUAAUUAAACUUUUUUUAAAAAACUAGAAGAGGGUAUAGGUUUGGACAAAGAGCAUAUAGUAUAAAAGUAUUGUGUUGGUUAAAUUGGUGGGUUAUGAAUAGGAAGAUGUGGUACUUAGUUUUGUUGGUUAUAGUAAUCUUUAACCCUACAAAACAUGGUGAAUCCAGUACUGAAGCGUUCUGCCAAUGGCGUUGUGGGGUUCCACCUUCCGGCCCAUCGAAGCAGCAUCGUGACAUCGAUGUUGGAGGGUUUCAUAUCCCUUCCCAUCUUCCCAGGCCGCCACCAACAGACUGACCUCAAAAGGACGGACAGCUGGUCACCGAGCUGCGUUUCUGUUUGAGCUGCUCAACUGUGUUUUUGUUUGGGCUAAUCGAGUUGAUUUUUCAGUCCGAUGGGUUUUAUGCUAUUUUCGUUUUAAUGAUUCCUGUUCUAUAUAUAUUCCUUUUUCAUUAUGUACUCAAUUACUUCAAGAUCCAAAAAUAAUAUUUUUUACACUCCUUAAAAGAGAGAAAGAGAGAAAAACAGAGUAAAUGCGCAAUGAAUGUUAUUAACUACCUCUUACCUUUAACUUCUAUUUAUAGUUUUUGUCAUGGACAUGUGAUUAACGAAGUCUUAAUCACGACCCAAUUAUUGGCCCAAUAUCCUUAAUCGUGUUUUACCUUAAUUGUCUCAAUGUUGUCUUUCGACCUGGGUCGGACGGUUCAUCCAGUGGGAUCGUUCCUUCGUAGACUUCAUGAUUUAUGGUAACAUGUCUUUUUAUGAACCGGACGUCUUUCCUAGACCGCCCGGUCCCUAUGGUACAUAGGUCUCCCAAGCCCUAGGCGACGUAGUGACCGUAGGGUUUGAAAAAAAGGGGUUCGGGUGUCCUUUCACUUUCGACGUGGGAGUGUUUAGGCCGGAAAAAACACGUGUCGCCAACAGGGGGACUGCCCACUCCUAGCAGUUGUAACACCCACAAAUUUGGGUCGUUGAUCGUGGUAGUUUUGAACGGUGAUGAUGUGUGGUAGUUUUUCAAAAAAAUUUCUAUAAAUACGCGUUGGGUUUAGUCAUUAUCACGUCUUCUCAACUUCUCCUUUCAAGCUUCUGCAUUCUUUUUCUCCUAGGUAAUAAGAUGACUGUUGUUGACAUUGAGUCUUCACUAAAGUCGUUAGGUCAAGGCGGCGGCGGCGUGGGGAGCGGUGAUGGUGGCGAGGGCAGCAGUUAUGAUGGUCAAUCUUCUUCCUCGGGUUCUACGUCUUCUUCCUCAGGCUAUGCGUCUUCUUCCUCCCUGGAAAGGCCUGCUGUGGCAAAGGAGGCCCAGCCUACACCGGCGAGGGAGGCACAACUUGCGCCGAUGAGAGAGGCGCGGCCUACACCGGCGAGAGGGGUACCGUCGACCCCUUCCGAGGGUGGCGAUGAUGGCGAUUCCGGUGCACAGUCUCCUGACUAUGGCGGGGACAUGAUUCUGAACGGUAUUCCGCUUUAUCUACUGAAAGAGGGAGUGGUCGUUAACCGUUUUCCCCUGGUUCCUUUCGGUAGUCUACCGGAAGUCGAGGGGUACACCUGGGCUGGUCAUGACGCCACGGUUCAAGUGUCGUAUUACACUCUCGGACGUGCCUCCGCUAUCUGAUAGGCGGGUCAUACAUCGUUCGGGACGUAGAAGAUGCCCGACUAAUUAGAGCGGCGGUCAGCCGUGAGAAUGAGCGGGUAUGCCACAGAAAAGAGUCUAGCCCUGAUGACUUCUUUUUUGUCUAUGCCAACUUUUUCAACCAACUGCAUGUUCGACUUCCUUUCACCGAUUUCCAAGCGGCGCUCCUUCACGAACUUAACGUGGCGUCGAAAAAACUUCAUCUAAUGCUUAGGCCAUAGUGCAAGCAUUUGGCGCGUUGUGCUUGGUCGUGGGAGUGGCACCUUCCGUCCCUACCUUCUUACAUUUCUUUGACGUCCCUCCCUCCCUGAAGGGUGGAUGGGUAUCGCUGACGUCCGUGAAGGACGAGACUCUGUUCAAGUCGUACUUAGAGUCUUAAAAAAUUUUUAAGGACCGGUUUUUCAAAAUUAUGAUCGACGGGUCAGGCCAAAGUGAGUUUUAUGACGAGGUCGAUCUCCCUCUCUUCCCUUUUUACUGGACGAUGGAGCCGAGAAAAAUAAAAGCAUAUCAUGUGCGCGCGUUAGAUUUAGGCAAUCUUAUCGCCGUCGAGACCAUCAACGCCCUUCCCCGCCAUCUUCCUGCCUGCGGCCUGGUCGACUACCUUCCUUUUGAGGAUUGUGACCGAAGAGCGUUCGGUAUGCUAUUUGUCCAAUUUGAGUCUUUUAUUAAAAAAGUGAUGUUAACUUAGCUAGGUUUGUGUUUUCUUUUCAGAUAUCAUGGUCGCUGUUGCUCCCCGUCAAUCCAACUUUGUGGCUUCGAAGAAAGGGUCUACGGGCGUCUCUUCCAUAGUCAAGGGGCGGGCUCCUCCACCACCAAGGUGCCCACCACCAGUCGGUAAGCCCACUCCCGUCAACCCUCCUUCGGCCGCUGAACGGGGUCUGGUUAGACGGGGUAUUCUGGAUGGCCUGCCCGUCGGGGUAUGCGUGGCCAUCCUUAGGAGCUCGCGUGCUCCAGUUGGAGAGGGCACCUCCAACGCUAAGUGAUAGAAGCCACAACUGAAUCCAUGCCUGGAAGUGCUUCUCAGAUGCAGAGAUGGCAGCGGAGGAUUGAUACAAUGUUGAUGGAGGAAGGCGCUCAAAGUGUUUGAUGGAAAUCCGGUGGUGAAUGGCUUUGGUGUGGUGGUGAAAUCUAACUCAGAUAGCUUUCCUAAGGGGAAAGGAGCUAGAGGAUAGGCAAGAUAACAUUGCACAAGAGUGAACUUGAGAGUGAAAGCUGAAAUUUGGCAGCAUUUCUUUACUUCAAUUCAAGUUGCUUUACAAAGGAUUGAAUCCUCUCUUUUAUAGAUGAAGAGAGGUUCUGAAAUGUGCAUGGGAAGCUACUCAUGUUACACGUGAAGUGUGCUAGCUAAGCUAUCAAUUGAACACGUGAAAAAUGCAAUGAAAUGGUGCUCCACAUGUGAGUUUCAUCCAUCUCCUUUGUUGCACGUGGAAAAGGUGUUGGCAGUUGGUGUAUCCAUGUAGGAAACAUGUUGCUAAAUGAAGUGUUGACCGUGAACAAGGCUCCUCUUGUAUCCUUUGCUUGGCAAUUCUUCUAAGUGUUUGGCAAGCCUUAUUAAUGACCUACAAAACAAAGUAAGAUGUAUUUAGUUAGAGAGAAACUUGCUAAGACUUUAAGAAGAAAAGAUUUAAGUUUUCAAUCAACUUCCCUUUCUUAGUCUUAGUAUAAGUUGUUACUUCUUGGAUGGGAAACAUCUUCAAAACUUCAUCUUUUAAGCUCUUCCCUGGUUCUCCACUCUUGAUAACUUGAAUGUCCUUCCAAAGCUCACAAAGUUCCUAAAAAAUUUGAGGAAUUAGUGAUGAAAACCAAUGUGUGUAACCUAAGCUGAGUUUAUUGACAAAGUUAGAUUAGAUAGAGGAUUAAGCGUGUUUCAAGCUUCAGGAGAGUUGAUUUGGUAAGAAAAUUGCACCAUAGAUAAUGGUAAGAAUUACCGUUAUCAACUUCGUAGCAGAAGUUAGCUUUGUCGGUGAUGAACGCUGUUUUUUCCCGAUCAGGCGCGUACAUAUAUAGGGAUUUGAUUAUAUCCGGAGUAAGCAUCAAGGAAACUCAGCAUUCUAUGUCCGGAUGCCCCAUAAACUAAAGCGUCGAUGCUGGGAAGGGGAUCAGAAUCUUUGGGGCAGGCCUUGUUCAAGUCUGUGUAGUAGGUACACAUGCGUCACUAGUCGUUGGCCUUCUUCACCAUGACGACGUUGGCCAGCCACGUGGUGUAAGGGACUUCUCGUACAAACCCAGCUUCUAUCUGUUCGUGGUAAGGCACUAUCAAAUCCUCUAAUAUAUUCGUCUGCUAGAAGGUUUUCUAGUAGAGGAUGUUGACCGAGCUUCCCUAGGCAACAAGUACUUUGCUCACUCUAUAGCGUGCGAUUUCCACAAUGAUCACCAUUGGGUCAUCUUGAUCUGGAUCGGGGGUAUGAAAGUCCUCAUCCGAGAAAGUGAAGGGCGACAUGGUUCUUCUAGGCACGUCAACGGCGUGGAUUGGCCGCAACGCUUGGAUGCUUCUCUUUCGAGUAGAAGACGACGAUCCUCCUCCAGCGAAUCCCCCGAAUAUGGUGUUGAUCAUCCCUCUUAAGGGGCGAUCGUUACCCCUCUCCCAACUUCGACUUUGGCUCCUCCUCUCUGCUCGGUGACAGUCGCUUCACCCAUGUCGAUCAUCAUACUGGUAACUCCUUCUUUCCUCAGUCCUUUGCGGACUUUGUCUUCGGGGGCUCCUCCUCCUGGGGCUCCUGUUCUGUGCUGAAGACCUCUUCAACCAAUCCACUCUUAUGUAGUUCUGCAGUCGCUCCGCCCGGAUUAGCUCUUCAAUUUUAUCUUUAAGGGUCACACAAUCAUCGGUGUUGUGGCCUAUGUUCUGAUGGUACAGGCAAUGCUUGUUGUCGUCCGCCCUAGACGGAGUGCGACGUUUCUGGGGCAUUUGUAUUAGCUGCAUGCUCAAUGCUUCCUGCAAUAUUUGGGCCUGGGGUGCGUUCUACGGUGUAUAUUGUUGGAACCUAAGGCCUCUUGGCCCCUCCCUGGCCUUCGGACCUCCUGACCAGCCAACCUGGCCCUCACCCCUCUUAUCGUCGAAUUUACCCCCUUAGCUUCCUGCAUCUCUUUUCAGUAACUCUACUUCAUCUCCUCUACUCGGGCCUCGUCGACUGCCCACUGACGUAGCUCUUCCAUUUUCUUGGGCGACGUCCGACAAACGUUGUCCUUAAAGGGACCUGGUCUCAAUGCCGGCAUAAUAUAUUGGAGGGCGAGUUCGAGACUAAGGCCCUUUACUCGCCGGACCAUCUUCUGAUACCAAUGCAUAAAGACUUUCAACGAUUCCUCAUUGCCUUGGUUCAAAUUCAUCAAAUCAACAACGAUGAUGUCUUGCACAAUACAGGCGGCGAACUAUUUCUUGAACAUGCUGCCUAAUCCCUUAAAGUCUUCGAUGGAGUUGUUCGGGAGCGAGUUAAACCAUUCUAAAGCUUCCCCUUCGUGAGAUAAGGAGAAGGCCCUACACCAGAUGGCAUCACAACCGGUGUGAAAAGCCAUGGCGUUUGUAAAUGACUUGACGUGUGCCUCCGGGUCAGUGGUUCCAUCAUACAUCUUAAACUGAAGCGGGACGAACUACUCUGAUAUAUGAAUGUCCAUGAUGGCAUGGACGAAGGGUACCGGAAUCGACGACCACUCGACCUUUACUAGCAUCGUAUUCUCUCCUUUUUCAUCCUUAGUCUCCUUCUCUUUCCUCGUUUUUCCCUAAUCUUGGGCGCUGCUAUGUUCUUCAUUCUCUCCAUUAUCCAUCAGCACUGUUUUAUCUUGCCCCCCACCGGCACCUUCGCCGGUCUCGAAGGCCUUGCCCAUCGUCAUCUAGGCUAAGAAGCACUCUUGCUUCACAACCGCCAUCUCUUCCCCAUGUCAUCGUUGCAUCUCCUCCAACUUCUACUCCAACGCCCGUAUCAUCUCCGCCUGUUCCUCCGCGCUCAUAUUCCUUGUGGCUACCAUUGGUACUAAUCCGCAGUAGACGCCAAAAUGUUUCGAUAAUGAGGUAAGACCGUACCCACACCUACACAAUUUUCCUUCUUGACGUCCGAUCGCACCUCUCGUCCCUAUGUCCUCCUGGUUGCUCGGUCCUUGGUCUUCCCGUCCCAAUAUCCUCCGGCCGAGUACCUGCUAAAGGUCCUCCGACGCUCAAGUCAGUAUAUAAGUCACUUCUAGAGAUAGAGAGAAAAAGAGAGAAAACCAGAGUAAAUGCACAAUGAAUGUAACCAACUACCUCCUACCUUUGACUUUUAUUUAUAGUUUUUGUCAUAGGCCUGUAAUGAAGUCUUAAUCACGGUCCAAUUGUUGGCCCAAUAUCCUUAAUCGUGUUUUAUCUUAAUUGUCUCAAUGUUGUCUUUCAACCUGGGUCGGACUAUUCAUCCGAUGCGAUCGUUCCUUCGUGGACUUCAUGAUUUAUGGUAUCAUGUCUUUUAUGGACCAGACUAUUUCCUAGACCGCCCAGUCCCUAUGGUACAAUAACACUUCUUUUGAAGUGUUUUGCUGUCCGUCUCUAAAUCUUUUGAAUCUUUUCUUGGUGUGCUUAUUUUGUUCUUCUCAUUUCUUUCCACCAUGGCCGAAAUGACUUCUGCCAAACCUUCACCACUCGCUCAUCUGUUCUUGCAUCCAAACGAAAAUCCUAUCACUUCCUUGGUUUCUCAAAUCUUUAACAAGAACAAUUACCAUUCAUGGUGCAGAUCCAAUAACAUUGAGUGUCAAGAAUAAGAUUCAAUUGGUAAAUGGGACUGACUUACAAUAAGAAGCAUCUCCCAUUGUGAAUUCACUCACUACAUGUGAAUUCUUCACUAAAUUGUGUGUUAUAUAGACAACUUCACACCUGUUUGUUUGUGUAAUAAGAAAUAAAAUUUAAAACACAUUUACAAAUUCAUAAAUAUUAAAAUUUAAAUAAGUUGAAUCGAAUAUUCAUCAAGUUUUAAUCUAUUAUCCUGACUCAAUGCAAUUAUUCAUUUUUUUACUAUUUUUAUUUAUUUAAAAUUACACAUUUAUCUAAUUCAAUCAAAUCGUAUUUAAAAUUACACUUUAAGGGAUUUACUAUUUGUAAGGAAGGAAAAGAGAGACUGAGAUGUUCACUUCAUGUGAUUUUUGUGGAUUUGUGAGUGAGGAUGUGAGAGAUAAGGGUUAAAACAAAUCCCUCUUCAUGAGAGGAUUUGAGAGAUGAGAAAUAAAAUUACAAAAUAACCUUUAAUAUUAAUAUUAAUAAUAGUAAUAAUAGUAAAAUAAUAAUAAUAAUAAUAAUACAAUUUUUUUUCGCGUUAAAAAUUAAUUUUUAAUUUUUUUUCUUAUAAUAAUUUUUACAAUUAUAUAUAAUAUUAACAAUUAAAAUUAUAUAUUACUUUUACUAGAUAUUUUAUUAUCUUUAAUUUUUAUUAAUUAAACAAUUUUUUUUAUUUGUCACAUGAGUCAAAUUUUACACUAAUUUUUACAAAUUUUAUUUUGAAUUUCAUUCUCAUUCACCUUCAAAUCUUUUCAAAGAAACAACAAUUAAUUCACUCUCAAAUUCCCUCAAAUUCAUCCAUUCACUCUCUCCCAAAUUAAUCUUCUAAAGUAAACCCACCCAUCAGCAGUACAAGUCAAGAGAGAGCCUUUAUUUCAAGGUUGAUUAACUACGCUUAAAAAAGAAACGAAAUAGAGUAAAUUAAAUUGUAUUUUUGAAAUUUUCUAAGAUGUUAACAUUUCGUGUUUCUCCCACUUGUAUAAUGACUUUUCUUGUAAUGAUAUAGAUAAUGUUUUAAAAGUAUUUUUCAAAAACUAAUCGUAAGUUGAACGUUUAGAGAAAGAGGAAGCAGUAUAAAAGAGUGUUAUGGUUGUGUUUUGGUUCAUUGCUACCUUAAUAACAUUGGUGAUUACGAUAAGGAAGAUGGCAUACUCUUCUAGGACGCUAGUUUUGUUCAUUAUACUACUCACUGUCUUCACCCCUUCAACACUUGCUGAGUUUAGCACUGAAGAUUCAUAUCAUCAACAUAUCGAACGAGGACAUGUUCCUAACAUCCCUGUCCCGAGCUUUGGCAUCCCUCGCCCUCGUCCUAGGCCGCCACCAACAGACAGACACCGAAGCGACGGGACAGCAAAUGCUCCCUAGGCCUACCUUACCACUAUCUUCUAUCAUAAACAACAAUCUUUCUCAUCUUCAACUAACAAAUAACCAUCCUCACUUUCUUCUUUCUCUUCUAUGUGGAAAUUGUACUCAAAACAAAUUUAUAUUUAAUUUUUGCAAUCUCUUUCGUUUGUUUGCUGAUGUGUAGUAUUUAAGUUCUUUUUAUUUAGGAAAAAAAAUUUAAAAGUGUUUUUAACACUUUAUGUGAUAGUUUGUGAUUAGUCUGUUCUAAAUAUACAAAACAAUACAACAAUGACACAUAAUUUAGGUUUAAUAGGUUCGGAGGUCUCUAUAUUUGGAGGUUUGUUUCAAUUGGGUCCUCCAAUUUUUGAAGUGAUCAAUUAGGUCCCUAAUUUUGUCAAUUUGAAUCAAUAAAAUUCUUUCUGUUAAAUGCAGUUAAUGCCGUGAAGUUUUUGAAUAUGUGGCACGCUGACGCUUCCAGGUGGCAUCGUUUCAAGUGCAUAGGUGGAUUAUAAAAGGGUGAAAUACCUAAAUUAAAAGGGUGUAUUUGAAGGUGAAAUCCCUAAAUUAAAAGGGAUUUCACCCUUUUAUAAUCCGCCUAUGCACUUGAAACGGUACCACCUGAAAGCGUCAGCAUGUCACAUGUUCAAAAAUUGUACGGCGUUAACUACAUUUAACAGAAAGACUUUUAUUGAUUCAAAUUGACAAGAUUAAGGAUCUAAUUGAUCACUUUCAAAAUUGGAGGACCCAAUUGAAACAAACCCCCAAAUAUAGGGACCUUCGAACCUAUUAAACCCAUAAUUUAUUAUCAAAAAAUUGUUAAAAAAGUUAUUAGAAUAUCAUGGUGUUUUUAUUUAUAAGAAGCUUUUUAUCAAGAGAGAGGGCUUGCUUCCUGUAAUAACCCCUAAAAUUAAAACUCAACUUUUAAUUAUUUUAUUGUAUUUUAUGUUUUUUUUUUUAAAAGAUAAAUUUAAGUUAGAAAAGCGAUCUUCUCUGAAACUAAUUUCAGAAACGUGCUUGUCCAUCCCCUUUUCAAACCAGCUCUCAACUCUCCCAUUUCCCUCAACCUUCUUCCUCAAAUUUUCCUCUCACUGAUCCCGUAUAAAAUUGACUAGGUGUUGUUCCUGAAAUCCCGACGCAGAGGGUUCCCAAUUCCACCGGUCAAUUCCUUCCAUCCGACCGGUAAGUGGAUUCUCUUCUCAUGUUCAUCUCAAAACUGCAAACAUGCAAAUAAUCUGAUUGCAUGUGAUCCAUUUGGGUUUUUCCCCAAAAUUCCAGCCUCAUCUAAGUUCUGAAUUUGUUUCUUGGUUUCAAUUACUGAUCUAUAGGAGAUANUAGGGUCUUCCGGGUUAUUCGGUGUGGCAAUUUGUCUUUGGGAGCUAGAAUUUCUUCAUCUCAAGGUAAGGGGAGCUAGUAUUGAGUGUAUUGCAAUUUUUUGAUUGUAGAAAUGUAUCAUAGUUAUGUGAAAUUUUACUGCAUGUGUGUAAAGAGGUUAUUUUCCGAUUGUGGUGUUUGAACUCCGUUCAUGUACAUGAAACUGUUUGUACUGUGGGAUGAGAAAUGUACCUUUGAUUCAUGAUGAAUGAUUGUGUAUUAGAUUGGAUAUAAUAGAUGGAAUGCAAAAUUUUGAACAAUGAUGAAUAGAAUUCAACUGUCUAGAAUAAUAGGUAAAAGAUUUAGUGAUUUAGGCAUUUUAGGCUUAAUUAAAGGAACUAGAGUAGCUAUAAUUUGAAUCUGGUUGGAUAUACUGUUUUGGUCAGUUUAGAACCCUUAGACAAGUCACUUAUGACUUAUAACAAGUGCCAAAUUGGUCUGAAUUAACUUGGAAUUGGUAAAAUCAUAAUUGGACCCUUAGGUUCAUGAAAUGGACAUUUUAGGAGGUAAAUCCAUGCAUAUCAGCUAGAGAAUUGUGUUAGGAUAGAUUAGAAACAUCUAGACAAGUCUAAAACAUCAUAGAGGUCGAUUUAGGAUCAUCCAAAGUUCAUAAUUUGGCCUAGAACAAAUUCUGGGUGUGUGAGUUCCUAAAAUCUGCAGAAAUUCGCUCUGCAGAUUAUACAGAGUCGCACAGCGCACUCUGUGCGCUCUGCGAAUGAUUUUUAGCGGACAAAAUUCGCUCAGCGCACCACAGGGUGUGCGCUCAGCGAAUUUUCUGCGACAGAAUGUGUAUUUUUGAUGUUUUUGACGUUUUGAGAGUUCCGGACGUCCGUUUUGGACGUUCUUUAGGUCGUUCUGGGGGUUUUUGACCCUUCCGGAUCCAUUGGUGAGGGUCUCCAAGCCAUUUGAAUUACUUAAAAAUUGGUAAUUAAUAUUAUAAAGUUAUUUGUGUUAAUAAGUGAUGUUUUGUGAAAGUAUGUAAUGUUUGAGUUGUUUUGAUAACAUAACUAAAGGAUGUUUGUGCAACAUGGUUAAGAGUAUGAAGUAUUGCGCUGUGAAUUAUGGUUGGAAAGCUUGUAUGUACAAAGUAUGGUUAUUGGACGUAAUUCCAUGAUCCUCAAGGGAGGUUACAUGGUGGUACCACUGUAGUUUGUCGUGAUUGACCGUAUGAAUGGCCGGAGUUCAGGAUGGGGUUUACCUUGACAUUCUAAUGACCAUCCAUGCUCAAUUAGAGAGUGAUGAGUCAUGUGGUGAGAAUAGGAGGAGGUCCUAGUCUUGGGUGUCUCCAUUUUAUAUGNNNNNNNNNNNNNNNNNNNNNNNNNNNNNNNNNNNNNNNNNNNNNNNNNNNNNNNNNNNNNNNNNNNNNNNNNNNNNNNNNNNNNNNNNNNNNNNNNNNNNNNNNNNNNNNNNNNNNNNNNNNNNNNNNNNNNNNNNNNNNNNNNNNNNNNNNNNNNNNNNNNNNNNNNNNNNNNNNNNNNNNNNNNNNNNNNNNNNNNNNNNNNNNNNNNNNNNNNNNNNNNNNNNNNNNNNNNNNNNNNNNNNNNNNNNNNNNCCUGGAACUCGACAUUUCAUACUAGUCCGGACGGUUAAAUCACGUGGUCAGUCAUUAGUAUCAAUAAAUUGUGUUCGGUCUUAGUCUGUAUUGUGUUAUGGUCUUUGCAUGUUGUGUGUGUGAUUAUAUAACAUGAUAGUUAAUUCCAUUUAAUGUAUAAUCUGAUAGAAUGUUUAUUUUGCUUGCCUGUAUGCAUACUGUUAAGUAUAUGUUAGUUUGAAUUUGGACUUAUCUUGCAUGCUUUUCAACUUAGCUCACCCUUGCACUUGUAUGUUGUUUGUUUUGUAUGUUCUUGGUCUUUCCUCUUGCGAUGAUCAUCCUGUUAUGGAUGUGAGCAGAUGCAGCAGAUGAUACUCCCUUAGAGCAAGCACUGGACAAUGAGGAACCGACACCUAGUAUUCAGUAGCUUCUUAGUUUGCAGUUUUAUCCUUAGUUUUCUACUGAUCCUCCUUUACCAUGUAUUUUGAAAGACUUUAUAAUUGGGUAAAGCUUUUGAAAUACUUUAGUUUUGGAUGACUGUAUAUAUAUUUAUAUAUUGAUACACUAUCAUCUGAUGCUUCAGACUGCUUUCUAGUAUUACAUUUGGGCUUGCCAUGCUUAUAUACUUGCUAUAUAAUUUUGGGAUGUUACAAUUGAAUCAUGUGACACCCGGGCACUGACGAGGGCGGGGAGUGAUCGCCGGUGCAAGAGGCAUGGUGCAGGGGGCACGGACAAGGAGCGGCUCUUGGCAGGCNNNNNNNNNNNNNNNNNNNNNNNNNNNNNNNNNNNNNNNNNNNNNNNNNNNNNNNNNNNNNNNNNNNNNNNNNNNNNNNNNNNNNNNNNNNNNNNNNNNNNNNNNNNNNNNNNNNNNNNNNNNNNNNNNNNNNNNNNNNNNNNNNNNNNNNNNNNNNNNNNNNNNNNNNNNNNNNNNNNNNNNNNNNNNNNNNNNNNNNNNNNNNNNNNNNNNNNNNNNNNNNNNNNNNNNNNNNNNNNNNNNNNNNNNNNNNNNNNNNNNNNNNNNNNNNNNNNNNNNNNNNNNNNNNNNNNNNNNNNNNNNNNNNNNNNNNNNNNNNNNNNNNNNNNNNNNNNNNNNNNNNNNNNNNNNNNNNNNNNNNNNNNNNNNNNNNNNNNNNNNNNNNNNNNNNNNNNNNNNNNNNNNNNNNNNNNNNNNNNNNNNNNNNNNNNNNNNNNNNNNNNNNNNNNNNNNNNNNNNNNNNNNNNNNNNNNNNNNNNNNNNNNNNNNNNNNNNNNNNNNNNNNNNNNNNNNNNNNNNNNNNNNNNNNNNNNNNNNNNNNNNNNNNNNNNNNNNNNNNNNNNNNNNNNNNNNNNNNNNNNNNNNNNNNNNNNNNNNNNNNNNNNNNNNNNNNNNNNNNNNNNNNNNNNNNNNNNNNNNNNNNNNNNNNNNNNNNNNNNNNNNNNNNNNNNNNNNNNNNNNNNNNNNNNNNNNNNNNNNNNNNNNNNNNNNNNNNNNNNNNNNNNNNNNNNNNNNNNNNNNNNNNNNNNNNNNNNNNNNNNNNNNNNNNNNNNNNNNNNNNNNNNNNNNNNNNNNNNNNNNNNNNNNNNNNNNNNNNNNNNNNNNNNNNNNNNNNNNNNNNNNNNNNNNNNNNNNNNNNNNNNNNNNNNNNNNNNNNNNNNNNNNNNNNNNNNNNNNNNNNNNNNNNNNNNNNNNNNNNNNNNNNNNNNNNNNNNNNNNNNNNNNNNNNNNNNNNNNNNNNNNNNNNNNNNNNNNNNNNNNNNNNNNNNNNNNNNNNNNNNNNNNNNNNNNNNNNNNNNNNNNNNNNNNNNNNNNNNNNNNNNNNNNNNNNNNNNNNNNNNNNNNNNNNNNNNNNNNNNNNNNNNNNNNNNNNNNNNNNNNNNNNNNNNNNNNNNNNNNNNNNNNNNNNNNNNNNNNNNNNNNNNNNNNNNNNNNNNNNNNNNNNNNNNNNNNNNNNNNNNNNNNNNNNNNNNNNNNNNNNNNNNNNNNNNNNNNNNNNNNNNNNNNNNNNNNNNNNNNNNNNNNNNNNNNNNNNNNNNNNNNNNNNNNNNNNNNNNNNNNNNNNNNNNNNNNNNNNNNNNNNNNNNNNNNNNNNNNNNNNNNNNNNNNNNNNNNNNNNNNNNNNUGCGAGUGAGGACAAAGCACACUGGAAAGUCUCGUGGUGAUUUGUGGGGGCAGUCAACAGUCCCUGUAAGUUGUCGGGAUGUUACACUUCCACACCAAACUAACCAACUAAUUACCAAGUUUCAAUUUCAUCUCAUCCUGUAAAAAGAAUAAUAAUAAAGUGAUAAUCAAUUUAUAAAUUACUAAUUUUUGGUUAAUACUAUAUGCUGAUAGGUUUAGCCGACUAAAUCAGUAAGUUAAACCAAUGUGCCAUUAGUUCCAUCGCUGAAACUGUAAAUAAGGACAAAAAGUAGCAAAAACGGAUGGAUGAAAGAGUGGACCUUUCAAUUACAUCGAACCUUUGUUGGCCGAUAAUGGUAUGGAGUCAGCUUCAAUAUAAUGAAAGGGUUUAACGUUAAUUAAGUGAGUACUACUGUAAAUGCAUGGAAGAGUCCGAAGAAGAGACCUUUAAUGGCAACGGAUAAUAGGAAUUUUCAAGAUCAUUUAACAAAAAGAAAUCAAGGAAAUCAAAAGGCUAUCAACACAAAAGAACCUUGAAAGUCAAGAGUUUUCUAGAUCAUGUAACACACAAUCUUCACUAAUUUGUAUGUUAUUUAGGAUGAGAUAGACAACUUUAGGCCUGAUCUUGUUUGUUCGUGUACUAAGAAAUGUUCUCGUUGAGUGAUUAACUUGAUUAAUCAAAGAAAAAGUGAAGAUCAAGUUAUGGAGUUCCUUAAAGGUCUAAGAACAAUACACAAAUGUUAGAUCUCAUGUCUUUUUGUUAGAUCCUAUUCCACACAUUAGCAAGAUCUUAUCUUAUGUUAUACAACAAGAAAGACGAAUAAUAAUUUUUACUCUGAAAUUGAUUCCAAUGGUAGUAAUACUCAAAUUAUUUGUACUCCUUACGAGAAAAGUGUUCAUAACAAAUUUGUCUGCUUCAAGAGAAAUGGUUUUCCAUCCAACCAUGAAGGAAAGAGUUCAAGAAAUUACACCAAACGCAUUUGCACAUAUUGUGGUGGAAAACAUGUUGUGGACGUUUCUUACAAGAAACAUGGCUUCUCGAGUGGUCACAAAUUUUUCAACAGCAAAACCAACUAUGUCAAAAAGUUGGAGCGUGCAGGUGGUGAACAAGACAUGCAUCUGACACAACAACAAUAUUAGACUCUGUUCUCUCUUCUUGUAAUAAUUUGAACAAAAACUUAUGGCAUAAUACGCUAGGUCUCAUCUUUCUCACAAUAGACUGAACAUUUUAAAAUAAAAAUAUCCUUAUAUUCAUAUCCAUGUGUACUGUGCAUUAAUUGCUAUAAUUACUAAACAAUAAUUUUGACAUCUAAUUCUUUCUACAAAUAAUCUCUCCGCUCGACUGAACGGAAUGAUGAAAAAAAAAAGAAAAAGACAAGAAUUUAAACACACGUAGAAGAUUCAUAACUUUGACCCAUAAAUCAAAAGAAAAAUAAAAAAAAUAAAAAGUUUGAAAAUUUAAUAUCUAAGAAGUCCAAUUUUGACUUGGUGGUACAGUGUUGAGUCCAUUCCAUUGGAUAGAUUUAUAUUAAACAAGUAUGAUAUGUGGAAAAAAGGAUCACCUAUCAUCCUUGCUUGACUUUUGCGUAAAAGAAUGUCCCACAUUUAGAAAUUGAGAAAAAGGCAAUGAGAAGACUUAAAAGUAAGAAGGUUUGAAACGUAAGGGUAAGGUGUAGGUUUGGAGAAAGAGGGGGGUAGUAUAAAAGAGGUGUUAUGGUUGAUUGAAUUGAAACAUAAAUAAGAUUGGUAGAUUAAUUAUGAAGAGGAAGACGAGUUACUAUGGUAGAACGCUAGUUUUGUUGCUUAUGCUACUGAUUUUGAAGCCUGCAACAACACUUGCUAAGUUCAGGAGUGAAGGUUCAGUUGUGCAACAUACCAUUGACCGAAGAAACCCAGUACAUCCUCCCAUCCCUAUCCCGAGGACUCGAAUCCCUCGCCCUCGUCCUAGACCACCACCAACACACUGACCUCAAAACCACUAUGCUGUGUACUCAAUUUUCUACCAUAAACAACAAUCUUUCUCAUCUUCACCAAACAAAUAAACAUCUUCCCUUUCUUCUUUCUCUUCUAUAAGCAAAUUAUACUCAAAACAAAUUUAUAUAUAAUUUGCAGUCUUUUUUUUUUUUUGUGCUAAUGUAGUAUUUAAAUUCUUUUUAUUUAUGAGAAGCUUUUCUUAUCAAACAUCUUCAUUUUCUUCUUUCUCUUCUAUAGACAAAUUAUACUCAAAACAAAUCUUAAGAUGACAAUCUUUGUGAGAAUCUUUAUUUACUUAUUAAUACACUAUAUUCCAGUGUCUCCAUCUUUGUUUUAUUUUACGUUUUCUCUUAUUUAUUUUUGUUUGUGCUUAUUGAAGAUUCAAAUUUAGAACAAAUCCUUUCUUGAAUAAUUGUAUUUGUUUUCGUAUAUGGGAUCCAAAACCAAUUUAUCAAACCUUCACUCUCAUUUCCGAUCGGCCAACUCAAUAGUCUUGUUCAUGUCCUCAGGUGCUGACUGGGGGGUUCUGCAAAGAGAACACUCUGACGCUCAAGUUAGAUAGGGAAUCGGUGAACAUAGUGAAUUUAGUUUAGAAAAAUUGUCUUUACCUGAUUAAUGAUCCCCCAUUUAUACUCCCUACAUCUGUAACUGACCAUUAAUUACCAUAAACCGUCGCAUCUUCCGUUACUUUCCCAUCAAAACCCAUCAAUGCUUCUUUGCCCCACCAUCACACCGAUCUCAAGUUCAUCCGACCGGUCCUCCCUGCAAAUGGGUUCUACUCCUCCCGUCCUGCCGGUCGUCCCAACCGAACCCUUACACUACACAAGCUCCCCAAGCCCCAAGCGACAUUGCCAACGAAGGGGUUAUUAGCCUUAGAGGAAACUCUGGCAACAAAAAAUCUCGUCACUUCAACCAUUUGAUUAAAUCUGGACGAAUGGUCGAGAUCUCCUUGCCCAUCAAUCAUACCUGUUCAUCGAAGAGUCACCAAUUUUCCGCUGUUGGAUCCAUCGCCCAUGGACGGCUACGAUGUUUUCCCCAAUCCAUUUUUCUCGGCUAUAAAAGGUGGAGGGCCCCUCUCCUAUUUUCCUCAUUCCUUCCUCCUUACCCAACUCCUCCCGCUCCAAAGCCUUAUUCCUUCCGCUCCAUCUUCUCCUUCUAUGCCUACCAACUCCUCAGGUAAUGUCUUCAUCUACAUGGUCCUCCGAUGAGUAUGGAGACGAGGGUCGGGGGUAUGCUGACGACGCGGUUGCUUCGACUUCCUCUCAUUCUUCCUCGUCCCUGUCCUCUGGCCAACCCGUUCAGGAAAAGGCUCCUAGCGACGAUGUUGAGUUUAACGUGGACAACUCACUCGAGUAUACCAGUAUCGCCCCUCCCCCAGCCAUCCCAGGCUAUGAUUGGGCUCCACACGAAGCCUGAGGUUACCCUUCCUACUUCAUUUCUACCUCCUCCAUCAUACGCCUGUUGGAAUUGGUAGACCUAAUGUCUGACAUACAACGAGAUUCCACUGACAUAUCUUUGGUGGUAUGUCGAUCCAAUGAACGAGUAUGUCAUGGCCGGGAAGGGUAUGCUUUGGACUUCUUUUAUGCCUACAUAACUCUCUUCCGAGAUCUAGGGGUAAGGCUCCCCUUCUCUGAGUUCCAAUGUGGCGUGCUUCGAGAAUUGAACAUCUGCCCCGCCCAACUGCACCCGAACGGCUGGGCAUUCAUGCAAGCCUUUACAGUCCUCUGCACCGGUCUACUUUUAACUCCUACUCCCGCCUCUUUCCUCCACUUCUUCCGUGCCCAACCUCAUCCAAACAAAUGUUGGAUUUCCUUAGUUCCAGUAAAAGAUAAACAACUUUUUACCUCAUUCAACUCUUCCUACAAAGACUUCAAAUCCAACUUUAUCAAAAUAGCCAUACGAGAACCCGGCCGAGCAAAAUUUUUCUCUGAAGAUAAAAUUUCCCUUCUACUGGACCGAAAAUCCCAACCAAGUUAUCUCCUGGGACAAAUCUGAAAUGACCGAUGAUGAACUAGAAGUAAUAUGCCAAAUUGAUCAGCUACCCCGCAAGACCUCCUUUCGCAAACUUAUAGAACUCAUUGGGUCUGACACUCUACGUGCUAGGGUGUUCGGUAAGUUUUCUUGUAUUUUUCAUUCGUCGAUCGCUCAUUAUUAACUUGCUAAAUUUGUAUUAUCCCUGCAGACUUCUUUGGCGGCAUGGAAAAACACCAGACCUUUGCCCGCACUUUAGCUCGCAAGAACAAGCGCAGUGGGCACGUUACACUCCCAUCCUCCGCCACUGUCGCUCCUUCCAGCUCUACUCCUCCUCCACCGGUGAACACUUUGAAAACCGACGAGUCUAAACCGAUCAUCAUCUCCAGUGCUGCGAAGACCAAAGGAAAAAAGUGCCAACCCCAAGAAAAGACCCCUUCUCCUCCCAAAAAGAAAAGGAAUCUUGGCCCUCUGCUUUCUGGCCCUCUAGACCCCAACAUCUAUGUAUCUGAUCGUCUCGAGUUCAACCUCUCACUAGAAGAAAGGGAGCCGUUUAAAAAAUUGACUCCCUCCGAGGCUUCCGACAUGCCAUACGAGUUACUCUCUCGAGCCAGCAUAUGCCUGAACUAUGCUGUCGGAACCAUCAAACCUCUUCUAGUAUCCGAGCUUGAGAUUACCAACAAAAAAACUGGAGAAAGAAAAAGAGGAAAUCACGUCCCUCACUGAAGGCCUCGAAAAAGCCAACAAACUAGCCGAGGACGAACGGAUCAAAGUCGUUGCCUCGCUCCUCGAGUCUCAAAAUGAAAUGAAACGUCUCCAACAAUCAAUCGACUCGCUGACUCUCAACCUUCAACAAUUCUCCAACCAAAUCAAAAAAUUGACUUCUGAGAAGGACACUGCCCUAGCCGACCGGGACAAGUCGUUGGCCGAUUAUGCAGCUCUAGAGGAUGAACUUUGCGAAGAACGUCAGCGCAGGUUCGAACAGGGGAUCGCCCAAUGUCAUUACUUCUUCAAAUCCCACCUAGAACACAAAGGUUUCGACAUCAUGAUGAUCUUGGUGGACGAGCAACUUGUUGACAUUUCCCCCCAGCUCUCUACCGAAGCAAACUCUGCUCCCGACCAAGUUGCUCGUGACGUCAUUCCCCCGGCUCCCAAAGCUCCCCCCACCCUUCCUCCAUCUGGCAACACCACUAGGGGCUAAUUACUUGUAUAUUUUCUUUUAUUGACUUUUAGGACUUGUAUUUGCACUCCCCUACUCCCGGCAUUCCCUCUUGUCUUUACUUGAACGCUGAACUUUACUAUGUAAUUUGCCCUUCUCUUAUGUUUGAUAACGUCGUUCUUCAUUUCUAUUUUUAUCAUACGCUUUAAUAUCUUUUCUAACGAUCGAACGAGACAAUCAUUUUCCUGAUUCCCCUUUUCGCAAACUUCGCAAAGUCAUUUUCCUGACUUUGCCCGAACGGCCAACCUUAUCCCCCCUUUCAAAGCUCGAACGGGAAAAUCAUUUUCCUGAUUCCCUUUUCGCAAACUUCGCCAAGUCAUUUUCCUGACUUUGCCAGCCCGAACGGGAAAAUCAUUUUCCCAAUUCCCCUUUUCACACAUUUCGCAAAGUCAUUUUCCUGACUUUGCCAACCCGAACGGGAAAAUCAUUUUCCUGAUUCCUCUUUUCACACAUUUCGCAAAGUCAUUUUCCUGACUUUGCCAGAACGACUCAAAUUGGCUGAAAUUAAGACUUUUAUUUCAUUCAUGAUUGCACAAUUACAAAUCCACUUCAUAAUAACUAACUUAAAUAAAAUUUUAAAUGGGAUAUAUUCCAAGUAUUAGGGAUUGGCUUCCCAUCCAGCUGCUCCAGCCGAUAUGCUCUAUUAUUCAAGCUUUCCCGUACCCGGAAUGGUCCUUCCCAAUUCACUGCCAAUUUUCCAUUAUUCACGUCCCUUCUAGCCACCCCCGCCUUCCUCCAUACCAGGUCCCCUUCGACCAGUUGCCUUGGCCGAACCUUCGCAUUAUAUCUCCGAGCAACUAACCUUUUCUGCGCCUCUACUCGAACAGCUGUCGUUUCCCUCCUCUCUUGCAACACAUCUAAAUUUCCCCUUAAUCCUUCAUCAUUCAGACUCACAUCCCCCAACUGUCUUCUUAAAGUAACCUCCCCCACCUCCACCGGUACCAUAGCGUUCGUCCCAUAGGUUAGAUUAAACGGUGACUCCUCGGUCGCCCCAUGUGGCGAACAACGAUAGCCCCACAAAACCUGAGGUAACUCUUCCACCCAUGUGCCUUUUGCCUCCUCGAGCCUCCUCUUUAACUCAUUAAUGAUAAUUUUAUUCAUAGCUUCAGCCUGACCGUUCGUUUGUGGGUGCUCGACAGAACUAGUGACCGGAGUUAUUCCCCACUCCCUGUAAAAGGCUACCAGCUUCUUAUCUAUAAAUUGCCGCCCAUUAUCCGUCACUAUUGUCUUAGGUAGCCCGAACCGGCAGAUAAUCUUCCAUACGAACUUCUGCACCUGAGAGGCUGUAAUCUUAGUCAACGGUUUGGCUUCUACCCACUUGGUAAAGUAAUCUACUGCUACCAAGAGAAACUUCAUCUGGGCCCUCCCGGUCGGCAAUGGUCCUACAAUAUCCAUUCCCCACUGUGCGAAAGGCCAUGGAGACACAAUUCCCUACAACUCAGCCGCCGGUUCAUGAAACACAUUCCCAUACUUCUGGCAAGCCUUACACUUUUGGGUAUCGUAAAAUUUUGGCUAUCGGGUAAUCCGUCCGAACGACCACCUAAUGCCCCUGGAAAUAGGGUCUGAGACACCGAGCGGCGUACACCAAAGCCAAAGUCACCUUCUCCAACUGUUGAUAUCUCUUCUCAGCAUCCUUAAGAUUUCUACUCACAAAAUAUAUCAGCCUGAACCGAGGAGUUUCCUGAACCAAUGCAGCACUUAUAGCUUCUUCGGUUGUUGCUAAAAGGAUCUGCAAAUCGUGGCCCGCCUCUGGCCGCCCCAUGACCGGAGGUAGCGUGAGGAUCGCCUUUACCUCCCUAAACGCUUCCUCACUCUGCUCGUCCCAACAUUCCUUGGUUGUUUUCCUCAUUGCUUUCAAGAUCGGCUUUAACCGUUCGGCCAAGUGAGGAAUAAAUCGAGAUAAAGAAGUCAAACGUCCCACCAACCUCUGGACCUCUUUUACCGUUCGAGGACUCCUCAUUUUUAGAACCACCCUACACUUGUCAGGGUUCGCCUCAAUGCCUCGUGAGGUCAACAUAAAUCCUAAAAACUUCCCAGCCCGUACCCCAAAAGUACACUUAGCGGGGUUAAGGCGCAUAUCGAACUUCCGAACCUGCCCCAAGACUUCUUUCAAGUCUCCCAAGUGUUCUUCCACCGAUCGGCUUCUUACCACCAUAUCAUCCACGUACACCUCCAUGCACUUUCUGAUUUUCUGCCGGAAGACCUUGUCUAUCAACCUCUAAUACGUAGCCCCUGCAUUCUUUAGGCCGAACGACAUAACCUCAUAACAAUAGGUCGCCCGCUCGGUAAUGAAUGUGGUCUUCUCGUUGUCCGGACGAUGCAUAGGUAUUUGAUUGUAUCCUGAGUAUGCAUCCAAAAAACUCAUUACCUCAUAAUCGGACACUCCAUCCACUAACGCGUCAAUAUUUGGUAAAGGGUAAGUAUCCUUCGGGCAAGCUUUAUUAAGAUCCGUGAAGUCCGUACACAUCCUCCACUUGCUAUUAGACUUCUUUACCAUAACUACAUUAGCCAGCCAAGUGGUAUACUCUACUUCCCUUAUAAAUCCUGCUUCGACUAACUUCUCCACCUCUUCAUCCACCGCCCUCCUCUUCUCCACCCCUAACCUUCUCUUCUUUUGAGACACCGGUCGGGCAUCUCAAAAUAUAGACAACUUGUGCGAAAUAACAUCAGGGUGAAUCCCUGGCAUAUCUGAUGUCGUCCAUGCAAACAAAUCUUUGUUUUCCACUAGCAAGGAUCUUAAACGCUUCACCUCACCCUCUUGUAAUUCUCGACCAACCAUUGUCACUCAAUCUUCUCCCUCCAGAGGAAAAGGCUGAACCUCCCCCAUCGGUUCGACCCGAUCAUCCGUAUCCUCCCUCGGGUCCAAUUCUGCCAUAGCUAUCUCCGACCGUGUUUCACAUGCUCAGUGUUCAGGCGGUUUCACUUUUAAGCCUGCCGCAUAGCACUCCCUUGCCACCUUUUGAUCAGCCCUGACCACCCACAUCGUUUCAUCUUCCGCCGGAUACUUCAUUGUCAGAUGCAAUGUAGAUACUAUUGCUCCAAACGCGUUCAAACAAGGUCGCCCGAGCAUUACGUUAUACGAGGUUUCGGCUUCCACCAACAAAAAUCAUACCUUCAACUCCUUAGCCCCCACUUCCAUCCCGCAUAUCCACCCGCUCCCCUGCAAACCCCAAAAUCUGUUCGUUGAAUGGCAUUAUUGAGUCGUCCGGUAUGUCCAUUUGCUGGAAAGUCUUCCAAUACAGAAUGUUCGCCGAACUUCCCUCAUCCACAAAUACCUUGCCCACACUAUAACGAGCGAUAAUAGCUGUUAUCACCAUGGGAUCAUCCUGGUUAGGAUCUGGUGCAUGGAAAUCUUCGUCUGAGAACGUUAUUGUUGGCAUGGUCCUCCGGGCCAACCCAAUCCUGUUAACACUGUGCAAAUUUCUCAAAUGUCUUUUCCGAGCGACUGAAGACGGUCCUCCCCCGCAAAUCCUCCUGAGAUAGUAUUUAUAACCCCCCUCAAAGGUCUUUCACCAUUUCUGUUUGUCCCUGGCCGUUCGGUGGUGGGCGGAUCUUGUCGUUCAGCCAAUUGACGGCUCCCCUGUCCCACAUGGCUCCUCCUAGGACAAGAAUUCAUCCUCUGCACAAAUUCUCUUAAAUGGCCUGCCUGCACCAGACUCUCCAACUUAUCUCUUAGCGUGGCGCAGUCUUCAGUAGAAUGCCCCAUGUUCUGAUGGUACCGACAAUGUCUGCUUUCAUCGGCCCCUCGCGGAGUUGGUGAUCGAGCAACCGACAACAAAUUAACCCUCAAAGCUUCCUCCAAUACUCUCACCCUCGGUGUAUUCAACGGUGUAUGAUGAACAUACUGCUGAACCCUUUGAUUCUUGACCCCUCGUUUCACCCCUCCUCUAUGCUCCCCCUCGCUCGGUCGUUUUUCCCCUCUUCUAUCUCACCCUGACUUCAUGACCGGUACCCCUCUUCGCCCUAAUCUAACCUGAAGAAUAUAACUGUCAAUAAAAAUGAGUUAUUUUUUAGUGUAACAUGAUACAUCAUGACUUAACAUAAAAUAAAAUAAAUAAAUAAAAUAUUGAAAGCACUAUAAGCUAAUAUGAGGCAUGUACAAUUAUAACAUUAUAACAACAGUAACAACAAACAUCUACAAAAUUUUAAAAUUUAUUCCACUGAAAUUCUAUUCUUACCAAGAAAAGAAUUAUUUAUAUUUUUUAAUUUUAUAUUUUUUAUAAUUAAUUAUUUUCAAUUUAAUUUGUAUAACAUCACAUUUCAUUUUCAACACAUAUCUAUAAAUUACGAUGUAUAUUUUUAUUCAUUUAAUAUUUGUUAUUGCAUCUUUUAAAAUCUUUUCAAUAAUUUAUUUCUCCAAUAAUAAUAUCAAUAACAAUAAAACUCACAAAGAUUUUUAUUUUUUUAAUUUUAAUUUUUUUAAAAAAAAAUUGUUUUGUACAAAACCAAGUUACAUUUCACCUUAUUUAGUUUUUUAAUUUCUCUCCUAUCUUAAACCAAUUAAAAUUUAUUCUCCACAAUUUUGAUUAAUUGUUUUAGAUAAAAUUUUAUAUUAUCUACCGCUUUAGUAAAAUCCAUUUUUAAAUUUUCUUUCCCCCAUUAAUAAAAAUAACCAAGUUUUAUGUUUUUUUCCAAUUUUUAAAUUUAAAAUUAUUUAUGUGACAUUCCUAUUUUAUAACAUACAUGUAUAUAAAAAUCAAGAUGUCACCAUAGAUGAUAUAAUGAAGCAGUUAGAGUGUUAAGGUACUUAAGUUAGGAUUAUAGUAAUCCAGGUAAUUUAUAAGAAAUUUAAAACACGUGGGAAGAUACUAAAGUUUCUCAAAAUACAUCAGAGUUCAAAUAAAAUUUAACAGAUUUUAAAUCCUAAAAAAAACUAAGUUGCAGCAUCAGUGUUGUCUUGGUCUUCCAAAACAUCCUCCAAAGUGGGCUCAUGCUCAUCUGCUCACAUCCAACAAGGAUGAUCAUCGCAAAAGAGAAACAUACAACAUACACAAAAACAAGGCAAGAGUGAGCUAAUUAUAUAAAUAAACAUCAUACAACAAGUUAAACAUUUUAAUCAUAAGAGAGUACAUGGAUAGCAACCACAUUUUAUAACAACCAACCUAUAAACAUGUAAGAUUCUAGACUUGACUCGUCCGGACUUUAAAAUGAGAUUCGGGCUAUGGUGAGUCUUGCACCCGUGGUGACUUAUGAAACUUGGGUUCCCCACCCUGCCACACUCACGAGGUUAGUCCGUUCCGCGCCUUGAGGCAUACUAGGAGCCCCCAAGACUAAGGACCUCCUGCUACUUCUCACCACAUGGUUCAAACUCUCUAAGUGAGUUUGAUUGACCAUUGAAGCGUCAGAAUGACUCCCAAGGAUGAGCCCCUACUUUCAUUUUAAAACACUAAGGAUCUCACCGAGAGAUUCUACAUUUACCACCAUCAAUACACUAGAAAUCAUGUUUUAUUCCUUUCCAAUUCACAUACUUUUGAACCAAAAUUCACAAUUCCAAACAUAUACAUAAUCUCAACAAUACACAUUAUUUACCACUCACAAAUUAUAAAAAUAACUACUCCCUAAUUUAAUCUAAGCUAAUCAAUACCAUCUUUUAUAAUUUAUUACCAAUGCCUAAACCCUGUAUAGAUAUAAAAUCAUGUUCCCUUCAACUAUAUUAUAAUAGUUAUCUUAAACCAUACUUCUAGUAUAAGUUUUCUAUUAAACCAUUGCACAAAUAUUUUUAGUUUAUAUUAAACCAACAUUCAUAUUAUAAUAUUAUAAGAUUUUAUUAUACAACAUGUUAAUAUAUAUAUAUAUAUAUAUAUAUAUAUAUAUAUAUAUUACGUACAUUAACUAAAUUAUAUAUAUAUAUAUAUGUAUAUAUAUAUAUAUAUAUAUAUAUAUAUAUAUAUUACGUACACUAACUAUAUUAUAUAUAUAUAUAUAUAUAUAUAUAUUAUUUAAACUAAUUUGUUCAUUUUAAUUUGUUCCUAGGGUAAAAAUGAGUUGAUCUAGGUGUGCUCUUGGUUAGAAUUUCCACAUUCCUAAGACUUAGGGAACUAAAGUCAGAGUGGUCAUUUUUAAUGUGUUCUUGCUCAAUUUUAUGCCUCACAUAAGUUCCAUUUCACUAAUCUAAGUUAACUAAACAACCCAAACACCCCCGAUACCCAAACACACAAAUUCACUAUGCUAGUUCCCUCCUCCCAAACUAAAUAAAAUCAAUUUAAGCCACUGAUCCUUUGCCUAAGGGUUCUACUCUCUCCCACCUUCUCAUACCCCAAUUGGUCAACGGAGUGGGAACAGAUGUCCACUACAGCGGACUCACCUUCGUCACCAACACGUAUGACUAGUCACAACGUACUGGACCAGGCCAGGGCUGCUCUAUGAUCAGUGACGUGCUAGCUCUGGUUUUUAGGUUCCCUCUAUCCUACCAACAAAGAAGGCAUCCUAAACACUCUGAUUUGACUCUCUUAAGGUAUUAUGAUCCCUGUACUAUUUUCUAGACCUCCCUUCCCUUAAACCAGUGCCUCACUUCCACUCACAGACCUAGUUCUACACAACCCAAGUCCCUCAUCAAAAUAAUAGAGCAACAGGAUUUCCAGAAAUCCAAGACAACUUCAAUAUAUCAAAAUUUCACUGCCCAUUUAAUCAAACAGAGCCAGUUCAGUCCCAUACUCAUUUAAAUCAACUAAUUAGUAUGACAAUGGCAAGAAAACAGAUUAGGCUCAUCAAAAACCAAUUACAGAGCCUCAAACGAAAGCAGUAUAAGACAUAACAAUCCCAACAGGCACCCCUUUUUUAGAGCAAUUCACAGUCACAUAAAACAAGCAAAUAAUCAAUAAAACAGAUUCACAGUCACAUGCACUUGUAUCAGUUCAAGAAUAAAUACAAAGAUAAUUACAUAUUUUAUAUAAUAGCUCCCCUUAUCUGGAAACAGUGAACAGUAAGCUCACUCCACUAUAGUGCUCCAACAAUUAGGACACAGGUGAGAAACUGCGAAUCACCAAAUAGGUGAUGGAGUUUAGCUCUUUGAGCUGGAAAAGUUUUAAAAUGAUAGAAUAAAAUUACACAAGACUCAUGGAAUAAAAAAAAAUGAAUUCUAGGGCAAGAACAGAGAAGAGAAAGAGGGAAAAUCUACUUACCGUGCGGAAGGGGGAAAUGUUCGGUUGGAAUGGAAGUUCUCUACACCAGGAACAAUUUGGUAGCAAGAACUCAGAGAUUGAACGGUUCAAUCUUCUGAAACUGUAGAGAGAAGGCAGAGGAAAAUUAGGGUUAGGGUUCUGGAGUUUCUAGAGAGAGAAGGGAAAUGGGAAAAAUGAAGUUUCUGACUUUUGGUUAAGUCCCCCAAAGGCCCUAGUGCCUUGGUCUGAUGGGCCUAGUUGCCCUUUCAGAGGCCCAAUGGCCUUAUAAGUUAUGGGGUCCUUACAAUUUGCAUAUUUGACAAAGACCAAAUUAUAUUCCACCUAACAGAAUCUUUUAAUUUCUUUCCUCCUUCAAAUCAAUUAAAAAUUAUUCUACAAAAUUUUAAUUAUUUUCUUAAAUUUAAAUUUUCAAUCAAAUACAUUUUUUAUUUUUUGUCAUGCUUCUCUCCUUGGGCAUAAUUCACAAAUCCCAUUUCCAAAAUUCGGUCUUCUGAAGAAAAAAAAAGCAUUGCGAUGAAAACAAGCAACCAAAAUACUAGGAAGGACUUGGUUGAGCUGCAAGAAUUGACACUCCAGAAGUUUGAUUAGGCUUUUCACAGAAAAUCCUUGAUUGUUCGUCUUUGUUUUCUUUAAGGGGAUGUUCCUUUCGGGUGUUAAUGUUGUUGUAAAACCAAAAACAAAAACAGUUUUCGGUUAUUCUUCUCCUAUAAAUGUAUUCACAGACAAUAAAUCUAAUCAAAGAAAAUACAGUUUAUUCGAGAUAUGAGUUUUUCUCCAUUUUUUUCUCAUGCUCUCUAUUCUUACUCUCCUCUGUUCUUCGUUCUUUCUUCUUCUCCUCUGAAACUCUAGAUGAUAUCAAAAGCUUGAGAGAAAACAUUUGUGUGAAGUGUGGAUGAGAUCAAGGUUUGGUGGAGUGUGAAUUUCAGCAAGAAGUGUUCUUUGGAAGUGUAAAAUCCUUUCAGGUGAAAUAAGGAGGUCCAAGAAGCUUCAUCAAGAAACAAAAUGGUAGGGUUUGGAGGAAUGAUACAGGACCACUUCCAAUCUUUUAAUGCAAAGAUGUUUGAUGACUGGAAGAUCAAGAUGUUGGUCAUCUUUGGCUUCUAUGAUGUGGUAGAGGUGAUAGAGUGUGAUCUUGAGGAACUAGGCAAGGCAUCUGAUGAGGAAAAAAGAAGUUACAAGUUGCAGCAAAAAUUAGAUAACAAAGCAUGGUUUCUCAUCUAUCAAUGUGUGAGUUUAAAGAUUUUCAACGAAAUCUCCAAAGCAACAACUACCAAAGAAGUCUGGAAGAUUUUGAUGAAGGCUCACAAUGAUGGUGAUAAAAACAAGAAGGUGAAGCCACAAAUCCUAAGGAGGAAGUUUGAGUUCAUGACCAUGGAUGAUAAUGAAACAGUGGUAAAUUAUUUUGAUAAAAUUCAGGAACAUGUAAAUGCCAUGUGGGCAUGCAAGGAUGCGAUUUUAUACCAGAUUGUUGUUGAUAAAAUUCUGAAGACUUUACCACCCAAAUUUGAUCAUGUGGUGGUAGCUAUUGAGGAAACAAGGGACUUGGAAGCCAUGGAAAUAGAAAAUUUGUAGCAUUCAUUAGAAGCACAUGGGUAUCACAUCAAUGAACGCAAACAAUGUCAAAAAUAAGCCUGCAGGCCUGAUCUCAAAAUAGGGGCAAGAAGGGGUCCAAGAAAGGUAGCAAAGGUAGUACUAAACACAAAGAAUCACUAGAAUAGCAAGGUGAAGAUUCUAGUGAUUCAAUCAAGCGCAAGAAUAAAAACUCCUGCACCAAUUCUAAUGGAGAAAAAGAAUGGAAGUUUGAUAAGAAGAAAGUAAGGUGCUACAAUUGCAAGAAAUUUGGUCAUUUUGCCAAAGAAUGUUGGAAGGGAGAUGAAGCUAAGAAUAAACAAAAGGAAAAUUGUUCAGAAAUUGCAGUCUGGUAUAUGUGUCAAAGCGGCUGCAGUGGAAUGGUUACCGUGGAAUAACAAACCAAGAGGGAUUUUAAUACAAACGUGUGCCUUUUAAUUUUUACUCAAUUAAACUUACUAAGCAAAGAAUAAAGAUAAAUAACAAGAGUAAGGUUGAGAGAAAUUUGCACAGAUCAUUUUAUCCUGGUUUAGAUCUUACCAAUCCUACGUCCAGUCGCCUAUCUCAAAACAAGAUAAAUCGUUCACUAAUCACAAAACAAUUACAAAUUACAAUCAUAAAGAAUCAAUUUGUAAAAGUUUAGAAAACACUUAUCUUGAUACCUUCAUAGAUGAACCUGCACCUCCUUUAAGCCUUCACAAAGGAUGAAACACUUCCUCCAAAUACUUCACGAAGGAUGACUUCCUCUUUUAAACACCUCCUUACACGCCCCAAGGAUGAACCGACUAUUCCUCUGUCACCGUAGCAGUACUUCACUAGCUCCACAGACGAGAGUUUCUCAAGUCGAACAAGAAUACACAAGUCUCAAUGAUUUCUAAGUACUAGAGCACAAGGGAAGAGUUGUUGUUGAUGGAAAAUUAGAGCCUAUUUACAAACCUAAGCAAAUACUCUUUCGUUCGUUUCUAGCAAUUUAACGUUUUUAAUCGAUUAAUAUUAUUGUUAAUCAAUUAAAACAAGUACAACGGCUAGUUUUAGCGAUUAGAAAACUCCAAUGGUCACCUUUAAUCAAUUAAUUUGAAGAUUAAUCGAUUAAAAGGUGUUUUAAUCGAUUAUUUGAGUGGGAGCUUGAUUUUUCAGCUCUUAGAGCGUUUUAAUCGAUUAAUACUAGGUUUAAUCGAUUAAAACCGUGCGAUUUUGAUAUUGAAUAUCAAAUACACAAUAUGAAAGUACAUGGAAUCAAAACCUACUAAAAAUCUAAGUCCUAAACAUCAAACUACAAUUAUUACAAAAGCUUUUUAUAACAUAACAAGUCUUCAAAGGAUGUUCUUGAAUCUUGAUAUCUCUUGACUUGAAUUGGACAUCAUCAAAAUUUCAUCUUCAUCAUUUUGCUAACAAACUGGAUUCUGGUUAUUCCACACACAUUUCUGGGAGGAACGAGUGGUUUGUGAAAAUUCAAAAAGCUAUGCAGCAAAAAAAUAAAUAUGUUGACGACAGAAGACUAAUAACAGAAGGUUCUGGAAGGAUGGUCUUAAGGAAUGGUGAUGGAAGAGAAGUAGUGAUUAAAAAAGUUCUAUGUGUCAGGCUUAAAUACCAACCUACUUAGUUUAGGCCAACUGCUUCAAAAAGGGUUUGUGAUAAAAAUGGAGGACAAUUUGUCUCGGCAUUUUUUAUCAGAGCAAGACACUCAUUAUUCAAGCUCAUUUGUCACAAAAUAGGACUUUUCGGGUGGUGAUGAAUGCACUCAAGCACCAAUGUUUUGUUGCAUCAGAAAACAGUGCAGAAUGGUUGACAUCUCAGGUUUAGACAUCUAAAUUUCAAAGAUCUAUCUCAAUUAAGCCAAAAAGAUAUGGUGAAUGGCUUACCUAUGGUUAGCAUACCAGAAACAGUGUGUAAGGAGUGCAUUCAGUGUAAGCAAACCAGGGGAAGUUUUCAUAAAUAUUUGACCCAAAAGACAACAGAGAAAUUGGGAGUGAUAUACUCAAAUGUUUGUGGUCCAAUUCAGACAGAAACAUUUGGGGACAACAUGUAUUUUCCAUUGUUUGUUGAUGACUGAACUAGGAAGAGUUGGACAUACUUAAUUAAAAGAACUUUGUAUUUCAUGAUAAGUUAUCCUCUUAUUUUAAGCAUUUGAUUUGUUCUAUUAAUAAUAACAAAGAAACUAAUAUGUUUGAGGAAGUUGUUAGAUGUAGUAAGUAGCACUCUGCUAUAAAUGAUGAAAUAUUUGCUCUUAACAAAAACCAUACUCGGACCAUUAUAACACUCCCUAGUAACAAAUCUACCAUAAGGUACAAAUGGGUGUAUAAAAUAAAAUACAAAGCCAAUGGAGAUAUUGAUAAGUACAAGGUGUGCCUUGUUGCAAAGGGGCAUACACAGCGAGAAGGAUUGGAGUACCUCGAUACAUUAUCACAUGUUGCAAAGAUAAUGACUGUUCAUGUGUUGCUUGGACUAGCUGCCAUAGAAAACUGGCAUCUUCAACAACUAGACAUUAAUAACGCUUUUCUACACAAAUAUACAUGGAAUUAUCACCAGGCCUUCAAACAGUAUGAAAUAAUCAAGUCUGUAGGUUAAACAAGUCUUUGUAUGGGCUUAAGUAGGCUAGCCAUCAAUGGUACAAUAAACUAUCAACUUUUCUUUCACUUCAUGGUUAUAAACAAACUAAUACAGAUCAUUCUCUCUUUGCUAAAAUUGCCAACUCUAAAAUACCAUCCUCUUAGUAUAUGUUGAUGAUGUUGUACUAGCUAGUGAUGACUAUGAAAUAAACACAUAACCGCCCUUUUAGACCAAAAUUUUAAGAUAAAAAACCUUAGGGAUUGAACCUAUUUUCUUGGUUUUAAGGUAGCGAGGAGUCCAAAAGGAAUACACUUGUCUUAAUGAAAAUAUGCCAUAGAUCUUCUUCAAGAAAUCGAAAUGCUUGCUUCUAGGGCUGGGCAAAAAUAAUUGAACUGUACUGUACUAUAUUAUACUAAAAAAAACUGAUCAACUUUUACUAAAAAGUUCAGUAUACUAUUUUAUGGUUCAGUUUUUAAAAACUGAAUUUAUAACAGUUUCGGUUUAGUUAACUGUGAGAACUGUAUCUACUCUUUUCUCUUCUCUAGUUUUCGUUCAACUGCUUUGUUUUGCCAAGAAAAUGUUAUUUAAUAAUAAAAUAUUAAUAAAAGAAAUUGUUCACAUUAAUAAUUAAUUUUUUUAAGACAAAAUUUUUUUAUCACAAAUUUUUAUAUUUUUUAUCAAUAAACAUAUAUUACUUUUUAUAAUAUUAUUUUAAGAGGAUACAGAUAGAAUAGAAGAGGAUAAAAAGGAUAAGAGUGAAAAAAGGUUGGCAUUUUGUUACCCCAAAUGCAAAAAACGAAAAUUAGAAAUAUAAGAGAGAGAAAAAACAUUUUCUUGGAGAAAAUAGAGCAGAGAGAGGCAUCAAAAAUAGGAGAACCAUCGGUGACGUUCUGAAGCUUUCUUGGUGGUUUUGGAAACAAAAAAAAAAUAGUACGACACCAGGUAAGGGGGGACCGGUUAUAUUGUAACACAUGAUUGAUUUAUGGUUUUGAUAAAUGUUUUUAUGUUAUAGGGAAAUUUUUAGUGAUGUGAUAUAAUAUUUGUUCUUUGCUUAUACGUCGUUGUAAGGGAAAUAACUAGAUUUAUCUUGUAUGUAUAUGUGUUGAGUGAUGUUUGAUGUUACCAAUGUUGUUUCAUUCGUAUNNNNNNNNNNNNNNNNNNNNNNNNNNNNNNNNNNNNNNNNNNNNNNNNNNNNNNNNNNNNNNNNNNNNNNNNNNNNNNNNNNNNNNNNNNNNNNNNNNNNNNNNNNNNNNNNNNNNNNNNNNNNNNNNNNNNNNNNNNNNNNNNNNNNNNNNNNNNNNNNNNNNNNNNNNNNNNNNNNNNNNNNNNNNNNNNNNNNNNNNNNNNNNNNNNNNNNNNNNNNNNNNNNNNNNNNNNNNNNNNNNNNNNNNNNNNNNNNNNNNNNNNNNNNNNNNNNNNNNNNNNNNNNNNNNNNNNNNNNNNNNNNNNNNNNNNNNNNNNNNNNNNNNNNNNNNNNNNNNNNNNNNNNNNNNNNNNNNNNNNNNNNNNNNNNNNNNNNNNNNNNNNNNNNNNNNNNNNNNNNNNNNNNNNNNNNNNNNNNNNNNNNNNNNNNNNNNNNNNNNNNNNNNNNNNNNNNNNNNNNNNNNNNNNNNNNNNNNNNNNNNNNNNNNNNNNNNNNNNNNNNNNNNNNNNNNNNNNNNNNNNNNNNNNNNNNNNNNNNNNNNNNNNNNNNNNNNNNNNNNNNNNNNNNNNNNNNNNNNNNNNNNNNNNNNNNNNNNNNNNNNNNNNNNNNNNNNNNNNNNNNNNNNNNNNNNNNNNNNNNNNNNNNNNNNNNNNNNNNNNNNNNNNNNNNUUUUAGCUAGCAUAGAAUUAAGCGUUACUAUACUAUAUUCAUUGGACAUUGGCUUAACAAAGAUGAUACAAGAUUUUAGUUUGGCAUGGGAAUAAACCUUUGGCUUUCAUAAAAUUAAGUUAUAUAAUAAUAAAGUAGCUUGUUGGUUUGUUAAUAAGUAUGUAUAAGUUUAGGGAUGACGUGGGUGAUUUUUCAUAAUCCGAGGGUUGAUAAAUUAUUAUUCCUGUAAAAUAAACUAUGAAAGUAGAAUAUUUUAUGUUGUGGUGAUAUUUUAUUGUUGUAAUUUUAUAUGUUUCUAUAGUGAUUUAUUUGAUGUAGUAAUAUGUUUAUAUAAUGUUGUAGUGUUGUAUAUGAAGUCGUGUUUUAUAUGGUGUUGUAAAAUCCUGUGUUUGAUGAGGUCAUGUUUGUUAUUGAUAUGUUAACGACUAUUAUUGAGAUUGUGUUUUGAGCCUUGUAAUUGGUGAGCAAUGCAUGUUAGGGAACAAUAUGUAUCUUAUUAUGAGUGAUGUUAUAAAUCUAGUGAUUUGUGAUUAGUGACUUAAUGUAUAAUGUUGAAACUGCGUAUGAAAUGUGAUGAGAAAGACAUGUUAAACAUUAUGAUGAGGGAACACUGUAUAUUUUGAGAAUGGUGAGAUAAAUCUUAUGGUUUGAGGAGGAAUGCAUGUUAUUGAGAAUGUGUACUGAGUUGUGUUGUGGACAUGAAACUAUGUUAUUUCCUGGUACUGUCGUCGGUCAUGUGUGAGCUUUUCGUACUGCGCUACGUUAAGAAUGUGAUGUGUUGGACUCUCGUUUAAGAGAUAGUGAUUCAAGUGUCACUUCCCUCUGCGCGGGGAGGUGGAUGUCUCGCCCAAAAGACUUCGGCUCGUGCUUAGUAUAGUGCACUGGUGCGCGUAGUGCCAGUGUUUUUACUUGUUAGUCCUUGAGAAGUCGGGGAGAUAGGUCGGAAGUUGCGAUGAAAGCCGCCUCGAAUUGCCCUGUUGAGGAACAGGUAUCUGUUAGUGAUAACAGGUCAUGACGACACAGUAAAAGGAAACGACAUUGGAUCAUGAAUGGAUUGGUUAUGAUAUUGAUGUUGUGAUGGAAUAUGUUAUAUGUUUAUAUUACUCUAUGAUUAAAAUGAAUUAUGCUUUAUUGUGUGUUAUGAUAUUUCUGGUUGUUCACCCUGAAAGUUGUGGAUGUGGUUUCCACCUACGAUGGUCGUACUUGUACGGGAGUAGAUGGCAUUGCAGAUAAAACUGGAUUGAAGUAGCUGACGUGAGAGUUGGGAUAUCUAAGUUCGGGGAUUGAUUAUUUAUUUUUAAAAGUUUUCCGAUUUGAUACUUCUAUGUAAAAGUGAUAUUCUGAGAUUUUCAAACGAUGUUGAUAGUCAUGAUAUAAUUUCGCCUGUAAAUUGAAUGUAUUAUAGGAAGGUUUUGAAAAAAAAAAAUUAUAUCGUGACAUUCCGAAAACUGAAGUGUUACAAUAAAAGUAAAAUAUUUUUUUUUUUAAAUUUUAUUUUAUUAAAUGAUUAAGUAAUAGAAACCAUAAAAGAAAAAAAGACUAUAUAAAAAAUUAAUACUUUAAAUACAUUAUAUUAUUUAACAUAUUAUUAAAUAUGUAAAAAUAUGUUAAAAAAAACUUUUAGUGAUAUUAAAAUAUGUGUAAACACAAACUAAAAUAAUUAUUUAUUUUAAAAAUCAACUUUAAAAUAAAUAUCAAUAUUAUUAUUUUUAAAUGAUAGUAUAAAACUAAAAUAUAUUUUUUAAUAUUAAAUUUUAUUAAAUAAUUGUAUAAUGAAAUAUCAUAAAAAAAUAGUAAUAUAGCAAAAAUAAUUAAUAUUAAUGAAAUAUCAAAUGACAAAAAAGUUAACAAAUGUUGAUUAAGAGUAACUUUUCUAGUAUCAUCUUUUAUUAUAUUAUAAUAAUUAACAAAUAUUAGUUUAAUUUUUACAUAAUAAAACAUAAAUAAUAAAUAAUUGAUUAAUAAAACAAUUUUAUGAGGUACCAAAAUAAAUAUAAAUAAAAAAUUAUUUUAAAAUAAAUUAAGUAUAUAAAAAGAUAAAAUAAAUUAUAUACACAUAAACAAAAAAAUAUAAAUAAAAAAGAAAAAAAAAUAAAAAAAAUAAAUAUAAAAGUAAAAUAAUAUUCAUGACAAAAUAAAUAUAAAUAAAAAUAAAAUAAAAUAAUUUUCGUACACAUAUAAUAAUAAAAGAAAUAUAAAUAAAAUAGAAAAUAAUAAUAUCAAAUAAUUAAAAAAUUAAUUUGUAAGACACUUAUGAAUAAAAUAAAAUAAAUAUUAAAAUAAAUUUUAAUUAAAAAUAACAUGUAUUGUUAUAUUAUUUAGUUUAAAAACUAGUACAAUUCAGUUUAAAAUUAGUACAAUUCAGUUUAAAAUUACUAUAGUUAGUAGUUCAGUUAAAUUUAUAUUAUAAUUUAGUACAAUUUAGUAUAAUUCAGUUCAGUUUGAUAAAACAAAAAAAUAAUUCAGUUUAGUUUGUCUGAACUGUAGUUUAAACAAAUUAGUUUUUUUAUUCACUACAGAUUCUAGUAUUACAGUGCAUCUGUUAUAUUUACCUACCCCUACUUGCUUCUGCUCAAGUUUCACUCCUAUGAGUUUUUCUAAAAGAACCUUUGUCAACAGUGGACAUCAUGCAUUUUGUUCGCAAACUUAGUCAAUUUGUUAUUACUCCUACUACAUAUCAUCAUCAAGCUGCUUUACGUGUACUUCGUUACUUAAAAUAAGCUCCUCGUUUAGGUAUUUUUCUUUAUGCAGAGAGUGAUACUAAAAUCACUAAAUUUGGUGACUCUGACUGGGCUGGGUGUUCAGACACAAGGAAAUUUGUCACAAGCUUCAUCAUCUAUCUUGGACACUCGCCUAUCAGGUGGAAGUCAAAGAAGCAAAGCAUUAUGUCUCGUAGCUCAUCAGAAGUAGAGUACAGAGCACUUGCAUUAACAACCUGUGAAGUGCAAUGGAUUCUCUAUCUUCUUCAAGACCUUCAUGUUCAACAUCAGCAACUAGCCUUUUUUCUUGUGACAACCAAUCUACCUUACAAAUAGCUUCCAAUCAAGUGUUUAUGAGCGCACAAGCACAUAGAAAUUGAUUGGCAUAUUAUGAGGGAGAAAGUCCAAAUCGGAACCAUCAACACAAAGAAUAAACAUGUUGACAUCUUCAUAAAAAGUAUUACCUCUUUCAAGUUUUCAUGGGCUUCUUUCUAAGCUUGGACUGUUAAAUAUACAUGUUAAGUUUGAGAAGGGCUCUUAGAAUAAUCAAAUGACCAAGCUAGUUGUGUCGAGUUGGAUGAGUUGUGUUUCUAUCCGAGUUGGUCGAGCUAGCCAUGUCAGGUUGUCCGAGUUUGUUGAGUUGUGUUUUUAACCGAGCUGACCAAGCUGACCAAGCUACUUUUCUGUUAUUUCCAUUUUUAUGAUUCAUGUUCUAUAUAUAUUCCCUUUUCAUUUUGUAUUCAUCUACUUCAAGAUUCAGAAAUAAUAUUUCUUGUGUUCCUUUCUUUUUUCUAUUUUUUUCAUGUUUCUUUCUUUCAUCAUAAUCAUGGAUGUCUUGCUAGUGAAAGGAGUGCAUAAAACACCUUAUUACACAUUCUUGAAAAUAAGAGACUUUUGAUUGCACGUAUCUCAAGCCUCAAUAGGGCUCUUGUAUCUAAAAACUUUAUUUAGACAUGGAUUGAAGUAUAAAAUUAUCAAUAAAAAGAAUAAAAUGAAAUUACAAUUUAGUUCUAAAAAAGGGUUUGAAUAGAAGUUAGAAAUAUUUUGCAAAACCUUUCCUAAAACAGAUUGAGUAAAAAGGUUUCUGCAAAUCCUUUCUACAUAUCACGGAAGAAUUGAAUGAGAUGGAAUACAUUCUAUGGCGUGUAAAGAAUAUGGAAGUUGAAAUUUCAAUUCAUCUUCGACUCUUGAUAACCAAUGUCCCAUCUUAUUUCUCAAUUAUUACAUUCAACUAACAAAAUUGGUAUAACUUAGUAAACAAAACUAAUCAUAAAUUUACCAUCCCAUUGGUUCUGAAUCUCAAGAGAAAUUAAAAAAAUAAAAUCGUUAAGAAAAGCAUGACACAUGUAGAAAGAGGAACAUUCUUCGGAGAAUUUUGUGCAGUUUUCUGAAUCCAUCGAAUUGUUUAUAGUUCACCACUGUCAGACAGUUCAACCUUAAUUAUCCAUAUCCAUCUUUAGAAGGGAUUGAGUUCACCUGUGAGAAGAAAUGUAGGACAACAUGAAAACUCUUGCUGUUCAUAAAAAAAAAAAAAAUGUAUUCAUUGCAAUACUUCAGUGAUGCAUAGGCGUAGUGUUCAUAAAAAACGUAACUCACAUUUAUCGUGGAGCAAAUUCUUGUGUGGAUAGACAAGCAAAUUUGAGAAUUUAUAAAAAUAUAAACUUUCAAUGGUUUGAUUCUCGGUCAAAGGUGUCAUCGAUUUUGGAGUUGGACCAUUUGGUUUAUAGUUACCCGUCCCAGCUUCACUGGACAAGAACACCGUACAAUGUAUAUCCACUCCCUUUUUGUAGAUUUAUUUCAUUUUUUAACCGGGUUUGUUUUGAAUUAUAACAUUUCGAUUAGACUCAAACCUUUGGAUUCAAAUAAUCACAAAAAUCAAACUUUCACACUUAGCUUUGACUAUUUUACUAGUGGUGCACAUAAAUUGAAGUCCAAUCAUCAAUACAUCAGCUUCCUGUAUUCUGAUUUUUAUUUGAUAAACCAAUUGCCUAAAUAUUGUCUACUUCGUUGCUCUUUGCCAACUCUCUUCUUUGUAUUCUAACAAUCUUCUCCAGACAUGUUGGGGUUGGCUUUUGGUAUUGUUUUCCUUUUGACUGCAGCAUUUGCAGUGUUAUGUUCAUGUGGCCAUGCAUCACUUGGUUGCAAUGAAGAAGAAAGGCAAGCUCUUCUAAGGAUCAAAGGAAGCUUCAAAGAUCCAUCAAGGCUUUCAUCUUGGGAAGGAACUACUUGUUGCCAAUGGAAAGGUGUAGGUUGCAAUAAUCUUACAGGCCAUGUUGUCAAGCUUGAUCUCAGAAAUCCUUGUUAUCCCUUACAAGGAGAUUUUCAACCAAACUGUAAGUUUUACGAUCAUGUCCUUGAAGCUCAAAAUGUUCACCCUUCUAUAUUGCAGCUUAAAUAUCUAACUUAUUUAGAUUUGAGUGGAAAUAGAUUUCACAAUACUUCAAUACCAGCGUGCAUUCAAACGCUGCAGCAUCUGCAAUUCCUUUAUCUCUCUGAUAGUCAUUUUAGUGGUAGGAUCCCGUUCAAUCUUGGGAACCUCACAAAAUUGCUCCUUCUUGAUUUGAGCUUCAAUCCUCUUUUAUAUGCGGAUGACUUCUACUGGAUUUCUCAACUUUCAUCCCUCCAAUACCUUUACAUGAGUGAUGUGAAUCUUGAUAAAGCACAAAACUUGUUGCAGUCACUCAACAUGCUUCCUUCUUUGAUAGAAAUAGAAUUGAGGAAUUGUGGACUUGAUAAAUUGCACACCCAUCAACAUAUUAGCACCACAAAUCUCUCCAGACUGGAAGACCUCAAUCUAGCAGAAAAUGGACUUCAGACUCCUUUUCUGGAUGCUUUCCAAAAUAUGACUUCCAUUGCAGUCAUUGACCUUUCUCACAACAACCUGAAUUCCACUCCCUUCUGGUUGGAAACCUGUGCUAACCUCGUCAGUCUAUUUCUUGAUAGUAAUGCUCUUUAUGGCUCACUUCCAUCUGUUUUGAAGAAUCUGACUUCCCUGGUUUCUCUUGACCUUUCACAAAACAAGUUUGAUUCUGUUCCGGGUUGGUUAGGUGAGUUAAAGGGUCUUCAAUAUCUCAGUCUUUCAGGUAAUGAUAUAAAUCAUAUUGAGGGAUCUCUGGCAUCAUUUUUGGGAAACUGUUGCCAUCUUCAACAAUUAGAUAUGUCAAGAAACAAAAUUCAAAGUGAUGCACUUGGAAACCAUACACAGUUUGAAUGCAUUAGGCACGAUUUAAUACUUUUGGAUUUAAGUCACAACGAAUGUAAUGGUCCUUUACCAGCAUGGUUGGGACAGCUUGAAAAUCUAAGAUCGUUGAUUAUGACUGACAGUAAUCUGGAGGGAUCACUUCCUUGUGCUAUAUUAACAAAACUUGUCAAUCUGGAGAAUUUGGUGCUUUCCAACAAUAACUUCAACGGUUCUCUUCCUGACUGUAUUGGGGAACUUGUCAGUUUAAAAAUUUUAAUUCUUGCUUCCAAUCAUUUUGAUGGGAUUAUUCCAAGGAGUUCAGUGCAACUUGUAAGCCUAACAGAUUUAGAUCUUUCACGAAACUCUUUAAAUGGUAUCAUUCCUCACAAUAUUGGUGAACUUCAAAAUUUGUCGACCCUCUAUCUUUCUGAAAACAAGUUACACGGAAACAUUCCUUUCAGUCUUAGUCAGCUUCUAAACCUUCAGAACUUAGACAUAUCCCUAAAUCAUUUGGAGAAUUUGGUGUCUGACAUAAGAUGGCCAAGGCAACUUGUCUACUUAAAUCUCACCGAUAAUCGUAUCAGUGGGUCACUUUCCCAAGAUAUUUCUGAUAGCUUGCCCAAUGUCGGUUACUUGCUUCUUGGAAACAACCUUAUAAGUGGUCCUAUUCCAAACUCAUUGUGCAGAAUAGGGUCCUUGUACAAUCUUGACCUUUCAGGAAACAUGUUAGUUGGUGAAAUUCCUAAUUGUUGGAGUGUUACUCAAAGACUCGGUGUCAUAAAUUUGCAAUCCAACAAGUUAUCAGGUGUCAUUCCUAGCUCUCUUGGUAAUCUACCAACGUUGGCAUGGUUACAUUUGAACAAUAACAGCCUUCAUGGGAGCUUUCCAUCAUCUUUGAGAAAUUUAAAUCAACUUUUAAUUUUGGAUGUUGGAGAGAACCAUUUGUCUGGGAUUAUCCCUUCAUGGAUGGGGAAUAUCUUUUCCUCAAUGCAGAUUCUAAGGCUACGGCAAAACAGGUUGAAUGGAACAAUUCCUUUACAAUUGUGCCAACUUUCUGCACUGCAAAUUUUGGAUCUUUCAAACAACAAAUUGAUGGGUCGAAUCCCUCAUUGCAUCGGAAAUCUCACAGGUAUGGCCUCAAAAAAGAAUAUUUCUGCAAAUCAACCUAACAGAACAAUUGAAUGGUAUGAACAAGAGGUUAUAGUGGUGAUGAAAGGAAGAGAACUUGAGUAUACGAGAAAUCUAAAACUCGUGGUGACAUUGGACUUGUCAAAUAACAAUUUGAUUGGAUCAAUUCCAGAAGGAAUAACAUCUUUUCGUGCAUUGCUUAGCCUAAAUCUAUCAUACAAUCUUUUGACAGGACAUAUCCCCAAAAGGAUAGGGGACAUGAAAUCACUAGAAUCUCUUGACCUCUCUCAUAACCAACUUUCUGGUGCAAUUUCUGAAACGAUAAAUGGUUUAAGUUGGUUAAGCCACUUAAACUUGUCCUACAACAACCUUUCAGGACCAAUCCCCCAAGGACCUCAAUUAUCAACCCUUGAUGAUCCUUCUAUUUAUGGUGGCAACUCAUUUCUAUGUGGACCUCCACUGCCGAAUAAGUGUUUUGAUGAUGAUUUCCAAGGAGGUGAUGAAGAUGAAGAAAAAGAUCAGAAAGAUAAAGUAGAGAAAUUGUGGUUUUACUUUGUCAUUGCACUUGGCUAUUUUAUGGGAUUUUGGGCUGUGAGUGGAAGUUUGUUGUUGCAGAGCAAUUGGAGGCUUGCUUACUUUCAAUAUAUUGAGGAGUCAACACAGAGGAUAAAUGUAUCAUUGACAAUACAUUUAGCAACUUUUAAGGAGAGAUUGACAGGAAUGGUGGUGCUGAGUGACACACUAUGGUAGUCUUUAUCCAUUCUGUCUCUCUUUUAUGUUAUUGGAGGAUUUCAUGUUUAUUUUGUUUGAUAAAUAAAUUAGUUAGAUUUUGUAAAAUAGUAAUAAAUGUAAGUUGUAGAAUUUCUAGUUUAACUAAUAAUUGCUGAAAUAUUGCAGAGUGUAUCCUUUUCAAAUUCCAAAAUAAUCUGAGUGAUAUCCAAUCUCCCCUACACUCAUUUAAGAAAGUUGACGUUUUUGGUGACUUGAACUAAUCAUAAUAAUAAUAAUAAUAAUAAUAAUAAUUAUUAUUAUUAUUAUUAUUAUUAUUAUUAUUAUUAUUAUUAUAUAUUUUUAGUUCGAACAUGAAGAAAAUUAAAAUGGGUGUUCAUAGUUCUGACUUUUGCGAGAGUUUUUCUCUGUACCACUGUUGUAUAUAAAUUUUAUACAUUGUCAUAAGAUAUUGCUUUUUUAUUACAAAAUUAAUUUUAUACUGAAAUUAUUUUUUUUUUCAAAACAAACAAUAUUUAAAUUUAUUGUUUUGAACCAACUCUUAAACUAAAAUAAUUAGCUAAAGAAAUUUUAAAUUAUUAUACAAGUAAAUACUUCUUCACCUCAGUGAUAAAAAGAAAAAGAAGACCAUGUAUGGGAAAUACGGUAGAUAGUUAAUUCAUGAGUAAAAUAUAUUUUAAAUUUUUAAACUGAUAUUUAUUAAUGUUUCAAAUUUGAUACAGAAUUAUUUCAAAUUUUAAAAAUAAAUACUUAUAAUUAUUUCAAUUCAGUGUUAAUUUUUUUUUUUGUGUUAAACAUUUUUUAAAAUUAUAACUUUCAGUCCAAAUAUUAGUCUAGAAUAAAAUUUAAGUUUAAGAAUUAAAAAUAUAUUUAAUUUUUAAUUUAUUUAUUUAUCAUUUAUACAUUAAAAAAAUUCUUAUAAUAACUGGUUACUUGGACAUUAUCCAAGACUUUUGCUUCCAAGCAAAUAUAUAAAUAUGAAAGAAAAUAAUCCAAAUUAUUUUUAUUAUUAUAUUUUUCAAUAAAAAAUAAAAAAUAUUUUUAUAUUAUUUUUCAAAAACAUAUAUUAUACUUUUUACAAAUAUUUCUAAAUUAUGCAUUUCUGAAUGUAUAAUUAAAAAAAAUUAGGUUUAAUCCUUUUAAAUGUAAAAUUUUCGCAAAAGUUCUUAAACUUAAAUUAUUAAUAGAGAUUUGACUCAAAAGUCUUCCAAAUUAAGGAAGUUGUUAUAAAAUAAAAAGGUUAAAUCGAUAUUUUAAAAUAAAAUGAAGUUACAAAAACAUAUCAUAGAUGUGCCUUUAAAUUUAAAUUAUUUAUAUUCUCUGCAAUCUUUAAGCAAGUUGUUAUAAAAUAAAAAGGUUAAACCGAUAUUUUAAAAUAAAAUGAAGUUACAAAAAAAAAAUCAUAGAUGUGCCUUUAAAUUUAAAUUAUUUAUAUUUUCUGCAAUCUUUAAAUUUAAAAUUAUUUAAAUUUUCUGCAAAACCAAAUUACAUUUCUCCUACAUUGGUUUUUUAAUUUAUUUUCUCUCAAACCAAUUAAAAUUUUUUCUACUUAAUUUUAAUUAAUUUUUUAAAUUAAACUAAUUUUAAUUUUUUUUUCUUCUUGUGUCUUUUCCCUACUUUUCUUUUUCCUCUUCCCCUUCACAGAAUUCACAAGAUUCUGUUCCAGAAAUUUGUCCCAAAACACGAAUUUUAAUUAGCAAAAACAACUAAAAAACGUGACAGCUAGAUCUGGCUCCAGUACACACAGAGGAAAAAUAAUAUGAAAUUCCCUUCAGAUUUUGACAUUACCAGAAUUAUCUGUGGAAAAACAUAUCACGUCCAACGUGAAUUCACCAUCUUGACUUUUGCUAAACGAUUUCCACAUUUAGAAAUGGACAAAAGGCCAAUAUGAACACUUAAACCAACGCUUGACUUUGCCUUUUCUGACUGUGAUGGAGCUCUGGAACGAAGAUGAGUGGAGGUUUCUAUUCAUUUUUUUUGUAUUUCCUCUACUUUUAAAAUAUACUAUUUUUAUAUAUUAAAAAGGUUUUUAGUACUAUCUUUUAUUUAUUAAGAAUGUUUUUAAUAUAUUUUAAAACAUUAAAAUCAGUAUUUUAAAGACACAACAAAUUUUAAGGCUCGGUAAUUUAAUAUUUAUAUUUAUGUUUUUUAUCUAUUUGUCUUGUUAAAUAGAGUUAAUGUACUCUUAAAUUGACAUGUCAUUACUUAAUUAUUAAUUUAACUUUUAUAUUAUUUUUUACACAAUCGAGUUCGUGUUAUUUUUUAAAUUAAGACAGUGUGAUAUCUUGUUUCUUCCGUAAAAUUAAUCUUAACAUAGGUAAGAAGUAAUCCUGUAUGAAUCUAAAUCUUUUAGAUCCAUGCUCACCUCCUUCGUGUUCAAAAGGAAUAAGUUUUUUUAAGAAUUUUUUUUGACAAUUUUUUGACAACACAUACGUGACAGAUGAUUGGUUCGUUUUAAAUACUUUUCAAGAAGGGUAAUGAUACAUAGACAAAAUUUUUUGACAACAUUUGAACAUCAUCAUACGUGUCAUUGUGUAAUUGGUCCAAAUGACACAAUGACACCACCAUGGACCAAUCACACAACGACACGUGUGAUGAUAUUCAAAUGUUAUCAAAAAAUGUUGUCUAAGUAUUUUUAUCCUUUCAAGAAUAAAUUCAAACAUACCAAUAAAAUAGUAAUACAUGUCCAAAAGUUGUUAAGAAAAAGUUGUUAAAAUAUCAUUAUCCUAUUCAAAAUCCUUUUCUUCAUUUUAUAUAUUACAAUUAUAGAUUAAAAAUUUUGGUUUUUAUCUAUUGCAUCGUAAAUAAAUGAAUAUAUGAAUUUAAUUUAGUUUAGUUGUGAUUUUUAGAUUCUUUCCUAAUUUGACUUUUUAUGUAAGUUAUUUUUAAAUAUGUUAAUAUGGUCUUUCUCACGUGAAAAAGAUCGCGAUGCCAAAAUAUGUGCAAAAGUCCUGUGUGUUAGGAUUAAUUCAUUUGUUUUCUUUGUAAAAAAGUAUUCAUUUUGAAUAUGAGAAAAAAAAAUACAAUUAAUUUUUAAUCCGUUAUAAAUUUAAGUGAUUUUUAUUUGUUAAAAAAUUAUAUACAAAAAUUUUAAACAUAUUAACAUAAAUUUUGUAAAAGAUUUCAAUAAACUCGGAUGUUUGUUUAUAUAAAAAAAAAUAUGUAACAAUAUAAAUGUGACAUCCCAAAUAUCAUAUUCACAUAUAAUAUAAUAGGAUUCAGCUAUUACAAUAUGUGAAAGUAGUUAAGAGAUAAAGAUGACAAUAUUUAAAUAUUUAUACAGUUAUCCGAAAUUUAGUGGAAAUUAAAACGAAAUAAGACUUGAGUACAAGUUCCCCAAAGUUCUCCAAAAUACAUAAUAAACUAAAAUCGAAGGAUGCCUAGAGAGUGUUUCCAAAAAUUAACAAGCUAUUGAAAUAAAAACUAAUAAACGUCCUAAGUACUAGGGGCUGGAUCUUCCUCAGUCUCUCACGCCUGCUCCAAGGGUACCUCAUCACCUACUGCUCACAUCCAUAGGAUUUGAUGAUCAUCGCAAGGGGGAAGGCAAACACAUACAAACAUACAAGUGCAAGGGUGAGCUAGGUCUCAAACAAUCAUACAAUUCAUUGCAAGAACGUUCAUACACACUUAAACAUGUAAGUCAUCAUAAACAUAAACAUUCAUUUCACAAAACUCACUAAANCAAACAUCAUGUCAUGUUAAGACUCCUAGACACGUCCGGACAUAGAAUGUAUAUAGAGCUGGGGCGGGUUGUGCACUUGUGGUGGCCUCUACUGCUUUGCAAAGCCAUUGCCGAGGGGUUUCACCCGACCACACACAAGGUCGGUCCGUUACCACGGAAUAGACCUCCAGUGAUAGCGUCUACCCUAGGACCUCCCACUACUCUCACCACACGCGUCAAUCCUCUCUAAGUGAGAAUGAAAGACCGUUAGAGUGUUAGGGAUAACCCCCCAUAGUGGAAGCCUCUUACAUACAUUCAAUACACUAACUGAUCUCAUCGAGAGAUCUUAAUUUCAUAUUCAAUCCGACCACUUCAAAUCACCUGAUAUUCCUCUUGAAUCAAUAAUGUACCUCAUAAACCACUUUGCUUCAUCAAACAUAAAAUUUCAUAGUCAUUCAAGUACAUUCUUACUAUAUUGGCUCAUACCAAACCCAUACNCCAUCACACAACAUCGACCAUGUCAUAAAACAACUCAUACAUUACAUACUUUCACAAAACCAUCACUUAUUACCACAAAUUUCUUUAUGAUAUUUAAUUAUUAAUACUUAAGUAAUUCAAACAGCCUUGGGACCCUCACCAAUGGUUCCGGAAGGGUAAAAACCCCCAGAACAACCUAAAGAAUGUCCAAAACGGACGUCCGGAACUCCCAAAACGUCAAAAACAAAAAUGACAGCAGAAACAGUGUGCUGAAUGGCGCCCAGGUGGCGCCCAGCGCCAGGAAACAGAACCAAAUGGCGCCCAGCGCCAGUUAGGUGGCGCCCAGCGUGGAUUCUGCAGGUUUUAUGCAGAUUUUGCACAACUCACACCCCUAAGUUCCGUUUUAAACCUUUUUAUGAAUUUCUAAUCAUUAUAACUCGAAAUUUAGGUGUAUUUAAACUUGUCUAAAGGUGUAUAAACAUUCCUAACCUCAAUUCCUAACAACUAUGCAUAGAUUUACACUAAAAAACCUCAAUUCUCUCAACUUAUGGGCUCAAACCUAGAUUUAACACUUGAGGACUGUUCUUGGCUAUUUUGACACUUCUCACAAGUUACUUUGAACUUACAUAAGUUGUCUUAACUGCCUAAUUCAAGUUAUAACCCCUAGAGCUCAAAACCACUACCUCACUUCCUCUAAACUCACCCAAAACACUAGUUUUUCCUCAACCUAAGGACUCAAUUCCACUUCUACCGUCUAGGACCUCAUUUUAACAAUUUCUAUGAUUCUAUUAAGUCACAAUAGACUUACUAACAGUGUCCCAAUAGACCAAUUAUACUUCAGACAUCAACUUCUCAAAAUCACUCCCUUACUUCCUCUAUUUUGCCCCAAACAUUAUAAUUUCACUUAACACUCUACCUAAUAGUUCUUGAAACAGAUUCACCUUACUAAUAACUCAAUCACAACCACACUUCUCCUCCAAAUAUACAUAUUCACAACACCAAUUCAGUUCCGCAAUUUCUCAUUCAAUUACAUACAACAUACUUUCACACCAAACACAAUUGUUCAUCAAACCAGAAAAUAAUACAGAUUUCAACACAUGCAUAAUUCAUACAAACAAUGAAAAACAGUAUCUAGCUCCCCUUACCUCUAGUUUAGACAACCAAGCUCAAGUAGGAACUCUAAACCACUUGCUUGAAAACCCAAAGUAUGAGAAUCACCUAUGAAUCACCAAUUGAUGAUGGAAAAUGAAUUUUAGAACCAAAUAGAAGCUAGAUUAUGGAAGAAAACGAAAUGGGUUGCUUGUAGCAAGAAAUUGCAUGUUUACAAUCCUAGGAAAAAAUGGAGAAAGGGGUUUUCUUACCCGUUGGAUGAAACGAAGAUUUAAUCGGUGGGAAUGCUCCUCUUGAAGCCCUAAAGGCUUGGGUAGCUUCAAUUCAAGAAACAAACGGUGAAAAUUCGAGUUUGGAUGGAUGGAAAAUGGAGCAAUGAAGAAGAAAAGAAGAAGAGUUGUGUUUUAUGAGGAAGUGUCCUGAAAGAACAUGAGAGUGCAAAACUUUUACAAAAGUUUAUUUUUGUGCAUUUAGCCUUGGUCCAAAGACUAGCUGCCACGUGUACUCCACUAAAAAAAAUAUUUUUUUUUCAAGGCAUUACAAUAAGAUAUUAAAAUAUUUGACUAGUUAAAUAUAUUUAAUUUUUUUUGACAAUCUAAACAUAUUUUUAAAUUAUAUAAAAUAAUCAUUUAAUUUUGAUGUGGAAAAAUUCAUUUAAAUCUGAAUUAAAACUAAAUAAAACAUAUUAAUAAUAAAUUUAAGAAUAAUACAUUUUUGAUUUUUUAUAUGUUUUUUUUUAUUUUCUUUUUUUAAUGUAUGAUUUAAAUUUUAUCAAUUAUUUAUUUCUCUUUAAUAAUGAUUAAAUAUAUAUAUAUAUAUAUAUAUUAUAUAAAAAAAAGUUGAAUUUUACUAUAAUUAAUUCAAUAUUCUCUCAUGGGUUAAACUUCAUGUUUCUUGUUUACAAAUUUAUCUUACAUACUGCUUUAUUAAAUAUUAUAAAUUUUUUUCUUUAAAAAGUUAAUAAAAUUAAUAAAUAGAUUAUAAUUAAUGGUUAUAUUAAAUUAUAUAUUAUAUAUUUUAUUUUAAUAAUAUAAUAACAAGAAUCUUAAAAAAAAAAUAUCGAUUUAAAUAUAAUAAAAUUAUAACAAUUAACUUAUCUAAUAAAAUAUAUAAUUUUAUAUGUGAGUAUAAAUAAUAAUAUUAAUUUUAAGAAUUAAUUAAAGUUAUGUAAGAUAAAAUUUAUUUUAUCUCUAAUCCUAACUCUUUUAAAUAUAACACCAGGGGAAAAAAAAUACUUCUAUAACCACUUAUUAUCAUAAGUAACGUCCAACUGUCAUAAAGUAACAUUUUUAAAAUAAUAAAAGUAACAUAACUGAUAAAAGUAACAUUUUUAUAAUAAAAGUAAAAUGGGUUAUAAAAGCAACAUUUUUAUAAUAAAAGUAACCAUAAUAUUCCUUUGCUUUUUGUUCAUUCACGUCAUACUCUCUUUUUUCUCUUCUCUUAUGGUUUCAGUACAUAACGCAUACUCUCUUCUCUUGACCGCCAUCCCAUAGGCCCUUGUCUCCACGCCAUCUCCUCCCCACGUCAUUACUUCUUUACGCCCUCGUCUCCAAGACGCCGUUAACGGAAGUCAGUAUCAUCUCCGACCGAUCUCUGGGUUUGCUGCGUUCUCUGCUUCCGUUUGGGCAAUUAGGUUUUCUCUCUUUCCUCCACUUAGGUGUUUGAUAUUUUGAAAUACUACUACUGGGCUUAACUGUUAUGAAAUACUGCAAUUUUGAAAGCUGAUAAAAUGUAAUUUUAGAUCAUUUUUGCGAUUUUGUUCUAUUUUUUGGCCUGAAUAUUGAUAAAUUUCAUAUCAUUUUGGUUAGAAAUGAACCUAGGGACAAACUUCGUGCUCUAACUAAGGCAGCGACUGUGUAGCUCUUACACUUGUUAGAGGAUGCGGACUUUUUUUAUUAAGGGAAACUUGUAGUGUAGAGAUUUAAGAUCGACAAUGUUGUAAUGACACUAAAUGCUGAGUGUAAAAGGACAACAAGAGAAUAUAAUGUAGUGGAGGUCUAUUAGGUUUCAUUAGCUAGUUAAUUAGGUCAGUGAACUGAAAGAACAAGAUAAUAAAUAAGAGGGUUGAGAGAGAGAUCUGUUUGUCAUUUUAAUAAAUGAUUAUACUUUCAGAAAAUGGAGACCGAGAGGGAACAUGGUCUCUUGAAUACCCUCAAUAUUAUUAAAGUUAAUUUCUUUUAUAAUCAGUGUCUAUUAGUGAUAAAAUUGCUGUAUUGUCAUUUUUUGCAACAUUGUCAAUGUCAUUUCUUAGAAAUUCAUCCAUUGUGAUAUGAAAUGUUUCUGAAAAAAAUAAUUAGUUGUGGGAUCGUUAGUACCAUUCUAAUAGAUAGUAUCCUGAACUUGGAAUGCUUUUUUAUUGUCUUGAUAGUAAACGUCCCUGAGAAAGGAGCAAGGAAGCAUCCACGGGGUGAUAACAUACAGUUAUCUAAUCUUGAAAAGUUUAACCUCUGUCAUUUGUUUCUUGUUUGUUCUGUGAUAUGAUAUGAUUUAUGAAAUUUCUUGCCUGGUAUUAUUUUGGGGCUGCCUUUGAACCUGAAUAAUUCAAAAUUAUGCCUUUAUAUUUUGGGGGACUGCAUUUAUGUUUAUAAUUAUCAUUUUUAAAGACCUUACCAUCACCUAAUUAACAUGAGAGUACUAAUGCUAGAUACAUCUGAGGCUAUAGGUGGUUGGAGGUUAAUUAUGAGGAUGAAAAUAUUAGAUAGAUUAGUUCUUUAGGAACUCUUUCAUCUCCUUAGCAAGUAUUCGUCAAAAUUUUGUCAAUGUUAGUUAGGUUCAACGAUCAGUUCUCAAUCAUUUAGUCAUUAAUUUGCAUAACUGUCCACUUAUUUUUUGAUAUAUAGAUUGACACAAAGAACAUUCUCUUCAUAUGUGCUGGAGCAUUUAUUGACCUUGAAAAAACUAUUUCAGAGAGGUAAAUUUUUUCUAUUUUUUUGUAUUUCUAGAAAGAUUUUUUGUUUAUAGAUUUUUUUGCCUGUCUUGAUUUUGUUAGACUUCUCAUCUAAUUUUGAUUUGUGAAAAAGAGCAGACGGCAAGAUUCUUCUAUUGGUUUUGGGAGACCAAUCCGUGCCAAUGUGACAGCUAGUGGGGUUACACAUGCUGCAGUAACAUCAUCUUUACUUGAGUCGGUAAGAAUCGAUUAUGGUUAUCGGAAUUAGUAUUUUUUUUUUCCACCUUUCUGUAAAACUAGUCAGGCAGAUACUUUGAUUAAUUCAGACUAAAAUGAAUCAUGUGAAUUAGCUAUUCUUAUGUGCACUUUCCAUACUUCUACAUCAUAGAGAAAAAUACUGAAGUUAGAGAAUAAUAUUAUUGUAGCCAACAACCUUCGAAAUGCAUCUAAAAGUGGCAUCAGUUAUUUCAGGUGGAAAGUGCUGAUCUUAUUACAUAUGGUCUCAUCCCAGAGUUUAUCGGACGGUUUCCAAUCUUAGUUAGCUUAUCAGCUCUACGUGAAGACCAACUCAUGCAGGUAUUAUAAGCAUUGUUCAAAUCUUAGUUAUUGUAGUUUUUCCUGCUUUCACUAGCAAUUUAGUGCAUCAAGAGCUAACUCUGCUUGUUGUGUUAAUGAUCAUUCCGUUUUUCACUCAUUGUUGGCGUGGGUGCACACAUGUACAAGGAUUCUUUUUAUAUUAAAUGUUUUCUUAGAAAAGCUAGAAGUUAUUACGACCAUUGUUAUUGGUACGUAGUUGGUCUACAAUUAGAUACAUUGGUGUUUUCCUGGAAGAUGAAUGAUGAUGAAAUUAUGAAAAGAGAUUGUCCCAAACAGUAUAAUGCAAUUUCUUUAAUGUGUCUCUAAACUUAACAUACAAAACUAUAGUUGUUAACUGGUUACUCAUAAACAUGAGUGAACGUUACACCAUUUCAUGUGUUUUCAAUAAAUACUUUUUAGUUUAUCGUAAAGAUUGUGUCGGAAAAAGACUAAGUUUUUGUUUAAUUAGUAAUCUCAGGUUUGAAUCAUGUAUGCUGGCUGCAACAUUACAGACUUAGAAGAAAAGUUACUAUUCAUUAGAAAUCAAAUAGGAUUGUCUAAGUAUCAAGACUAUUGCAAAGUUUCUGGUAUCUUUGGUCAAACUAAUGUACAUCUACAAUUAUAAGUGGAUUCAUGUAUGUAUGUAUAAAUGCAACAGAUUUAGAUGUGAAUUAGAAGAAAAAUAGUCAACAAAGUUUCUGGUUGUUGAUCUGUCAGAUCUAUUAAGGUUAAUUGUGCAAAAGUUGGUCCUAGUGUGAAACUUAGUUUCACAAAAACCCAUAAAUAACUAAAACUUUUUGUACUAAUUAAAAUACUAAAUUCAAACAAUAAAAAAAUUAUAGACCCAAAAUUAUCUAUUAACAGUGCAGUUGUUGUUGCAGCUGCUAGUAUGCGCUGGAUAAUGGCUUCUAAGGAGGACAUCAAAAGAAUUGUUAAACCACUCUUGUUUGUGCUGCGAUCAUCAUCUACUUCAAGAUAUGUGGUAUGUAACAUUCCUUUGAAUCGUUUGUUAGUUUAUUUAUCUUGUCUUCCUUCAGUUCUUCUACAUGGUGAGUUACUUUCAUUUAUUUGUUAUUGGAUAUACUUUUAUAAAUUACACAUGAAUCCAUCUUUUGAGAACCUUGUGUAAAUGUCUAUAAUUUGAUUAUAGGUUGUGUUUUAUUCUUUACUCAUUAUAUUAUUACUGAUUGACUUUUAACUAGAUGAUGUCUCUACUCCCCCUUAAUUAUAUUUUUAUUCCUUAUCAUCCUUGUGCUCAUGAAACUUUUAAAUGACUUUAGUGAGAAGCAUAAGUUGAAUAUAGUGAAAACUAUAUAUGAGAUUAAUCUCCUUUGUAUUGAAUAUACACAUAGGAUCCUUUAUUUAUAAUAAAAGAAAUAUGGACUAAGCCCAAAAUACAAAUAAAAAAUAAUAACAAACUAAUUAAAAAUAAAAGAUAAAUAUAAAAUAAAGAUAAUAUAUCUAACACUCAUCUUAAGCUGGAGCAUACAAAUUGUAUGUACCAAGCUUGAAACAAAUACACUCAAUCCGAGGACCCCUUAAUGACUUGAUCAACACAUCUACUAGUUGAUCGUUUGAUCCAACAAACUUAGUAUAUAUUUUUUUAGUCAACAACUUUUCAAGAACAAAAUGAUAAUCAAUUUCUAUAUAUUUAGUCCUCUCGUGAAACAUUGGAUUUGAUGCAAUGUGGAAAGCAACUUGAUUAUCACAAUACAUCUUAAUAGUAUGGAUGUCACAAAAGUUAAGCUCUUAAAGGAAUUGUUUCACCCAUAUAAAUUCACAUGUGAGUGAUGUCAUCACCCUAUACUCGACUUCUAUUGUUGAUCGAGCAACUACAUUUUGUUUCUUACUUUUCCAUGAAAUAACGUUUCCUCCAAGAAAAACACAAUAUCCUGUAGUAGACCGUCUAUCAAUAGGUGAACUUGCCCAAUCUACAUCACAAUAUCCAAAGACAUGAAUCUUCCUUUAUUUUCAUAUAAUAAACCUUGUCUGGGAGCCUUUUUGUUAUACCUUAGAAUGCGAAUGAGAGCAUUCCAAUGGUCAACACAUGGAACUUGCAUGAACUGAUUAACCACUCCAACUACAAAGGAUAAAUCUGGCCUUGUAAUAGUGAGAUAAAUCAGUUUUUCAACCAACCUCCUAUACCUCUCUGGAUCGGAGAAUAAUUCACCUUCUUCGGUCCUUAAUUUCUGGUUUGGGUUCACGGGACUGUCUAUCGGUCUACAAUCAAUCAUGUCUGUUUCUUGUAAUAUAUCAAGAGCAUACUUACUUUGGGAGAUUACAACUCCAUCUUUUGAUUCUGCUACAUCAAUGUCUAAGAACUAUUUGAGACUUUCAAGAUCCUUGGUUUGAAAAUGUCUACACAAGUAAUUUUUUAGUUGAGAUAUUCCAACAUCAUUUCCUGUAAUGACAAUAUCAUCAACAUAUAUUAUUAACUAAACACAAUUCCCAAGAGAAGAAUUACAGUAACAAAUCAAAUGGUCUACUUCACUACGUUUUAGCCAUUCAUCCUUGGUGAUCUUAGAAGUGGAAGUUUCAGGCUUCGAAGUAGAAGUUUCAAUCUUUGAAAUAUUGGCGAUUUUGGAACCAUGUAAGGAGUAGCAAUUCUCUUGAGUGUGGUCCAUCUUUUUAUAGUAUGUACAUUGAGGACGUCCCCGACCUCUUCCUCUUCCUCCUCUAGUGCCACGUCCUCCUCUUCCUCAUGUGACAACCAUGACAGAUGGUUCCACUAGUUCACGUGCUUCCUGAGUUUGAGGUACCGGGUAGAAGGUGAGUGGUCAAUGUUUCCAUGGAGGGGACCUCAUGACUGGUCAGAAGUUGAUUUCUCGGAUGAUCAAUAUCGGGAUGUAGGACACUCUGGAUCAACACCAUGUAAAAUUUGUCUAGUUUCUUGAUAUCCUCUAAUGGGUCUGCUUCCAAAAGUAUCCCGAGUUCUUCGACAGUAGAUUGGCUUCAACCAUGAAGGACAUCAUAUCAUGGUCUGUUAAUUUAAGAGAUGCAAACUUGUUUGCAAUGUCAUAGAGACGUUGAAUAUCGUUGGCAUAAAUGCUUUGAGCUUUCUUCCAAAAGGAGUGACAAAUUUUGAAAGCCCUCAGAGAUAUAAGAAGUUUGGGUUCCACUGAUUGCCAUAACAGAACACACAACACAUCUUAUAAUAAGGAUUUUUUUUAAUUAAUAUCAAUCAAAGUUAUUUUUGACUAGUGUAAAAUGUAGUUAUUAUAUAUGAUUUAUAUUGCUUAAUAUUUUUUUUUUUUAACUCAUGUUAGCUUAAAAGUUCAUGUUUUUGAGAUUAAUAAGGAUUGAUAGACGAGAAAAACCUCAUUGACAUUGGUAAAAAUGACUUUUCUUAUGUUUGCCUAAAACAAAAUUUGAUCAGUUGAAUGACUCUUCCAAUUGAAAAAAUUAUAUAUAAGUCGCAAACUAAUGUUGAUGUUGGUAAAAAAAAGGAAGUAAUAAUAGGAUAAUAUAAGUUUACAUUCAUUUAACAUAUAAAACAAAGAUAAAAUAAUUAUAAUAGAAUAAUUUUUUUAUAAUUUAAAAAAAAAGUAAAAGAAGAUAAAAUCAAAUAAAUAUAAAAAAAUUGGUUACCUCCAUUGCACUUUAUCCCUAACCAUGACCCAUCACACAUAUUAUUGUCACUUCACGAAUCAACCAAAAUCUGAGAGUAACCCAACUCCCAAAGAAAAUCCAACAACGCCAUCACCUCAAAUGCGCACAUAGCUUCAGGCUUCGACAAGCAAAAAUCAUUGUUUCCAAAACUCACUUUAUCCGCUGCAAAAUCAGGGAUUGGACCCAUGAAAUGGUUAUUACUCAAAUCCAACCGCUCCAACUUCAUCCCAUUCAAACCACACGAAAUCAAUCCAACAAACUCAUUCCCAUUAAGAUCGAAACCCCUCAGCGAGACCAAUCCCCAAUGUUCAUCGGAAUACUCCCACUAAACUUAUUCCUGUGAAGCCACUAAACUUAUGUCCAGUGAGCACUCCAAGUUUUAGUCCCAGACGAAGCAAGUUUCGCUCAUGCGAAAGAGUUUUAGUGGCUCAACUUUAGUUGCAGGACAUUUUUAGCUUAAACGAAAAUAUUUUAACUUAAGCGAAAAUAUUUAGUUCAAGCGAAAAUUGUUUAGCUUAAACGAAAAUAUUAAUUGGAAUGAAGAAUUAAAUGACAUGAGAAAUACAAUUGUAGAAAUUUCCAAUCAAUUACCAAACAAUUAAAAAAAAUCCACCCACAAUUAAAGGUAAUUGGAAGGAAAUGAAAACAUAUACAAGUCAACGUCAUUCAAAAGAUGGAAAUGAGUGUCCCUUGGCGCAAAAUAUUAGUUAUUAUUCCCACUUUGUGCAAGUGUAACAUGUACACCCAUUUGCUAAACCUCUUAACAAACCAUUGCCUACAACAUCCCACAAUUCCUCAUAAUUGCAUUUCGAUGAAUAUUUUCUUUAUGCAAGACCCACUCACAAAUCAUCUGUUGUCGAAGAACUUGUAAUUAUUCUUGCAAUAAUAUUAUUGUUGCAUAUUAAUCCAAUUAUUAUAAAUCAUAUUUAAAUAAAGAUAUAUGUAAAUAAUACAAACUGUUGUAUGAUCCGACAGUUUAUUUCCAUCAUAUUUAGGGAUGUGAUCUCAUAACUCCAUAUAUUUAGUAAUCAACACACCACAGUCAAACCUACACAUUAAACAAACAUUAUAAACAUCACACAUAGUACACAAUCAAAUAAAUUGGUUAUUCACAGGGUGAUUAAUGCAUCUGGUUGGAUUGGCAAAUCUUCUCAAACAAUCUUCAAUUCCCACUCCUCAUAAUUUGCCUCUUUGUUAGUCAUUAUGAAUAAAUUUUGCAAAGUACCAACCUUACAAAUUUAUAUUGAACACAGAUUAAAUACUAGUGUAAAGUUUCUAUCCUGAAAUAACACUUUCCUUAAGAAGUACGACAAUAGUUGUCUUACCAUAACCUUGUCAAUAGAAUUUAGUGAUGACAUUUCAUGACCAAGAGAAUCUUAUAUGAACAAUUUCCUUGAUUAUCAGUUCAUCAAAUAACAUCACCAAUGUCCUCAGUAGGCACAAACAACUAAAAAAACACAACUACAAACAUCAACACAUUUCAAUUAAUGUUAUGAUAAAUGUGUCAUACAUGUACUUACAAAUUCAUAUCUUAACAAAUGCCCUAAUGAAAAAAUUUCAGGUUGAAAGAAAUUGUGGUAAUUUAUUGCUUCCAAAGGUUGUCGGCUUCUUUUUGGUAUCUUCAUUCUUUUAAUAAUCAUCGUCUAUACAAAUUGCAUUGAAAAAAAUACUUCAAAAAUAUGUACUUUAUUACAAUGAAAGAAAAAAUAAUAAUUUACGUACAACAAAGAAUGGAUUGAAACAACAACUAAUAAUUCUUGUUUUUGUGCAUUUCAUUAUACAUCAUCAUGCUCGUGGCAAACAACAUAACUUACACGAAAACUUCAUUAGACUUAUUCACCUACUUAAAUGGUUCUUAUUAUAUAAUUUUUGGUUGAUAACAAAACUUACCAUAUUAUCAAUCUUCCCAUGAGGUCUAAGCAUUGCAUGUCUUUUUUGGUCAAAAUGUUGUUGGACACCACCUCUACAAGCGCUCUAAAAAGAAAACAAAAUGAUGAUAAUGUUAAGUUCAAACACAUUUAUAAAUCAUAUAGAUGCACCACAUGGCAUAGAGCAUGCUAGUGGCUAUACAUAAUGGAAGGAAUCAACUUAUGCAACAUUUGGUGUCCAGUUGGAAAGAGCUAAAAGGUUGCAUGAAAACAUGAUGAGGUAUGGUAUAUUAAUUAACGAAAAUGUUUUUAUGACAUCGGUUUUUGACACAAAUUUGACAUCGCCCCACAUGUCAAAUUUGUAUUGGAUGUCUUCACUUAAUUAAAAAAACCCUUUUAAAAAAGCUGAGGAGGGUAAUUUUGGAAUUUGGAUUUUAUGAAAUUUAAUUUUCGCGGUUUCAUUUUUCUUUUUCUUCACUUUUGUUCUGAACUUUCGUCUCUCUCAUUCAGCUUCUCUCUCCAUUCGCUUCAUCUCUGCCUUACUCACUCUCUCCCCUCGGCUGAUCGUCUCAUUGAAACGUAAAAUCCUAGCAAAAGAGGUCUUUCGUAAUCACUGUGUAUCGGUAAGCUCUCUUUCGCGUUUCACGUUUUGGGUCUGUUUGGGUUUGUUUGGGUUUCGGGUUUUCACUCUAUAUCGCAUUGUGUGGCUUGUAGAGAAAUGUAAAAUCCUUGCAAAAGAGGUUUUUUGUAAUCACUGUGUAUCGGUAAGCUCUCUUUCGCGUUUCGCGUUUUGGGUUUGUUUGGGUUUAUGCCUCUAUUUUAGGUUUUCGCUCUAUAUCGCAUUGUGUAGCUUGUGGAGCCGUACUUUAUUAUUGUUUUAUUUAUUCUUUUUGUGUUUUGUGAACCCUAAUCCACCAUUGAUUUAUUUGUAUGAAAUAUGUGCAGUUGCAAUGGUGUCCGAAAACCCAAAGGUAAGUUAAACUUUUGGUAUUAUAUAUAGUUUGUUUCUCCCCGUGGUGGACAUCACCGUCGAAGUCCAACGCCAUCCCCAACACCAUCUCCAUCAAUAUCCCCUCCACCACCUGGAAAUGAACUGUUCUUUUCACCUACACAAUACGAAAAAUUUGCUAUACAUUUUACCAAUCGAGACAUAUUGGAAAGCAAAUACCUCAAUGAGGUUUAUUAUGAGGUAAGGAAUUUUGAUUUUUACGACCUUUUACGAGACGCUGGACUCACCGAAUUUGUUUCUUUGAGAAAACCAUUCUACCCACAAUUAGUUAGAGUUUUCUACACCAACAUGCAAAUUUCUGAUAAGAGAGUUAUUCAAAGCGAAGUCAAAGGGGUUAAAAUUAGAGUCAGUCCUAAUCUUUUUCAACAACUCACUUCCCUCCCAUGUACCGAAGUUCGUUAUGAACGAGGUCUUAUUGAUGACUGGAAAGAAGAAUACAAUUCCAUCACUGCAAGACAACUUGUUUAUAAGGAAGAUGCAGACUUAACUAGUAGAAUACUUGCUGGGGGUUUGAAGGUGCAGCCAAUAUUACUCCAUUAUGUACUAUCUAGAAUAGUAAUUCCUCGUUACACAAAUAUCGAUCAGGCAUCCCACGAGGAUAUUAUGUUCUUAUGGGCCCUUUUCAAUUCGAAGCAAAUUAACUGGGGACAUGUCAUCCACAAUAGGAUGAAAAGGGCUUUAUCGUACAAUGCAAGGCUGACUUAUCCUCAUUUGGUAACUAUAUUCUUGGAACACUUUCAUGUGCCUCUUAAUUUUGAUCCUAUUACAGAAAUAAUGGACAAACAAAAGGUAUGAUCUGACAAAAUAACCUCCUUUGGUUAUGUGCAAAAUGUAGACGGAGUGUGGGUUCCCAAAGACGACACACCCAACCAAUAGAGUCAAGGCGAAGAAGUGUAGCAUAAUGAUCAACCAAGUUCUUCUACAACACUAGAUGAUGUCAUACAACGCAUUGACCAACUCCAGACCUAUGUUGGUACAAAAUUGGACGACCUAGAAUCACGAAUUGGUAACAUUGAGAACCGACUGCAGCAGUCUCCCACUCCAUUUCAUCAUUUCACCUCAUAGUUAUAAAUUGGUGUUGACAUGUAUUUGCUUUCAUUUGGAACUUGUAUGCAUUACUAAAAUAUUGUAGUCUUUUUAUUACUUGCGUAUCGAAAUUUCAUAGUUUCAUGUUAAAGUUUGGUUGAAUGUUUCGUGUAUUAUAUUUCACAAAAUGUUAAGUAGUUAGAUAAUGGCGUAUUUAAUGGACAGUUAAACAGUUCAAAAUCACUUACAUACAACCAAUUACAUAUAAAGAAACUCAAUAAUGGUCAAUGAACACUGAUAUUCAACUAAAGGUCCCCACCUUACCACUGGUGGCUCCUUCAGUUCAACAGGUUGUCUAAAUUGUUGUUUAGACUCGCGUAAUUGUUUACAACAUGCUUGUAAAUGAUUACAAGGCAUAUUUUGACAGCAGACAUAGCAGAACUUCACUUGACUCAAGAUUCUCAACAUGGGUGGUCCCCCUACAUCUUGGGGGACCCAGAACAUUAGGUUCAAGCCUCUCUUCACUCAAGAACCUCAAUUUACAACUAAAACCACUGGACUUGGGUCAAAACUCACUGAUAUUCAACUGCGGUCCCCCACGUUACCACUGGUGGCUCCUUCAGUUCAACAGGUUGUCCAAAUUGUUGUUCAGACUCGCGUAAUGUAAACGAUUAUAAGGCACAUUUUGAAAGUAGAGGUAGCAGAACUUCAGUUGUGGUCCCCCACGUUACCACUGGUGGCUCUUUCAGUAUAACAUGUUGUCCAUAAUCUAAGUUAGACUCGCGCAAUCGUUUGCAGGCCAUACAAUUUAGCACCAUUAUUUUCACCAAUUCAGCUAAAUUCAUCAAAUCACAUUUUCUCACAAACAUUAUCGCUUGUAAAUCAAAAUAUAAAGCACUUCAAUAAUAGACACAAUAAAUUUGCAAUUAUCAAUUACAUAAAUAGAUGGAACCAAACAUGCAUGUUAUAUACAUUGAACGAAAUAGGUUUAAUUACAACGUCCUUUUCAUGUCCUAUAGAUUGAACGAAAUAGGUGUAAUUACUCCUUUCUCUUUCUAACUACUACAUUUGCGGUGUAUGGUGUCCUAAGUUCUUGGCUCUUAUUAUGUCUUCUUGAUCCAAUUCUAACAUACGUCUUCAACUGUGAUUGGUUGUUGGACAUUCCACCCGGUGCAUUUGGCAACAUUCCACUCGCUUCGUCGUUCGACAUUCCACCCGCUUCUUCGUUCGACAUUCCACUAGGGGAAACAAAUGCUCUGUUACUGUUAGUGAAUGCUUGUGGACGUCCAACACUUUGUACACUAUCAUCUGUACUUGUCCUUUUAGGUGUUCUUCUGGCCUUCUCUUCUGCCAACUCUGCCUCUACGACAUUGACCUUCCUUUUAAGCUCUUCAAUUAUAGAUUUAUGAUCCUCUACAGUACGCAUCAAACUCUCUCUGCGUGUUUUUUUAAGCAAUUUCUUUGUUGAUCGUUGCUCAUCAUUGCUUUUUGGUGGUGGCUGUUUUUCUUUCACAUCAUUCUCAUUUUUCAUUACAACACCAAAAUCAUCUACAACAUGAUCCUGAAAUUUAACAACAUAUAAUAUGUUAUAUAACUACUUUGAAUAUAUCAUAACAUUCACAACUAAAAAAAACCAAACACAUACCACACCCAUCUCGAAAACACAUUUGACGAUGUUGUCUCCAACAUUUGUAUUCAUCCAGUGCAAGAUCCUUGGAAAUUUCUCUAUUGCACCUUCGGGAGCCAUGAAAUGCUCACAAAAUCAAACCUAUAAAACAUGUCAGUUAUAAAUUACUCAUAAUCAAAUAACAAAUAUUCAAAAGUUUAGUUGUCAAAUGAGUAAAUAAGAACUACCUGCAACCUGUACAUACAACCAUCGACAUAAACAUUAGUUGUAGUUUUGCCUUUCUUCAAAGAAUCUGAAGUUUUGCUCAAACUUUCUAACAAAUAACGAAAUACUAAACUACCCCAACAUUACUUACUCAGACCACUUAAGUCAUCAACAAUUUCAAACAGUACAGGAAAUACUCGUCCACUACGAUUUGGAAAUAAAAUCUCACAUAUUCUUAGCAAUAUGUACAAGCUACAGAAAUGCUCACAAGGUAUGAUUUUUUUUUGUUUUUUCAACAAGAAUUUGUAAAUGAAAUUCAAAUCUUUAAUUUCGUUACCUAAGUAUCUCACACAUUUACACUACCCAUUAUAUCCUUUAAGUUUAUACUUUUGUCAUCUGAACUCAACCUUAAUCCUGAACAAAAAUCCUUUUCAUUCAUAUUGAAAACUUUGUCUGCAAUAACAAAAGCAUUGCUCGAAUCCACCCAUUUCAUCGUUAACUCUUGCAAAAUUUUAGUAUUCAAUAUCACUUUACCAUUCAAGUCUAAAAACCAAGCAAAUGGAGUCUUCGAAAUGAGUGACCUUUGCUCCUCUGUCAACUGUUCGUUUAGAGUGCAAACAUACAUAGUUGAAAAUGAAUGAUGAACGGUCAAUUGCCCAAAGAAAAUAACUCAAAUGAAAACAGCAAAUGAAAUAACCAAAAAACCAAAAGGGGUCGAAGAAACGACAAGAAACCCAAUACCCAAAUAUAAAACCCAAUACACAAACGUAAAACCCAAUAUCCAAACGUAAAACCCAAUACCUAAACCUACAACAAAAUGGUCUGAGAAAGCAUUUACCUUGUUCCAACGAAGUUGCAGUCCGAAACUUCCCAUUUCAGCAAAACUGCGACAACGAGAGAACGAAUGUCAGAGAGAACAUAAGGGAGAGGGCGAAAACACCGGGAGAACGAAUGUUAGAGAUUACGUAAGGGAGAGGACGAAAACGCCAGGAGAACGAAAUCUGAGAGACAAAACGUAACGAACGGUUGACAGAGGAGUAACGGUCACCCAUUUCGAAGACUCCAUUUGCUUGGUUUUUAGACUUGAGUGGUAAAGUGAUAUUGAAUACUAAAAUUUUGCAGGAGUUAACGAUGAAAUAGGUGGAUUCGAGCAAUGCUUUUGUUAUUGCAAACAAAGUUUUCAAUAUGAAUGAAAAAGAUUUUUGUUCAGGAUUAAGGUUGAGUUCAGAUGACAAAAGUAUAAACUUAAAGGAUACAAUGGGUAGUAGUAAAUGUGUGAGAUACUUAGGUAAGAAAAUUAAAGAUUUGAAUAUCAUUUACAAAUUCUUGUUGAAAAAACAUAAAAAUACCAUACCUUGUGAGCAUUUCUGUAGCUUGUACAUAUUGGUGGGGAUAUGUCAGAUUUUAUUUCCAAAUCGUAGUGGACGAGUGUUUGCUGUACUGUUUGAAAUUGUUGAUGACCUAAGUGGUCUGAGUAAGUACUGUUGGGGUAGUUUAAUGUUUCGUUAUUUGUUAGAAAGUUUGAGCAAAGCUUCAGAUUCUUUGAAGAAAGGCACAGCUACAACCAAUGUUUAUGUCGAUGGUCGUGUGUACAUGUUGCAGGUAGUUCUUAUUUACUCAUUUGACAACUAAACUUUUGAAUAUUUGUUAUUUCAUUAUGAGUAAUUUAUAAUAAUGACGUGUUUUAUAGAUUUGGUUUUGUGAGCAUUUCAUGGCUCCCAGAGGUGCAAUAAAGAAAUUUCCUAGGAUCUUGCAUUAGAUGAAUACAAAUGUUGGAGACAACAUCGUCAAACGUGUUUUCGAGAUGGGUGUAGUAUGUGUUUGGUUUUUUUAGUUGUGAAUGUUAUGAUAUAUUCAAAGUAGUUAUAUAAGAUAUUAUAUAUUGUUAAAUUUCAUGAUCAUGUUGUAGAUGAUUUUUGUGCUAUAAUGAAGGAUGGGAAUGAUGUGAAAGAAAAACAACCACCACCAAAAAGCAAUGAUUAGCAACGAUUAACAAAGAAAUUGCUUAAAAAAACACGCAAUGAGAGUUUGAUGUGUACUGUAGAGGAUCAAAAAUCUAUAAUUGAAGAGCUUAAAAGGAAGGUCAAUGUCGUAGAGGUAGAGUUGGCGGAAGAGAAGGCUAGAAGAACACCUAAAAGGACAAGUACAGAUGACGGUGUACAAAGUGUUGAACGUCCACAAGCAUUCACUAACACUAACAGUGCAUUUGUUUCCCCUGGUGGAAUGUGGAACAAAGAAGCGGGUGGAAUGUCAAACGACGAAGCGGGUGUAAUGUCCAACACUAAAAAGGUGGAAUGUCGUCAAAUGCACCGGGUGGAAUGUCCAACAACCAAUCAUAAUUGAAGACCUGUGUUAGGAUUGGAUCAAGAAGGCGUAAUAAGAGCCAAACACUUAGGAUACCAUACACCGCAAAUGUAGUACUUAGAAAGAGAAGGAGUAAUUAAACUUAUUUCGUUCAAUCUAUAGGACAUGAACAGGACACUGUAAUUAAACCAAUUUUGUUCAAUGUAUAAAACAUACAUGUUUAGUUCCAUCUAUUUAUGUAAUUGAUAAUUGUAAAUUUAUUGUGUCUGUUAUUGAAGUGCUUUAUAUUUUGAUUUGCAAGAGAUAAUGUUUGUGAGAAAAAAAUGAAGUAAUUAAUGCAUGUGAUUUGAUGAAUUUAGCUGAAUUGGUGAAGAUAAUGGUGCUAAAUUGUGCAUUGUAAUAAUUUACUAUGGCCUUGUAAACGAUUACGCGAGUCUAACUUAGAUUAUGGACAACCUGUUUUACUGAAGGAGCCAUCAGUUAAAACAUAGGGGACCACAACUGAACCUCUACUGUCAAAAUGUGCCUUGUAAUCGUUUACAAGCAGGCUGUAAACGAUUACGCGAGUCUGAACAACAAUUUGGACAACCUCUUGAACUGAAGGAGUCACCAGUGGUAGCGUGGGGGACCACAGUUGAAUAUCAGUGGGUUUUGACCCAAGUCCAGUAGUUUUAGUUGUAAAUUGAGGUUCUUGAGUGAGGCUGGCUUUAACCUAAUGUUCUGGGUCUCCCAUGAUGUAGGGGGACCACCCAUGUUGAGAAUCUUGAGUCAAGUGAAGGUCUGCUAUGAUUGCUGUCAAAAUAUGCCUUGUAAUCCUUUACAAGUGUGUUGUAAACGAUUAUGCGAGUCUGAACAACAUUUUGGACAACCUGUUGAACUGAAGGAGCCCUCAGUGGUAACGUGGGGACCACAGUUGAAUACCAGUGAGUUUUGACCCAAGUCUAGUGGUUUUAGUUGUAAAAUGAGGAGGUUCUUGAGUGAGGAGAGGCUUGAACCUAAUGUUCUGGGCCCCCAAGAUGUAGGGGGACCACCCAUGUUGAGAAUCUUGAGUCAAGUGAAGGUCUGCUAUGACUGCUGUCAAAAUGUGCCUUGUAAUCGUUUACAAGUGUGUUGUAAACAAUUACGCGAGUCUGAACAACAAUUUGGACAACCUAUUGAACUGGAGGAGCCCCAGUGUUAACGUGAGGGAUCACAGUUGAAUAUCAGUGUUCAUUGACCAAAGUCCAGUGGUUUUAGUUUUAAAUUGAGGUUCUUGAGCGAGGAUAGGCUUGAACAUAAUGUUUUGGGCCCCCAUGAUGUAGGGGGAGACCACCCAUGUUGAGAAUCUUGAGUCAAGUGAACUUCUGCUAUCUCUGCUGUCAAAAUGUGCCUUGUAAUCGUUUACAAGCAGGCUGUAAACGAUUACGUGAGUCUGAACAAUAAUUUGGACAACCUGUUGAACUGAAGGAGCCACCAGUGAUAACGUAGGGGGAACACUUUCAUUGACCGUUAUGGAGUUUCUUUAUAUGUAACUGGUUGUAUAUAAGUGAUUUUGAACUAUUUAACUGUCCAUUAAAUACGCAAUUAUCUGACUACUUGACAUUUUGUGAAAUAUAAUACGCGAAACAUUCAACCAAAGUUUAACAUGAAACUAUGAAAUUCCGAUACGCAAUUGAGGUAAUAAAAAGACUACAAUAUUCCAGUAAUGCAUACAAGUUCCAAAUGAAAGCAAAUACAUGUCAACACCAAUUUAUAACUACGAGGUGAAAUGAUAAAAUGGGGUGAGAGACUGCUGCAGUCGGUUCUCAAUGUUACCAACUCGUGAUUCUAGGCCGUCCAAUUUUGUGGUUUGGAGUUGGUCAAUGGGUUGUAUGACAUCAUCUAGUGUUGUAGAAGAACUUGGUUGAUCAUUAUGCUGCACUUCUCCGCCUUGACUCUAUUGGUUGGGUGUGUCGUCUUUGGGAACCCACACUCCGUCUACAUUUUGCACAUAACCAAAGGAGGCUAUUUCGUCAGAUCCCACCUUUUGUUUGUCCAUUAUUUCUGUAAUAGGACCAAAAUUAAGAUGCACAUGAAAGUGUUCCAAGAAUAUAGUUACCAAAUGAGGAUAAGGCAGCCUUGCAUUGUCCGAUAAAGCCCUUUUCAUUCUAUUACAGAUGACAUGUUCUUAGUUAAUUUGCUUCGAAUUGAAAAGGGCCUAUAAGAGCAUAAUAUCCUCGUGGGAUGCCUGAUCGAUAUUUGUGUAAUGAGGAAUUAAUAUUCUAGUUAGUACAUAAUGGAGUAAUCUUGGCUGCACCUUCAAACCCACAGCAAGUAUUCUACUAGGUAAGUCCGCAUCUUCCUUACAAACAAGUUGCCUUGCAGUGAUGAAAUUGUACUCUUCUUUCCAGUCAUCAACAAGACCCCAUUCAUAACGAACUCCGGUACAUGGGAGAGAAGUGAGUUGUUGAAAAAGAUUAGGGUUGACUCUGAUUUUAACUCCUUUGACUUCGCUUCGAAUAACUCCCGUAUCAAAAAUUUCAAUGUUGGUGUAGAAAACUCUAACUAAUUGUGGGUAAAAUGAUUUUCUCAAAGAAACAAAUUUGGUGAGUCCAGCGUCUCGUAAAAGGUCGUAGAACUCAAAAUUCCUUACUUCAAAAUAAUCCUCGUCGAGGUAUUUGCUUUCCAAUAUUCUUGAUUGGUAAAAUGCAUAGCAAAUUUUUUGUAUUGUGUAAGCGAAGAGAACAAUUUAUUUCUUGGUGGUGGAGGGGAUAUUGAUGGAGAUGGUGUUGGGGAUGGCGUUGGACUUCGACGACAACGUCCACCACGGGGAGAAACAAACUAUAUAUAAUACCAAAAGUUUAACUUACCUUUGGGUUUCCGAACGCCAUUGCAACUACACAUAUUUCAUACAAAUAAAUCAAUGGUGGAUUAGGGUUCACAAAACACAAAAAGAAUAAAUAAAACAACAAUAAAGUACGCCUCCAUAAGCCAAACAAUGCGAUAUAGAGCGAAAACCCGAAACAGAGGCACAAACCCAAAACACGCGAAACGCGAAAGAGAGCUUACCGAUACACAGUGAUUACGAAAGACCUUUUUUGCUAGGAUUUUAUGUUUCGAUGAGACAAUCAGUCGAUGUGGAGAGUGGGUAUUGUAGAGAUGAAGCGAAUGGAGAAAGGAGACGAAAGUGAAGAAGAAGAAAAAUGAAACUGUCAAAAUCAAAUAUCAUAAAAUAAGAAUUUCAAAAUUACCCUCCUCAGCUUUUUUGAAAGGGUUUUUUAAUUAAGUGAAGAAAUCCAAUACAAAUUUGACACGUGUCAAAAAUCAGUGUCAAAAAAACAUUUUCGAUUAAUUAAAGCACACAACUUGACCAAAACAUGUUAGGUAUAUCCUAUUAAUUAUAGUACAACAACACCAAAAUAGGAUUUAAUUAAAGUGAGAUGGGUUGUACUAUUAGAGAAACCUACACCUGUAAUGCACCAAAUCCAGCUAUACAUUGGUUGCACUAAAAGAAGCUGAGACCACAAAAAAUUGUCGUCAUUUGCCUUAGGAUUCCUCUACCCACAACAACUAAGUGAUUCUUUAAUUUCUCCAUUUAAAAACAUCACUACAAAACUGUUGCAUAACCAGCUGUGUAUAACUUUGUGGUAACUUUUCUGAUUAUAUUAUCAUAUGUCCGAUUCAAACUACUAACUAUUUAACUAUGUACGACAUCACACAUAGAUUUGUUUCAUUAAUAUUAUCUAAUUUACUAAAAGGGACACUAUUAUUGACAAUACAAUUUGUAGGAAAAUAAAAUACUUCAAAUGCUAACAAAAUGUACAACCUACCCAUAAUCUCAACAUUUUUUUUUUCUUUGAAAUUUUUUGAAUCAACUUUUCCAUUAUAGUAAUAAAUGUUAUGUCUUGUAAGUCGUCCCUAAAUAAGUUAUUCACAAUCCCACCAAUAUCAUUUUCCAAAUCAAUACUUUGACCAACAUUGCGUAAACCUGAAAAAAAAAGCAAACAUCCUCAACUAUAAAAGAGACUAAAUUCUGCUUAAUCUUAAAAGCCUUAUGAACAAUAUCUUACGAAUUAACUCUACAAGAACGAGGCUAGAAAUAACCACAUGGUCAACCAUAUUGGCUAACCAUUUGAAAGGUGUCACCUUCAACCAUUCCUUUUGAAAUGAUGAUAGACAACCAUUUAAUUGAAGUAUAUGUUAGGUUUAGACUCGGUGCCUAACUAUAAAUGUACUCUACAACUGUAAAUCAAAGUAUAGGUUUGUAAAUUGAAUACAACAAUCAACCUAUUCAAUAUUAAAUUCAAACACUAACUCCAUACUUAGCAUUUUACUUUGUUCUUUGUCCAUUUUUGUAUAUCCUACACAUAUCAAAACAAAUAUAAUUACCUCAGUUCGUUCAAAAGUUGAUUUAUUUUUUUCCUUUUUUCUUUAAUUACAACUUAAUGAAGAAAUCAAGGAAAAAGACUUCUUUCAGCAAUAUGAAACAAAUUUAUGUGUUCAAUAACCCACAAUUGUAAAUGAAAUCAUAAUAGUUAAAAACCUUUCAAAAAUAACAAUAUUUAAUUUCUAAGAAAUUAAAAAUUAAAUUUUAAAACAUAACUACAAAACUGUUGCAUAACCUGCUAUGUGUAUAACUUUGUGAUAACUUUUCCGAUUAUAUUUAUUAGAUGUCCGAUUCAAACUACUAAAUAUUUAACUAUGUACGACAUCACACUAGUUGUAUAGAUUUGGUUCAUUAAUAUUAUCUAAUUUACUAAAAGGGACACUAUUAUUGACAAUACAAUUCCUAGGAAAAUAAAAUACUCCAAAUGCGAACAAAAUGUACAACCUAUCCAUAAUCUCAACAUUUUUUUUUUGCUUUGAAAUUUUUUGAGUCAACUUUUCCAUUAUAUUAAUAACUGUUAUGUCUUGUAAGUCGUCCCUAAAUAAGUUAUUCACAAUCCCACCAAUAUCAUUUUCCAAAUCGAUACUUUGACCAACAUUGCGUAAUUUGGUUAAAUGUAUUCUAAUUGUAAUUAUAUAAAGUAAUAAGGUCGUUGAAUUUGGACCUUACCAAGUAUCACAAUUAUCCGAAGUGCCUCCUUCUGAGUUUGUCUUUGUUGUCAGUUAUACAUAACAAUUCAGAUAACAACCUUCUUUAAUGUAUAUAACUUCCAUCUUCUAUGUAUAUUAUAUGUACGUUAGUCUGACAUUGAUGUGUUAUUGUUGUCUAAAUCAAUAAAUGAAAUUUAAGAUAAUCCAUUGCUUGUUGAACACUAUGAAAAAAACCCUUUCAUGUACUGUUACUGAAAAUGUUUGCUUUACAUUAAUUACACAAGCUAUUGUUUGAAUAUGAAUGAUUGGGCAAAAAAGCCAUAUGGUAAUCGAUUACGAAUAAGCUGUAGUCAAUUACUCUGGGUGGUUCGUCCAUAUAAAAACAGGUUUAACAUGCCCAUUAUUGAAACCCUAACUUUUUUCGCCAAAAGUCUAUACGUGAUGGUUCUUUUUCUCCCCCACUUCCCUCAGUUGUGGUCUCCCUCUUAACUAUCCAAUCUUGAAGUUCUUGAAGUACCCUUCCAACGUUAUUGUACCUCACAAAACCCUAAGAAAUCUGCAAUGACUUAUUGCGCAACCAAGAAACAAUGACAUUUUCCCGUCAGAUGACCAAUAUGAGAAGUUUGCUAACCAUUAUUUCAAUCGUGCAAUCAUGGAAAGCAAAUAUCUCGAGGACUGGAGAAUGUCUGAAAUAACAUAAAUCUAUAAAUUGGCAAAACAUGAAGUUGUUCUAAGAUUUUGUGAUCUAACAUUUUCGCAUUCUGUUUCAGAUUGAUAUCUCUGGUUUAUAGAGCUCCAAGAAUCCUCCAAAAAGACCAUGGUGAUUGUUCUUGAAAGAGAUUCAAAGGGAGAAUUGUUGUGCGCUUAUUGCUUGAUCAUUGUCUGCACAUUGAAGGUGUUUCUGGUUGAUCAAGAAUCUGUUUGGCAUUCGUGGUGUUGUUGUGUACCUGUUGUGAUACAGGGGAUAGACUUGUGGAGUCUGGUUCACUUUGAGGACUGUUCAAAGUGGUGUUGCAGAUUGCAGAAGAGGGGAUAUUUUGCUGCAAGUCUUGCUUUAUUGUUGUAGCUAUAUUUUGGUUAGAGGGUUAGAGGGUUAGAAAGGAGAUUUAUAUUUUUGACGUGGAGGUCUUCUAUAAAUUCCUUGUUGUAAAAACCUUGACUAUUGUAGUGCAUUUUCUUCCUGGGUUGGAAGAACACUGGAUGUAGGCAUUGUUGGCCAAACCAGUAUAAAAAUCAGUCGACACUGGAUGUAGGCAUUGUUGGCCGAACCAGUAUAUCCUGAGUAGUCAACUACAAUAUUUCGCUGCACACUUAUUUCAUUACUUGCGUUUCAAGAAAGACCUGUAAAGUUUUCAACUUGUUUCAAAGAUUUUAAAAAGACUCUGAUUUUGAAAACUCAUCAAUUCACCCCGCUCUUGGUGUAAAACGAAACCUACCUGUUUUUCAACAUUGUGUUCCUUUGCCUAUGUAUUUCACACAUGUACUCCCUCUCAUUUCCUCCUUUAAGUUAAUAUUUUAAUCAUUUGAACUCAAUCUCAAUCCUAAACAAAAAUUCUUUUCAUUCAAUUUCACAACUUUAUAUCCAAAAUUAAACCCACCACUGGAAUUGAUCCAUUUAACCAAUAGCUCACUCAAAAUAUUCCUAUCCAGUUUAACCUUAGCACUCAAAUCUAAAACCACCCCAUUAACGUCUUUGAAAUAAAUGACAUGUGCUCCUUUGUCAAUCUUUCAUUCAAAAUACAAAUAUACUUUGUUAAAAAAAUGACGAACACACAACUGUCAAUCAACGAAAGAAAAAUAAGAAAAGGGUCCAAAAACGAAAACAAAAAUUUGAACACAACAACGAAAACUAAAAUACAAAUCGAAAACGCAAUCAACAAAAUGGAUAAGCCCAUUUAUCUUGGUUGAAGAACCAUAGUCACCGAACAUUGCCAUUAUGCACACGCUAUCAACAAAAAAAUGGACCUCGAGCAAAGCUUCUUGGACGAAAAUGGAAGGAGAAAGAAAAUUAAAGAGAAUGGGAGAACAAAAUCUGAAGAGAGAGAACGAGGAGAAGAGAUGAAACAGGGCAAGGGAUAUUUUUGGAAGCAAAAAUUUCUAAAGCGAAAACCCUUUUCCACGUCACAAUUUAACAUUAAAAUUUAAUUAUAAACACAUAAAUCAUGUGCCGCCAUGUGGAGUUGUCAAAAAGUUGGCAAUGGAGUGUUGUGAAGGGAUCCUAAUCUUUAUCCCUACAAAACAUGGUGAAUUCCGUACUGAAGCGUCCUGCCAAUGGCAAUGUGUGGUUCCACCUUUCGGUCCAUCUUUUGAAGUAUUCUGUUGUGCAUCACUAAAUCUUUUGAAUAUUUUCUUGGUGUGUUUAUUUUGUUCUUUCUUAUUUCUUUUCACCAUGGCUGAAAUGACUUCUGCCAAACCUUCAACACUCCCUCAUCCAUUCUUGGUUUCUCCAAUCUUUAACAAGAACCAUUACCGUUCAUGGUGCAGAUCCAUGUCGAUAGCAUUGAGUGCCAAAAAUAAGAUUCAAUUGGUAAGUGGGACUACCCUAAACUAGAAAAGAAAUAUGCUUUAUAUCAAUCUUGGAAGCAUUGCAAUGAUAUGAUCGUCUUUUGGAUUGUUCAUCCUUCGAUUUGACAAAGUAUAAUGUGGAUGGAUAAUGCAUAAUCUGAAAUUAUUUGAAUUUGAGAUAUUUUCAAGAUCAUUUAAUUUGCAUCUCUGACUUACAAUAAGAAGCAUCUCCCGUUAAGCAAGGUGAAUUCACUCAUUAUAUGUGAGUUCUUCACUAAAUUGUGUUCUAUAGACAACUUCACACCUGAUCAUGUUUGUUUGUGUAAUAAGAAAUAAAAUUUAAAACGCAUUUACAAAUUCAUAAAUAUUAAAAUAUAAAUAAGAGUUGAGUCGAAUAUUCAUCAAGUUUCAAUCUAUUAUCCUCACCCAAUGCAAUUAUCCAUUUUAUUACUCAAUUUUAUUUAUUCAAAAUUACACAUUUAUCUAAUUCAAUCAAAUCGUAUGCUCGGCUUUAUUGAGUUUACAUUGGAUACAGUUUUCUUUUCGGCAGUAGGAGUCGAGAGAGAGCCUUUAUUUCAAGGUUGAUUAACUUUUAUGAUUUUUGUAUAAUAAUGAUCAUUAAAAAUUACAACUACGCUUAAAAAACAAACAAAAUAGAGUAAAUUAAAUUGUAUUUUGAAAUUUUCUAAGAUGAUGUUAACAUUUUUUGUUUCUCCGACAUGUAUAAUGACUUUUCUUGUCAUUAUAUAGAUAAUGUUUUGUUUCAGUUGAAAGAGUCCGAGAGUCAAUCAUUCUCCUUGAGUCAUCCGAUUUGAUUGUAAUGGACGGUUGAAAUUGGAAUCUGGAAACCACAUUUUCAGGUUAUAAAUAGGGGAUGGGAUCAUUGUCAUUAUCACACUUUUGUCUCCUUUCUUCCUCAACCAAUCCCAGAAGCCUUUUAUUUUCAGGUACUAUGUUUUCUUUCACAUGGUCGAUCGAUGAGCCUGCGGUGAUGGUCAAGGGUAUGCUAACGCUGUGGCAGAGUCGUCUUUGUCAGUGGGAUCCUCCGUCUUGGGCUCCACUGGUGAGGGUAAUCAGUCAGUGGUUAGUGAGGAAGUUGUGGAGGAGGGAGAGGCAGAAAUAAAGGUCGACGCUACUGGAGAAUGGGCUAAUGUUGCUCCCCAUGAGAUAGGCCUAUAUGCACCUUUUUACAUUACUAGUGCCUCAUUGGAGUAUCUGGUAAGCCAAGUGGGUAUAUUGGCCAGCACGAGAGAUGCCGAGAGCGUAGAGAUUUUGGUUAAAUUGGUAGGUUAUGUGGUACUUGGUUUUGUUGGUUAUGUUCAUCUUUAACCCUACAAACGUGGUGAAUCCAACAAUAUAGUGAUAAUCAAUUAAUUAAUGAGAAAUCUUUAGUUCAUACUAAUAAGGGUUUUUUAGUUAAUAUUGAUCAAAGUUAUUUUCAAGUAAAAUGUAAUUAUUAUAUAUGAUAGAUAUUGAUCAUUCUUUUCCUUUAAAAAAUGUUUCCCGAUUGUAUAUAUCUUAAAAGUGACUUCUAUUGUGUAUAGGGGUGGCAAAAAAAUUCGCGCCUGCGGAUAUCCGCAUAUAAAAUCUGCGAUAGAUAGUUGAUACCCCGGAUAUUUACUAUCUGAAACCCGCGGAUAACGGGUAUUUUAAUAUCCUCUUAUAAACGGGUCGGAUGCGGGUAUUAUACUAUCUAUACCCGCGGAUAUCCGCUAUUUGCAAAAAAUAAAAGUAGAAAUUUAAUUUUUAUUUAAUUAAGUUAAAUCUAACUAAAAUUAGCAUUAAUUUAUAUUUUAGAAGGUUAAAUUUAAUUAUAAUUGUACUAUAUGAAGUAUACUGAUCGGAAUUAAUUGUCAUUUAUGGACAAUUAACAAGUAUUAAUAAGUCAAAUUGCCUUAUAUAGUAUUGAUUAUUGAUUAUUGGGUUUAAUUGCCUAAAAAUAUACUGCACAAUCAAUGGGUUUGUGUGCCACAAGGCUCUACAAAUAUACAAUUGAUGUUUAGGUACAAUCUUUCUUUUCUAUCCUAAUAAAAUUUAGACCUUUUUAUAUCUUGAGCAUCGGCUACACACAACCCAUCGGAUUGGAUUACAUUCUCAGGAAAAAUUGAAGUUCAAAAGAGAAUAAAGCAAAGAAGGACAACUGACCUUCGGACCAAUUCAACCGAAACAAAAAUUAAAUUUUAAUUAUAUUUUAUAUAUUUUUUUUCUAAUUGUAUUUAAAUUUUAUUUUAAUACUUUAUAAAAAUAUGUUUUUUUAAAUAUUUGCGGGUAUCCACGGAUAUCCGCAGUUUUUAAAAUAUCCACAAAUAUUUUUUAAGCGGGUAUCCGUGCGAGUAGCAGGUGAAUUUUUUUUUAUCGGAUCGGGUUGCAGGUAGGCACUAUCCGUGCCCAACCCGACCCGUUGUCAUCCCUAAUUGUGUAUUUUGAAAGUAACUUUCAAAUUGUUUAACUCAAAAGCUAUUAUUUUCAAAUAAAAAUUAUUUUUGAAUUACAUAUUUUGAAAGGUUUAAUAUCUAUUUUGGUCUCUUGGUUAUGUCAAAGUAUUUAAAGCGAUCUUAUCUUUUUUCAGAUGUUCACAGUUGUCUCAUAUUUUUGUAAAAACGCUAACUGUGUAAUUGUUCCUGGGAAAAAAUUGAAUGUAGUUAUUGAUUGUGUCAUACGAUUGGGAUGUAAAUUUUAAAAAUAAAAAUUAAUGACGUGGAAGAGUUAAAGUUAAGGUUAAAAAAAAUUACAAUUAGGUUAGAAGUAAUUCACCAUCAAAACUUUAUUUCACAAACAGAACUCAAGGAAUCCUAAAACAAAAUAUGACAGAUUCCAAAAACCCUAAAAGUGAGAGAUCAUAAUACAAUUACAGAUAAUUCCAAAACAUGAAAUCAGAAAACAAAACUCUAAUUCAAAAACCUUAACCCCAAAUUGUAUUAACAAUUUGCAAAGGAGAAGCUAAAGAUAAAAUAUUCCCGUAUCAAAACCCUCAACCUCAAACAAAAACCCUAAUAUCUCUAAAUCAUAAAAUCACGAAGAAGAUCAACCAUUGUGCCAUUAACCAUUACGUAAACAAGUUUGGGGCAAACUACACAUAUGAGAGAGAGAUUGAAGCAAUGAGAGUUGUGGAAUGUAAAUGCUUCUAAGAAUUCAUUCUUGGAACUUGAAAUUGUACAUGCAUUCUGUCUGAGUUAAAAAAUAGCAUUCAAGUUGUUUGUGAGCAUUGCAUGUAUCUUCCAUUUCGUAUUACUUUGGUUUCCAUCUAUUCAGUAUAUUAAAACAAAUAUUAUGCUUAGAACUCAUGUCAACUGUUGUUGAACCAAAUUUUCUAACAUCUCACAUUAUUUUUUUUUUUUAUAGAUGAAAAUUUGUAUGCUUUAUUUAUUUUUCAUUAUAGUUCAAUUUAACCCUAUAUUGUAUCGUCAUCACUAAAAAAUAGUUUUUAUAGUUAAAACGUAAAAUAAAUAUAUCAACAUAUUUACAAUUUAAAAUUGGACAAAAUUACAUUAAAAAAAUAUAUAAAGACUAAAAUAACUAGAACGUAAUCAUAUAGUUUUAAAAAAUAAUUUUCGUAUAAUUACUUGCAAAAAUAUUAAUAGAAAAAAUUAUACUUACAAAUUUAAUUUUGCAAGAAAAAUUAGUUGAGAAUUAAUUGGCUAGAAAUUACUUGCGAACUGAAAAUAAGUAAUAAAAUUACUUUUGAAAUUUAAAUUUGUUGGAAAAAAAUACCUGUUGAUUUUUAAAUUAACUUUUUCGCAAGAAAAAUUGUUAUGAUCUUUUUGUCAUGAAAAUUUGUGACUGAUUUCUUUAUUGAAAAUUUUGCAAGAAAUUUCCGGCGAAAUUUUUAAAUUAUAUGGUAACUAAUUACACACGAAAGAAUUACCUACCAAUAAAAAAUUAUAGGUAAAAUUGCAAGAAACACUGUUUGGAAACUUUUGAAAGAAAUUUGCAGAACAUUUUCAUCAAAUAUAAAAAAUUUUAGUAGUGUUUACUCUUAAAAGUCCUACAGUGUAUUUCAAUCUUCUAAUAUAUGGACGAUGGAGGAUGAAAUCAAAGAUAUAAAUAGAAGAUAGGAAAAAAGAUUUAGAAAAGGCUACAUAAAAACUACACUUCUUAUAAAAUGAAAUUCGGUUAAUUGUAAAUUGACUUUUGGUAAUAAAUAAUCGAGUAUGAUCACUGUUAGUUUUAGUUAUUUUUUACUUCUUUACAUAUUCUACAUUAUAUUAAUUAACAUUUUUAACUAAAUUUUUCAUUCAAUACGAGAAGAACUUAGGAAGAACAUUUACAAUGAUAAGGUCAAAAAUUAAAACAUAUCUCUUUACAUCUUAUAAUGUUUCAUUAAAGAGGAAACUUAAAAGAAAAUAAAGAUUAUAAACAUAAUAGAACUAUAAUUUAGGAAAUUAAAUAAAUAGUAAUUUUAUUUUAAUUUUACAUAAUUUUAUAAAUUUGUUGGGUGAGUCACUUUGUAUUCGUUGGAUGAGCAAACCUUGCUAGACAAAAGUUUGCCUUUGUAAUUUUUGUUUUCUAUUGUUUUUAUUUGUUUUGGGCUUUAUUUUAAUGUUUGUGUUUUCUUAAAUUUAUGUACUUAUAUAUAGAGAUAAUAAAACUGAUGUAAAUACUUGAGUCAUAUUAUAUGUAUUUUUUGAGAGAAGAUUCUCUUGGUUCUUGGAUUAGAACUUUGAUCCUUAUUAAAAUUUAACAUAUUUGUGGCAAAUCUUCACUUAACUUAUCAAUAUGUUAGAUUAUGACGUCCUACAUCUCUAUCUUAUUUUGCAUACUCUCAUUUAUUUUUAUUGUGCCUCUUGAGAAUUUAAAUUUAGAAGCAAUCAUACUCUUUUCUGCAAAGGAUCAUAGCAUCUAAUACUUAAAGUAAUGUUUUGGAUGUCCUCUUUUAUCUUAUUUUUCUGUCAUAUGAAAAAAAAAACAUAAAAAAAACAUAAAAUUCUUGAAUGUUUGGUUCAUUGUUCUUGGAAUUUUAUAAGGAGUAAAACCUUUAAUAUUUUAUCCAAUUUCGUUGAGUUUUCAAUAUUUUGUGUUCAUCAUUUAAAUUUUGCAUUUCUACAAUUGAUUCAUAGAAAUUAUUUGUUGUGUUUUUCUAUUAAUUGUUAUCCUAAUUAACUACCUAUCUUGCAUGAGUUUUGGUGUUUGAGAGAAAAUUUGUUUAUUUUUUUUUGUUUGUGUGUUGAAUUAUAAAAUUGAAAAACAUAAGAGAAAAGUAGAGAAAAAAAGUUGUGGAGUUCAACACAAUUAUUAUGUUGCACUAUUGCUUAUGAUUGAUAAUUUAUUAAAUUAUAUUAAAUCUUUUUUAUUCUCUAUGUUGUCUCAUUUAAUUCUUUUUGGUAGUCCUAUUAGUUUUUAUUUUUAUUAUUUUAUGUCUUUUACAAUUUCAUGAAGUUUUAUCUAAAGUUUUUUUUUUUGACCUCUUGAGUCAAUAUUUAGAUCUCACAAUAUUUCUCACAUUAUUAAGUGGUAGAAAGAAACAAAGUACAUCUAAGAAAAAGUCAAUAAGUGAGAUAUACGAGUGAAAUUUGAAUGAAACACUUAGAUAAACAGUGAAGAUCUAGAUAUAUUAUAUUAUUUUGUUAUCCUAACCUUUUACACGACUUAUCAAUAUUGAACAAUGCAACAUAUUCAAGUAGAGACAUCCUUUUGGAAGUUAUGUGUUCUUGAGGUCAUGGUAGAGAAUGUUAAUGCCUUGGAGUUUAGAAUUGAAAAAUUGAAUGACAAGAUUUCUAGUAUUAAAAGGAAGCAUAAGCAUGAUAAAAAUAUUUUCGAAAGGGUAUGAGCAUGAUACUCAUUAGUGUCCUAAUUGGAAUGCAAGUUCCAUAACUAAUUAAUACAUCAAGAACUACAUUCUAUAUUUGAAAAAGGAAGAAAAAAAGGACUUUGCAAAAAUUAGAUGCAUUAAAAAGAAGAGAAAAGAGAAAGUUUAAAAUAGCACAAGAGAAAGAAACACUUAUAGAAAUGGAAGAAAGAGAAAAUAGAGGAAAAGAAGAGAAAGAAAAGAGAGAGGGUGAAGAAAGAGAAGAGAGAAAGAGAGGAAAAAGAAAAAGAAAGAGAGGAAGAGAAAGAAGAAAAAAAUAGAAAAGAGAGAAAAAGAUAGAAAAGAGAGAAAAAAACAGAAAAGAGAGAAAAAGAAGAGAACAUCCACUUUUGUCAUUCAAAGAAAUUCCUGACUGCCUUUUUUUUCUUUUGUUGAAUGGAGAAGAUUUGUUUAUUAAGAAAUCAUGGAAUCAUAUAUAGCUUGUUUGUCAAUUCAUUUAGAUAUUUAAAGUUAUUCUUUUAGUACGAAAACAAGCUUAGAACUAUAUGUACAUGAUGUUGUUUGACCAUUUCUAAACAACUUACGGAUAAUCAAAGUCAUACUUAAAUUUUGACGGUUUACUCAAGAAAUAUUUUUUUAAUUUUCUUUGAGCAUUGCAUCUUUAAUUUAAAAUUGUUUGAUGAUUUUUACAUGUGGAUAUUUAACCUUAGAGGCAAACCUCCAAACCUUUUAUAAUAAGAUAUUGACCUCUUAUAGAAUCCAAAUAUCAUUUUAGUAGUAUUUCUAUAUUUGAUUAUUUUAGAUUUGUGUCUUUAAUUUAUGUUUAUGCAUAAGAUCUUCUGGAAUUAAGGUCGAAUUCUCUUCAAACAUGGAGAAUGAUAAGGAAUCUUCAAGUGAUACAAAAUUGAGGACAAAUUCUUUUCAAGAAGAAAGGUAUGAUAGAAGACUAUCUCCUGAACAUAUAUGUGAGAAAAACUUAAGGAAAAACAUAUGUAAUUCAAAUGAUAUAAGACAAGAUCAAAGAUCAAAACAUAUCUUUUUAAAACUUAUAAUGUUCCAUGAAGAAUAAAACUUAAAAGAGCAUGAAAAUGUAAUUUAGGAAAUUAAAUGCAUUGUAAUUUUAUUUUAAUUUUAUUAAAGAUUAAAUUCGUUGAGUGAGCUAGUUUGAGUUUAGUAGAGUGAGGGGGUUGUUAGGAGAAAUUAUGUAUAUGUUUAUAACUUUUGUUUUCUGUUAUUAGAGUUUGUAGGUUUUUUUAAACUCGUGUUUACCAGAACUUGAUGUAAAGAUUUUUUUGUAUUUUAACUUUAAAAUGUAUUUGCAUUCGGAAAGAGAAUUAUCUUGAUUUUUAGAUUAUAACUCUAAUUUAUACAAAAAAUUGAUAUAUUUAUGAAAAAUAUUCACUUAAUUUAUCAAUAUUAGAUUAAUUGUAACGUUUUGUUUAUGAUAUAUUCUAUUUACUUUUUUUAUUUAUUUUUAUUGUACCUUUUGAUAAUUCAAAUUAAAAAAGAAUUAUACUUUUUCUAUAGAGGAAUAUAUCACUUUUUAAACUAAAUUUUCAUUCAAAUACAUUAUUUUAAUUUUUUUUUCGGUUUUGCUCCUCCCUCGCACAAUUCACAGGACAAAAUCUUAAAGAAAACUAUCAAACCUCUUUUAAUAGUUCGUCCAUAAACCAAAUUCUAUAUAGGUUACAUCGCAGGAAUUAUAAAAAAAAAAAGGUUAGAAAUUUACCAUCUGGCUCCAAUUUUGUCAUCAUUGUUUUAAAAAAAGCCAAUAAUAAUAUUUAAACGUAUACGAACGCUUGACUUUGACUUUCAGAAGCUGUAAAAUAUAGGGUGACGAAGAGACAGAGAGAAGAGACAAGAGAUAGGAGCCGAGAGAGAGCCUUCAUUUCAAGGCUCAUUAAUUUUUAUGAUUUUUUAAAUAAUAAUGAUGGUUAAAAAUUACAACUACUCUUAAAAAACAAAUGAAAUAGAGUAAUGACUUUUUUUGUCAUGAUAUAUACAGUCUUUUAAAUUUCAUAUAUAGUCAUGAAUUGAGACUGUAAUAUAAUUUAGAUUUAUAUUUGAAUUUCCAAUACUUCAGUCUAUCCUAAAAUAAUAUUAAAUUUAUAUGAAAUUAGUAUUAUUUGUGGAAAAAAUUUAUAUGAAAUUAACAUAACACUAUUUUCUACCAUAAACUAUCUUUCUCAUCUUUCAAUAAAUAAACGUCUUCACUUUCUUCAAUUAUCAUCGAUUAACAUUAUUAGACACAAAAGCAUCUAUUUAUUCUUUUAUUUAGGAAAAGCUUUUUAUCCAGAGAAGGUUUGUUUCCAUACCCAAACUAACGGACUAAUUACCAAUAUUCAAUUAAGAUCCUGCAAAAAAAAAAAAAAAGUAAUAAAUUUUACUCAAUUUAUAAAUUAGUAGCUUCAACUUAAUAUUAAUAAGGAUUUUUCUCAAAUUAAAGUUAUUUUCAACUCGUUUGAGAUGUAAUAAUUAUUAGUUGAUAAAACCUAACACGAGUGCAGUAGAGUCUUUUUAAGGAAGUUAGAUAAAGUUUCUUAUGUCGAUUAUGAAACUAAUAUAUAUGCAACAACAAAAAAAGUGUCAAUUUUUUAUGUCAGUAACAUAAAAAGUCCACAUUUUAUGCGAAUUGUGUUAUAACAGAAAUAGAAAAUGUGAUAUUAUCAACUAAUUAUUAUUAGUUGAUAAAAACUAACAUUAUUGCACUAGAGGCUUUUAUGCCUGUUAGAUAAAGUUUCAAUUUUUUAUGUCAGGUUUGAACCAAUAGAAAGUUCCCAUUUUAUGCUAAUUGUGUUAUAACAAAUCUAAAAAGUGUGAUUUUUCAUUUUCUUAUUUUUAUUCAGUUGCUCUUCGAUAUUUGUGAAUGAUUCACAGAUAUAGUUUCGAAAGAGUGGGAGAAAGGUGUCAUCAUUUUGUUGGGUGAGUGCUUGGGAAGAAGCCCCUACACGAAAAUGUUAGAGUAUUUUUUUAAUAAUAGACCGUGUUUUUUUGAAACAGUGUCUACUAAUAAAUAAUGCUUAUAAAAAAACACUUCCCCUCCCUGUUCUUUUAAAUUUUUUUUAUCAUUUAUUUAAUUUUUCGUUCAACAUCCUCAGAUCUCAUAAUUUCUUAAGAAAAAAGCAAUAACGAUGUGAAGUCUCAUUAACUCCUACACAAAUCAAAAAGUGUAAUAAAUAUGAGAGGCUCAAACAUAACAAAAGCUCUAAGCAAAAAAUUGUUUACAUAGAUCAUAAAAUAAUAGAAAGAAUAUGAAAAAGACAAAUGUCAGCUCAUACUUUAAUAUAUCAAUGAAAAGUUAUUAUCAGAAAUAUAUUCCAAAAUACAUCAAAAUAAACAAAACUUAGGGAAAAAAACAUAAAUGACAAGGCUAACAAAUAUAUAGCUUUCUAAUAUUUUAAGUCCCUAUUUUUAACAUGUCAAUAGUGGGACAUAGUUUUGUAGGUUGCACAAUUUCGUCAAAAAUGCAGUAACAGUUCGGAGUCUAGUAUGUAUCAUGACUUUAUUGUUGAACUCACUCCUACUUAGAACACGAUGCAUUUUUAUGAUACAAGCAUUAAAAUGAAAUAUAUAGAUUCAAAUCACUAUGAACAAUGACAUAGUUUCAUAAGAUCAUAUAGAAGCAUAACAUAUUAACUUAUAAUAAAUUUUUACUAAUGAGAUGAAAACAUCAAUCUUCUCUAACAUCAAUCUUCUCUAACUUCAAUGAUUUGAUUGCCAUAUAUUAUUGACAAUUGCAAUUAGAAAAAUACUAUAAUAAAGAAAUAUAAUAUAAAAUUAUUCAAUUAAAAUUUUACUACAAAUUAAUUAUAUAUGCAAUCAAGAUAACUUACAUCGAUUGACAUUGUCCCUCCAUAAUAGGUGAUAAUUUCCUUUAUGUAACGACAAAUGUAAUAUCCACAAUCAUUUUCGUUGGCUUGUUUUAGACAUUAGAAAACUAAAAGAAGAAAACAUCAACAUAUUUCCUAUGAACAACAUCAAUUGAUCUUAAAAUAAACAAUUGUAAUCUACAUCAAUUAGUAUCCACUUUGUUUCGGUUGAAUUGGUCCAAAGGUCGGUCUGCCUUCCUUGCUCUACUCUCUAUCAACCCUUCAAUCUUCUCUGAGAAUGCAAUCCUCUGAUGGGUGGUUGACCUGCAAAAGACACUCCAACCCUCAAGUCUGAUAUGUUUUAUAAAGAGGUCUAUAUUUUAUUAAAAUAGAUCAAAGUUAUUUUACCUGAACGUCAAUAGUAUAUUUAUAAGGCUUGUGAUAGGCANAUGUUUUAUAAAGAGGUCUAUAUUUUAUUAAAAUAGAUCAAAGUUAUUUUACCUGAACGUCAAUAGUAUAUUUAUAAGGCUUGUGAUAGGCAAACCCAUUGAUUAACCAUUAGUGUAGUAUAUCUUUAGGCAGUCAAACCCAAUAAUCAAUAUAGUAUAUAUGUAAAGUGUAAGACAAUCUAACUUAUUAAUACCUGUUAAUUGUCCAUAAAUGACAAUUAAUUUCGAUCGGUAUACUUCAUAUAGUACAUAAGCCCCACAAGCCCAAGCAAGCUCUUUAUUGAAAGAGGUGCGUAGGAAUUAUUAUGAGCUUUAAAAGAGGUUGCUAACGUUGUAUUUAGGGAGUCUAUUUUCGAUAUGCUUUAAGUCUUCAUUGCUCCCUGUACCGAGCGACAAACUCUAGGAGCUCUCUUUGGAACUAUUCCCUAGACUGAAUAGAAAAUGCUAAGAGUUUUCUUUGAAACUUUUUCUUGUGCAAGAGAUUUUCACUCCAAAAAAUAUACGUUUAAAUAAAAUAAAGUAAACGCUUCAAUAUUUUAUAAUGAAAAGGCAUUGGAACCUGACAAAGUUGAACCUGUUGAGUAGUUGACUGAUAGUUCCUUUUCGAAUUUCCUACGUUGAGCGGAGAUUUUUCAAGCCAUUUUUUUGACUUCCCCCGAGCAGCUUGAGGCAUGAGUCAUUUUUAUUAUUUCCUGCGUUGAGCGGGGAUUUCUGGAGCCAUUUUUCUGACUUCCCCCCGAGCGACUUGAGACAGAAAUCAUUUUUCUGACUUCUUACGUUGAGCGGAGAUUUCUGAAGCCAUUUUUCUGACUUCCCCCCAAGCGGCUUGAGGCAAAAGUCAUUUUUCUGACUUCCUACAUUGAGCGGGGAUUUCUGAAGCCAUUUUUUUGACUUCCCCCCGAGUGGCUUGAGGCAGGAGUCAUUUUUCUGACUUCUUGCAUUGAGCGGGGAUUUCUGAAGCCGUUCUUCUAACUUCCCCUCGAGCAGUGAACAAGUUAUAGAGGAUUGAAUCUUCCUGUGCAAAAUAUUUUUACUCACAGAUAUUAUAAUGAAAAGUGGAACCUGCCAAGGUUGAACGUAUGACUGAACCUUCCUGUGCAGGAUAUUUUUGCUAAUAGAAAUAUGAGUUAAACAAAUACAUUAUAAUUUAUAAAUUAUAAUGAAAAGUUGAACCUGCCAAGGUUGAACGUAGGACUGAAUCUUCCUGCGCAUGAUAUUUUUACUCACAAGAAUGUGCGCUAAAUAAAAUAGUUAAUAUUUUAUUUUAUAAUGAGGUAACAUUAGAACCUGAUAAGGUUGAACGUAGGUGUGAACCUUCCUAUGCAAGAUAUUUUUACUAACAAAAGUAUGAUUUGAACAAAUAUAUAUUAUAAUUUGUAAAUUAUAAUGAAAAUUGGAAUCUUCCAAGGUUGAACGUAAGACUGGAGCUUCCUGUGCAAGAUAUUUUUUCUCACAAAAAUAUGAGUGGAACCUAUCAAGGUUGAACGUAGGACUGAACAUUUUCUGUGAAAGAUAAUUUUACUCAUAAAAAUAUGAGUUAGACAAAAUAAAGGACAUCCUUCAAUAUAAUAUAAUUUAUAAAUUAUAAUAAAAAGUUGAACCUAAUAAGGUUGAACGUAAUCUGAACCUUCCUGAAAGUUCUCAAAACAAAAGACAUGAAUUUAGAAUAUAUUACGAAGUUUUUUACUCUUGUUGCAAAACCUGGUGUUGAUCCGAAGUAGCGAUGUCGAGACCCAGCACACGUCUGAUUCUUUGUGGCUUCAUGGGGAUGCCACUCGGCCCCACGGUGGGCACCAUUAUGUUUUGGUUGAAUUGGUUUGAGGGUUGGUCGGCCUUCCUUGCUCUACUCUCUUUCGACUUUUCAAUCUUCUCUGAGAACGCAAUCCUCCGAUUGGUGGUUGACCUGCAAAAGACACUCUGACGCUCGAGUCAGAUAUGUUUUAUAAAGAGGUCUAUAUUUUAUUAAAAUAGAUCAAAGUUAUUUUACCUGAACGUCAAUAGUAUAUUUAUAAGGCUUGUGAUAGGCAAACUCAUUGAUUAACCAUUAGUAUAGUAUAUCUUUAGGCAAUCAAACCCAAUAAUCAAUAAUCAAUACAAUAUAUAUGUAAAGCGUAAGACAAUCUGACCUAUAAAUACAUGUUAAUUGUCCAUAUAAUACACUAUAUUUUAACAAAAUAGUAUUAUAUUAAAAGUAAAAUUUAAAAUUUAAACUAUAUUUACAAAUUCAUAAAUAUUAAAGUAUAAAUAAGAGUUGAGUAAACUAUUGAUAAAGUUUCAAUCCACUUACCUAACCCGAUACAAUUAUCCAUUUUAUUACUUAAUUUUAUUUUUUUAAUAUUCACAUUUAACUAAUUCAUAUGUUUCGGGUACGUCGAGUUACUUCAAACACCUAUACAAUUUCUCCUUAAAUGUCGCUUGGUUACAGUUCAUUCUCGUUUGUCUUUGCUUCUACCAUUUGGAGGGGUACCUGUCAAAGGUUCUCUAAUGUUUAAGUCAGUGCACAGUCCCUACGGUAAUCAACACAAUAGUAUUAUAUACACAGUAAAUGCGAUCACCUAUGAUGGAAGUCGCCUCUACCUUCAAGAAUGGAGCGGCUUCUCGAUCCAGAAGUGGUAGCGGAAUGGAGAUUGGUUAGAGAUGUUUUGUUGCUUGCAAGGUGUUUGAGAAAUUGUGUGGUAGUGUUCGGAUGUGGUGUGGUGAGGAAUUCUAACUCAGACGACUUUCCCUAGGGGAAAGGAGGUAGAGGGAAACAAGCUAAAAUAACUUCAAGCAAUGAAAUCGAGAGAAUGGCUGGAUUUCAGCAGCACUUCAUUAUCAUACUCAAGUUGGACUUUUACAAAGGAUUAAGCUCUCUUUUAUAGGAGAAGAGGAGUUGUCAAACGUGCCAAGGAAGCUAUCUAUAUUUCGAAGUAAAUGUGCUGAAGAAGCUUAUCCUACGUGGGUUUCAUUUUCCAGCUGAAACAUAUUAAUCACGUGCUAAAGGAGAGGAUGCUAGUCUUCUUCUGCUGAGCGACACUAAGGCAGCGCUGAGCGCCGGCUACAUGAUGCCUCUUAUUUGCUUCCUUUGUGCUAUCUUGCUUCACUACAAGAAAAGGAAGAAUUUUUGAAGGAAAUAUACCAACGGCCUUUUAGGCCUUCGGUAAAGUUGACUUAUCGAAGGAUGUAGCGACGGUCACUUCUGUGGUUGAUUACCGAAGGCUUUCGACCGUCGGUAAUGGUGCACUGAAUUUACCGAAGGUUUACGACCGUCGAUAUAAGCAUCGACUUAAUGAAAUGAGAAUUUGGGAUUUCCCUCUCCCAUUCUCCCAAUUUGUGUUUUCGUGCAAUCUUUCCCCAAUUCUUCCUCUCUCACUUCAUAACCCCAAAUUGCAUCUUCCUUUGUCAUUGAGAACCCCAAUUUCUUCAAUCAUUGUGUCGACGUCAGGGUAGUGCCGGUGAGGAGGGUGGUGGUUGACGGAUUACAUUGUUGCAAGGGGGUUGUUCGAAGGUGUUUGUUGUCGAGGUUGCUGUCGCAGCGUGACGACGAUGUUGUGGCAACCUGACGACAGUGUGUGGCGGUGUGACGAUGGUGUUGUGUCAGCGGGACUACGGUGUUGUGGUAGUGUGACGACGGUCUGGGCGGCAUGACGAGGGCUUCAACUGUCGCAGGGUGAGGCUAGUGUAGGGGGUCUGUGACGAGGUAAGGUCCUUCUGUGUGAAUGAAAUGUGUGCAAAUGUGUAAUGAAAACCCCUAAUUCACUUCCAUUCCAAAAAACAUAAGGUUAGGUUGACAAAGAAUUGGAAUUGCAGUAGGAAAGGGAGGAAUAGAGUCUUGGGAGCAGACGUGACCAAGCAAGGAAGGAAAAGCCCAAGGUAUGGUUCGGUGCUGCAAACUCAUGGUGAAUUUGAUGUGCUCUGUCAUCUUAUUUUGUUGCAAAGGCUACAUUGAAUUUGCAUGAUGUGAUGUGCUCUUUCAUUUUAUUUUGAUUCUUGUUUCUUGAAUUUGAUGUUGUUCUAAAUGAAUAAAUUUGUCUAGGAACCUUAGCUCAAGUAGUACUAAUCUUUUUGGAAACUACACCUUAAAUGUGAUAAAAUUUAUAGAUUAAAGAGAAGUAGCACUUCAUGUAAUGGUUUACCGAAUCACAAAUGGAGACCAAAGAAGUGAACCAUGCUUCCAAGGUACCCCUUAUACAACUGAGCAGCUGCUUCAGUUUCCAGAAUUAAUGAAUAUGCUUUCUCUUCUACUAGAGCCAAGGCCACAAUCUUAUAAACUUUAGCAGCCUAAUAAAUUCUAUUACAAUAACUAGUUAUUCUCUAGGACUCAUCAAUGUUAGUUGAUCAAAGUUCAACCAUGUUGGCUUUUCUACGGGCUAGUAAUUGGGGAACAUGUUUUGCCCCUUCUCACCAAGAUUACCAAAUCCUACAUUCAUCAGUAAAUCCUUUUUCCACAAGGUAUCUAAUCUUUUGUACAAGCUUCAGAAACGACCUCUUUAGAACCUUUGAGCGGUCACCUUAUCAAUGAGGUAUAGAAAUGGACCCAAGCAAGGAUUAAGAGGAUAUCGCUGAACCCUCUUGUAGGACCAAGAAAAUGCCUCAGGCAAAUCUUUUCCUCUUAAUUCCCUAAGCCAUCUCUUCACAUCUUUUCAUGAGAUAAAUAAAAGGCAAUACCUUUAGCUAAUAUAAAUCACAUUAGUCACAGCAAAAGUGAUCCAUCAACACCUAGAAAGAGGAAGUAAAUGAUGUGAAUACUUCUCACUUCUCCUAAAGCUUUGCCUUCCAUUUCAAUUUCUCUUGGUGUGUUGUUCUUCUUGCUUUUGUUGCAGUAAACACCAAUACCCUCUUAACAUGAUAUUCACAAAUUUCAUAUCAUUAUCAUAUAAUAUAUGGUUAAUAUAAUGUAGGCCUGGUAGGUAGCUACAUGAGCAUAUAUGCAUGGAGUGCUUACUUGUUCUUAUAUUCUAACAAGAAAACAAAAAAAUUUUAUCUCCCUAACAAGUGUACUAAAUAGGUACUAAAUAACCUAAAAACGUGUACUAAAUAGGUCACAAAUUGUGAAUUCACCUAAACUAACCUAAGAAUGUGUAUUCUACACAUCCUAACAAGUUUAAAGUAGUGAAAUGAAGGUAGGAAAGUAUUGAACAACAAAGAAUAACCUAAAACUCAAAGUUUGAGUUUUUAGUACCUAAAAAGUGUAUUUUUAAGGUAAAAAAUUGUCAAUUCACCUAAUGUAGACUCUUUCUAAGGUAUGUAAACAUCCUAACAAGUCUAAAGUAGUGAAAUCAAGGUAGGAAAGUAUUAAAAAGCAAAGAAUAACCUAAAACACAAAGUUUGAGUUGUUAGUACCUAAAAUGUGUACUUUAUCCCUUAUGAGAUGACAAUCAAUUUCAAUAUGCUUUGUCCUCUCAUGCAUGGUUGGAUUCUAUGCAAUUUGUAUAGCAGAUUGAUUGUCACAAAAUAGAGGAACUGGUUGUAGUAGAGGUUGUUUCAAAUCAUGGAGCAAAUAUAGAAGCCACUGAAUUUCACAUGUUGUGGAAGCUAAGGCUCAAUAUUCUGCUUCAGUUGAUGAUCUAGAUAUAGUACCUUGCUUCUUGGAUUUCCAGCUGAUUAACCACAGAACACAUUAAAACUAGUCACAAACCUUCUAGUGUCAGGGUAAGCAGCCCAAUCAGAAUCACUAAAAGCCUUGAGAGCAUGUUCUGUGUUGGAGGGAAAGAAUAAUCCUUGUCCUUGAUUAUUCUUGAUAUAUCUCAGGAUCCUUAUUGUUGCUGCAUAGUGAUCUUCCAAAGGAUUUGAAAGAAAUUGACUGAGAGUACUAACAACAAAACAUAAAUCUGGUCUUGUGUUGGUUAGAUAUAAUAACCUGCCAAGAAGUCUUUUAUAGGCAUGCACAUCUGAAUAGGGUUUCCCUUCUGUCUUGGAAAAUUUUGUACCUGACUGUAUAGGAGUAGAAACAGGUUGGCAUCCCAACAAUCCUGCAUCUUCUAGUAACUCUAGAGCAUACUUCCUUUGUGACAAAUUAAUGCCCUGUUGAUAUCUUGCAAUUUCUAAGCCCAAAAAAUAUUUAAGUUGGCCUAGGUCUUUAAUCUUGAACUUUGUAUUCAAUAAAUCCUUCACAGUCUGGAUUUCCUGAAUGUCAUCACCUGCCAAGACUAUAUCAUCUUCAUAAACAAGUAAGAUGGUGAUAUGAGCAUAAUCACUUUUGACAAAAAGUGAAUUAUCUGAUUUUGAUUGUAUGUAGCCCAAAGAAAGUAAAGUAGUUGUCAACUUGUAAUUCCAUUGUCUAAAGAAGAAAAUUAAUUUUUCAUCACGUUCUUCCACAACCAAUUUUGUUCUUGCUCAGAUCUUCAUCCUCUACCUUUAGUUAUUGGCUUUCCUAUUUUAUUUUCUCCCUCUAUGGCUACUCCCUCUGUUACUCUCACAUCAUUGCAAGAUACAACACACUACUAUUACAUUCACCCUAACGAGAAUCCUUCAUUGGUGCUUGUUUCUCCGAUUCUUGAAGGUCACAAUUAUCAUGGAUGGGCUCACUCGAUGUCUAUGGCACUACAAAUGAAAAAUAAGUUUGGCUUUGUUUAUGGUUCCAUUCCUUGUCCAACUGAUAAAGAUCCCAUGGUUCACGCAUGGAAGCAUUGCAAUAAUCUGGUUUUAUCUUGGAUCAAUCAUUUUGUUUCUUAUGAUAUUGCUACAAGUAUUAUCUGGGUUGACUCUGCCACUGCGGCAUGGAAGGAUCUCAAAGAUCGAUUCUCCCUCCCUAGGUGAUUAUGUUCAAAUUUCACAAUUGCAUCAAGAUCUUUAUUCAAUGCAUCAAUCUGACCUAAGUGUUACUGUAUAUUACACUAAAAUGAAGAUUCUGUGGGAUGAACUUUGCAAUUUACGCCCAAUUCCUAAAUGUCAAUCUUCUGCUUCUUGUUGUAUUGUUUCUAAGACAAUCAAGGAAUAUCGUGAAAAUAAUUGUGUUCUUUGCUUUCUUAGAGGCUUGAAUGAUAAUUACUCUGUUGUCCGCUCUCAGAUCCUUCUCAUGGAUCCCUUGCCUUCUUUACCCAAAAUUUUUCAAUGAUAAUUCAACACGAGCGACAAUUACAAUCAAGAAUUCUUUCUUAGCCUCUAGUCAUAGCGGCACAAGUUUCUCAAUCUAAACAUUCUUUUUCUACCUUCAAUGGUAGAGGUAAACCCUCUCUUGCCAAUGAUUAUGGCUGGGGAAAAUCUUCAUUUCAAGGUUUUCAGGCUCGUUAUCAAGGUUCUCAGGCUCGUUCCUCAGGGGGAAGGUUUGGUGCACCUCGACAAUGCACUCACUGUGGUAGGACAAACUACACCAUUGAUACAUGUUUUUUGAUACAUGGAUUACCACCUGAUUUCAAAUCAAAAAAGGUCCACAGUGUUACCACAAAUUCUUCAACAACGGUUCCUUAUAAUAAUUCUCAGGCACAGUCACAUUCCUCAACUUUGGGACUUUCUCAAGAGCAAAUUCAUGGUCUAUUGGCACUUCUCCCUCAAUCUAAUCCCACAGCCCCACAUUCUACCAAUCUAGUGAACUCUCAUAAUAUUUCCACUUCUUCUCAAGCUCAAGGUAAUAUCUAUUCCCAAUGGAUUCUAGACACAGGUGCUACUGAUCAUAUAUCCAAUUCUUUGUUUCUUAUAUAAAAACACAAUUUAUAUAAGAUCACAACUUAUUGGUUUUGUUUCUUAUAUAAAAACACAAUUUGGCAUUUAUGUAAAAGCUGUUAGAUCGGAUAAUGGUAAUGAAUUUGCAAUGACAAAUUUUUAUAGACAAAAAGGGAUAUAACAUCAAUUAUCUUGUGUUGAAACACCUCAACAAAACGGAGUUGUUGAGAGAAAACAUCAACACAUUCUCAAUGUUGCUAGAUCUUUAAUGUUUCAAUCCCAUUUGGCAAAAUUUUUUUGGUCUUUUGCUGUUCGUUAUACUGUGCAACUCAUUAAUAUUUUACCUUCCAAAAUUUUGGCAUAUUUUUCUCCAUCUCAACUGUUACACAAUGUUAAACCUGACAUUACUUACUUGCGAGUUUUUUGCUGAAUUUGCUAUGCUUCCACUCUUCCAGUACAAAGAACAAAAUUUCAACCUCGUGCAAGAAAAUGUGUUUUACUUGGUUUUAAAACAGGAGUGAAAGGCUACCUUUUGUUAGAUUUCAACCCUAGGGAAAUUUUUAUAUCAAGGACUGUAGUAUUUUAUGAAAACAUAUUUCCUUUUCUUACUAGUGACAAGCACACACCUAUUGAUACACAAAACUCCUUGGAUUUUGUCACCAAAAUCAAUUCAUCUCUAUCACCUCUUUUCUCAAAAGUUACUGACCAACCCUCUUUACCACCUACAUCUCCUCCUUCUAUUACUCCAGACCCUGUUAGUUUUUCUUCUCAACCUGUUUCUGUUGAACCUGCCACUGCUACUCCACAAAGGAAAUCAACCAGGCUCGGAUACCAUAUUAGGAAGUGGGUUUAAGCCUAACUCAACCCCACAAAACCGGCUUGUAAGGUGAAGUUUGCACCUCACUUAUAUAUUAUAAAUUGGCCUUAUCUCUAGUCGAUGUGGGACUUUCAACAGUUCUUUUGGUCAUCCUCUGCCCAUUUAAUGACAGAUUUACUUUCAUCUUCUUUGCCACCUGUAGCUUCUUUUUCCUCUUCUUUUAAAUCCUAAAUCCCAUCUCAGAAAUCCAUAUUAUUAAAAUUUAAAAAGUUGCUAAAUUCCAUGUAUUCAACUCUCACCAUGCCACGUCUUAAAAAAUAGACACAUCAACCUACCACAUGUGCACAAACUUAACUUCGUUAAAUAAAUUUAACGGUAGGGGCUCAAUCGAUUCAAAUUAGCACUCAUAAGGACUCAAUCAGGGAUUCUAAUAAGAAGGGGAUCAAAAUGGAAAAAACCCCACAUAAAUAGGGACAACUAAAGGAUUGAAACCUUAGAUUAAUGUUGUGGUAGCAACAUCCUAACCAUUACCACUAGUAUAAAUAAGUUGGAUCAUUGUAAUCAAGCCAAAAAGAACAAAGCAAGACAACAUCUACAUCUACAAAAACAACUACAACACUUCUUUCAACUACUAUCUCCACAUUUUCUCUUCAUUUCACUAUCUCUACAUUUUCUCUACUCUAUCAAUUAUUCCUUUCACAACCUCAAACUACUAACAGUUAUUUUUUAUUUCUUGAGGGAGCAGUAGACACCAUCUUUAGAAAUGUUUCUCUUGACAACCAUUUCUUUCUUGAAUCAAGCCUUCAAAAGAGAAGGUAUUAGGUGGUUAUUUUUGAAAUACUUAAGGUCGUAGUGUACCUUGUGUUGAAAAAUCUUUACGACUACAUUUGAGAGAAAACAUAAGGAUUUGAAAUUGGAUUAUCAAAUGAGUUACGUAAAAGUAUAGGGCAAACUACUACAUCUGAGAGAGAGAUUGAAGCAAUGAGAGUUGUGGAAUGUAAAUGCUUCUAAGAAUCCAUUCUUGGAACUUAAUUGUACAUGCAUUAUUUCUUAGUUAAAAAAUAGCAUUCAAGUUGUUUGUGAGCAUUGCAUGUACCUUCCAUUUUGUAUUACUUUGGUUUCCAUCUAUUCACUGUAUAUUAAAACAAAUGUUAUGCUUAGAACUCAUGUCAAUUGUUGUUGAACCAAAUUUUCUAGGGUUUUGCUCCCUCUACCACCACCCUUUCUCCCUCCACCUCCCCAACCCUCUAUAAAAAAUUUUUAAUUAUAAAAAUAGCCUUUUUUUUACUUUUAAUCCUAUUUAUUUACUUUAUUUUGAAACUCUAAAUUCCUAUCCAUUUUUACUUACUCUUUUUCACUCGCGCAGCCCCAUCCUCCCACUCUCUCAAGUCUCACUUUCUCCCUUUCCAGAUUCCCACCCCCCAACUCUCACCAGAUCCGUUUCUUCUCAUCUCCCACCAUUUCUUCUCAUCUCCCAACACUUACUUUUCUUCUCCAUAUCUGUUUGGUUCUUCUCCAUAUUCCUAUCUCCAUAUCCAUUUGGUUUUGUGGUGUGGCAGUGCGAGGUGUUUGCGGUGGUCAUUCAACGGUACAACGGUUCCAAACGAUAAUGAAUAUUUUAUGACUAACAUCAUAAAAAAAUAAUUUUAUUUACAUUGAUAAAAAAAUGAAAAAUGUGUACAUGAAUUAAUUAAAAAAUUUCAAAUUUUCAAAAUUCUUACUAUUUAAUUCUAAUUUAAAAUUUUCUAAAUUUAUAUGUUCAAAUUCUUGUCUUAAAGUUAUAAAUUUCAAUAUUUUAAUUUUUUUAUUUAAAUGAUUAUAUAAAAUGUUUCAACCUUUUUUAUAAAAUUAAUUAUCCUCCACAAUAUUUUUUCUGACACAUUGUGACAUAUAUUUCUUCCUCAUUUAUCAACAUUUUUUUUAUGUGAGAUUGCUUAACUCUUCGUACGUUGGUGUGGGUAAGACAAACAAUCAGAAAGUUCAAAAGAUACAACAAUGGAAAGAAGCAUAAAAAGCAGAGAGAGACACAAGAAAAUGAAACAUAGAAACAUGGGUCUACCAUUAAAAUGAUUGUGUUAUUUAGGUGAUGAGAUCGAAUAGAGAAAGAAACAGCAUAAUUGUUAAUAACAAAUGUUUGUUGGUUAAGCAUAAAUCAAAUCAUCGCAUUCAUGUAGGGAAUUGAGGUGGAUAGAAGUUAAAAAAUAUUAAUUCUAAAAAUAAAAUUCUAUUGAAGGGUAAAACAAGAAUAGAAAGGAGGUAAAAGGGAUAAACAGAAAUGGGGAGGUGGAGGGAGAAGCGGUGAUGGUGAAGAGAGCAACACCCAAUUUCUAACAUUUAUCUCAUAUUGGCACCUGAUAAUAUAUUUUUUUUAUAGUUUAAAAUUUGCAUGCUUUAUUUACUUUUCAUUAUAAUUCAAUUUAACCCUAUUUGUAUCGUCGUCACUAAAAAAUAGUUUAUUUAGUUAAAACGUAAAAUAAAUAUAUCAACAUAUUUACAAUUUAAAAUUGGACAAAAUUACAUUAAAAAAUAUAUAACGACUAAAAUAACUAGAACGUAAUCAUAUAUUUUAAAAAAAAAUAUUAUAAAAUAGUUCUUGGAGAAUUACUUGCAAAAAUAUUAAUUGAAAAAAAUAUACUUACAAAUUUAAUUUUGGAAGAAAAAUUAAUUGAGAAUUAUUUGGCAAGAAAUUACUUGCGAACUUAAAAUAUGUAAUAAAAUUACUUGUGAAAAUUUAAAUUUGUAGGAAAAAAUACCUAUUGAUUUUUAAAUUGACUUUUUCGCAAGAAAAAUUGUUAUGGUUUUUUUUUUCAUGAAAAUUUGUGGCUGAAUUUUUUAUUGGAACUUUUGCAAGAAAAUUCCUGCGAAAUUUUUAAAUUCUAUGGUAACUAAUUACUCACAAAAGAAUUACCUACCAAUCAAAAUUUAUAGGAUAAAUUGUAAGAAACACUCUUUUUGGAAAUUUUGGAAAUAUAAUGUUAAAUUGUCUGGGUAAGCUAGUUUGUGUUCAUUGCAGACCUCGCUAGAUGAAAAUUUGCAUUUGUGAUUUUUGUUUUCUAUUAUUUUUAUGUGUUAUAGACUUUGAGCUUCAUUUUAGAGUUUUUAGGUUUUCUUAAACUUAUGUGUCUAUAUAUAGAGGUACCAAAGUUGAUGUAAACAUUUUUUAGUCAUAUUAUAUGCAUUUGUAUUUUUUGAGAGAGAAAUUGGUUCUUAGAUUAGAACUGUGAUCCUUAUUAAAGAUUAACAUCUUUGGGGUGAAUAUUCAAUUAACUUAUCAAUAUGUUAGAUUAUGACAUCUCCGUCUCUAUCUUAUUUUGCAUACUUUUGUUGCGCCUCUUAAGAGAAAAGAAAGAAAAAAGAGCGGAGAAAGAAAAUAGAGAAAGAGAGGAGAAAGAAAAGGAAAGAGAGGAUGAUAAAGAAGAAAAAGAGAGAAAAAUAAAACAAAGAACAAAGAGAAAAAUAAGAGAGCAUCUUCUUUUGUCAUUAAAAGAAAAUCCUAACUAAUCUCUUUUAGUUUUGUUGUGUAGGGAAAAUUUGUUUAUCAAGAAAUCAUGGAAUCAACAAUGGAAGGAAGACAUGGUGACAGAAAAGGAAGACACAAGCUUAGAACUAAAAAACUUGUGUUUUAUAAUCGGUGAGCUUGCUUGUCAAUUCAUUUAGAUAUUCAAAGUCAUUCUUUUAGUAUGGAAACAAACUCAUAUCCAAAACCUUAAGACAACGGGUUAAUAGAUCUUUCAUCUUUAUAUAGUGUUUUACUUUCUCAUUUCUAUCCAACGUGGGACUUAAACUCACAUUUGGAUUCCAAACACUCAAAACUAUGUGCACAUGAUGGUUUACUUAGAAAAUAUUCUUUUGAUUUUUUUUGAGAUUGCAUCUUUAAUUUAAAAUUGUUUGAAGACUUACACGUGGAUAUUUGACCCUGGAGGUAGACCUCUAAAGCUUUGAUAAUAAGAUAUUGGCCUCUUUCAGAAUCCAAAUAUCCUUUUAGUAGUAUUUUUUUAUUUGAUGAUUUUAGAUUUGUUUUUCUUUGAUUUAUGUUUGUGUUUCUGUAUAGGAUCUUCUAGAAUUUAGGUCGAAUUUUCUUCAAACACGAGAGAAUGACAAGGAAUCUUCAAGUGGUACGAAUUUGAGAACAAAUUCCUUUUAAGAAGGAAGAGAAGACUAUCCCAUAAACAUAUAUGAGAAGAACUUCAGGAAAAAUAUUUGCAAUUAAAAUAAUUUACGACAAAGUUAAAGAUUAAAACACGUAUUUUUGAAACUUAUAAUGUUUCAUGAAUAAGGAAACUUAAAGAACAUGAAAAUACAAUUUAGGAAAUUAAGUAGAUUGUAAUUUUAUUUAAAUUUUAUAGAAGGAUAAAUUCCUUGGAUGGGCUAGUUUGUGUUUAAUGGGGUGAGUGUGUGUCUAUAGUUUGUGUUUAAACAUCUUUUUAUGUCUUGGACUUUGAAGUGUAUUUACAUAUUUAUUGAGAGAGAAUUAUCUUUGAUCUUGGAUUUUAAGUCUGAUAUUUAUUAAAGAUUAAUAUGUUUAUGAGAAAUAUUCACUAUUGACAUUUUUUGUUUCUGUUUUAUUUUAUAUACUUUUUUAAAUUAUUUUUAUUAUACCUCUUGAUAAUUAAAAUUAGAAAAGAAUUGUACUUUUUCUAAACAGGAUUAUGUCACUUUUAAACUAAAUUUUUCAUUCAAAUACAUUAUUUUAAUUUCUUUUUAUUUAUUUAUUUUCUUUUUCGUUUUGCUCCUCCCUCGACAGAAUUCACAGAAUCCCAUUUUUGAAAAUUGGUCGCCGUAAAAAGGAAUUCCAGUAAAGAAUAUGAAGAAAAUGCUACAACACUAGGUUAAAAUUUGACACUCAAAAACCGAGUUCCUACUUUCAAACACAUACUUUAACUCAUUCCUAAACUCUAAAUCUUAAAGAAAGCCAAUAAGAAUAGUUAAACAUAAGAACACUUGACUUUGGCUUUCAGAAGCUGUAACAGAGAAGAGACACAGAAAAGAGACAGAGAGAAGAGACAAGAGAUAGGAGCCGAGAGAGAGUCUUCAUUUCAAGGCUGAUUAAUUUUUAUGAUUUUUAAAAAUUACAACUACGCUAAAAAACAAAUGAAAUAGAGUAAUGACUUUUUUUGUCAUGAUAUAUACAGUCUUUUAAAUUUCAUACAUACAGUCAUGAAUUGAGACUGUAAUUUAAUUUAGAUUUAUAUUUGAGUUUCCAAUACUUCAGUCUUUACUAAAAUAAUAUUAAAUUUAUAUGAAAUUAGUAUUAUUGGUGAAAAAAAAUCACAUCUAGCGUGGAUUGAUCCAUUGCUUGACUUUUAUAAAACAAUGUACCACAUUUAAAAAUUGAGAAAAAGAAGCCAACAGUUAAACGUAAGAAGCUUUAAAGAUGUGAUGAAUUUUAUAGAUAUUUUUGAAAAAGUGAUCGCGUAAGGUGUAGGAGGGGUAGUAUAAAAGAGGUGUUAUAUAUGGUUGAUUGAAGCAUAGAAAACAUUGGUAGGUUAUAUGAAAAAGAAGAUGGGAAACUGUGGGAUGCUAGUUUUGUUGGUUAUGCUACUAAUUUCGGAGCCUACAACACUUGCUGAGUUCAGCAGUGAAGGUUCACUUGUGCAACAUAUGAAGACAGUACGUCUUGCUGCCAUUUUUGUAAACCCUAGAAAACCGCCUCGCAUCCCUAUCCCGGGGACUCCAAACCCUAGAACUCAUCCUAGGCCGCCUCCGACACACUGACCUAAAAACCACUAUGCUCCGUUGCCGUAGCCUAACCCUAUUUUUCAUCAUAAACAAUCUUUCUCAUCUUUCACUAAAUAAAUAAACAAACAUCUUCACUUUCUUCUUUCUCUUUUAUAACUAAAUUGUACUCCUAAACAAAUUUAUAUAUCUUUUUUGCAACUUCCUUUGUUAGUUUGAUGAUAUGUAAUAUUCAAAUUUAUCUCGAGUUGAGUAUAUUUUUAGUAUUUCUUACAAUAGAUUCAAUUAUCAUUAACAUUAUUAGACACAAAAGCAUAUCUAUUUAUUCUUUUAUUUAUGAAAAGCUUUUUAUCCAAGACAAGAUUUGUUUCCAUACCCAAACUAACCAACUAAUUACCAAUAUUCAAUUAAGAUCCUGAAAAGAAAAAGUAAUAAAUUAUACUCAAUUUAUAAAUUAGUAGCUUCUAUUUAAAAUUAAUAAGGAUUUUUCUCAAAUUAAAGUUGUUUUCAGCCAGUUUGAGAUGUCAAUUAUGAAACUGACAUAUAUGCAACAACAUAAAAAGUGUCAAUUUUUUAAGUCAGUUUUUUUAACCUAAUAUAGAAAAUGUGAUUUUCCACUUUUUUUAUUUUUAUUCAGUUGCUAUUUGAUCUCUGUGAAUGACUCACAAAGCCAGUUUCAGAAGAGUGGGAAAAAUGUGUGAUUUUGUUGGGUGAGGGCUUGGGGAAGAAGCCCUUAACACUACACCAAAAUGUUUAAUAGAGAGCAUUUUUUUAAUAAUGGACAGGGUUUUUUAGCGCUUUCUAUUAGAACGAUGUCUACUAAUAAAUAGUGCAUUCUAAUGGCACUUUAUAGACAAUGCUUCGAAAAAAUAUACGCUUUUUAUAUAUUUUUCAAAAGGGUAAUGAUAUUUUAACAAUACUUUUUGACAACUUUUUUUACAAUGGAAUACGUGUCAUCACUUUAUUGAUCUAUUUGAAUUUACGUUUAAAAAGUAUUUAAAACAGAUCAAUCACAAGCUGACACGUAUGUGUUGUCAAAAAAUUGUUAAAAAAAUAUUGUUAAAAGAAAUUUUUCCUUUUCAAAAGACAACUUUUUACGAAAAGUGUUUUCUAUCAGAUCACUCGUAGGGCUUGUUUUUCCAAUGCACUCUCUAUGUAUGGUUUAAAUAGACAACGCUUCCUACAAAAAGUGUUCUUUAUCACUCUUCUAUAGAUACUGAAUUAUGCUUUAAUAGACGACGUUUUUUCAAACAAACAUUCUCUAUUGUUUCAAUUUUUUUUUUUUAUAAUCUAUUUAGUUUUUCAUCCAACGCCCCAGAUUUUGUAAUCUUUUUUUUAAAAAAAAAAACCCAUAACAAUAAAUAAGUGAUGUUAACCAAUAGGUGUGGCAAAAUUAUUUCUGUUUCUUUCGAUGUAUAGGACAGUGUUGGAAAGGAUAUAUUUAUUCUUUUGCAUUUAUGCAUGAGCGUCAGUGAAGAUUGUAUUUUUUAACCCUUUUGCAUGGAUGCAGUAGCUAUUAGGAAGAGAAAGUAUUAUAUGAAAUUUUAUUCAUGCAUGGGAUGGGUUGUAGAGAACAUUUUGGUGUAGGCGGAGGAAAUAAAAUCCUCAGACACACAAAAAUAUAAUUGCUUCGCAUGUUUUUAAGGGGUAUAUCUACAUACCCUUAAAACCCACCGUUUUAUAUCUUAGUUACUAAGGCUAUUUUAGGAAGCAAAAUGAACCUAGAUAGGAAAUUGUUGGGCAGGGUAUUAGAUGGGUGUUAGGGUUAGGGUAGAGGAGAGUAACAUAUAAGAAGAUUUUAAGUAACAAGAGGGGACACACUAAACCUAAAGGGGCAGCGGUAGAAACAGAAGGCGGCAUAGGAAACUUUAGAUUCAUCUUUUCCUUGAGAACCUAGAGGCUUUGAUGUGGGAUCGUUCUGUGUUGCCGUGGAGGAAGAGGGAUUCUUUUAAAGGGAUGCUGAGAACCUAGGAGGGUGUAGCAAAUCACUGGAAGCCAUAAAUUAUCUUCGGUCGUGUGAUGCGGGAAGAUAAUGAUUUGGCAAUGAUGACUCUUUCAGUCGUGUGAUGUGGAAAAGAAACUUCGACGGUGUAAUGUGGGAAGAUGAUGAUUCGGUAGUGACGACUCUUUCGGUCGUGUGAUGCAGAAAAGAACUUCUAUUUAGUCGUGUGAUUAGGUGGUGUGGCUGUGUGGGAGUGUAGAGAAAAUAGAGCAUUGAGUUGUUAUGUUAUUGUUGUUAUAUUAUUGUUGUGAUGCUAAUGUUGUUAUGAUAUAUGUUUAUGAUUUGAUUAUUGUUAUAGUUAAUAUGAUUAUUGUAUAUUGUGUGAUAUGAUAAUUCCGGUUGCUCACCCUGAAAUAUUGUGGUUUUGGUUUCCAUUUUCGAUGAUCGUACUUAUACGGGAGUAGAUAAUUUGCAGAUAAGAUCGGAUCUGAGUAGUUGACGAGAUGUUAUGUUCGGGGAUUUAUUAUUUAUUUUUUAUUAUUUAAAAGUUUGCCGAUUUGUUACUUUUAUGCAAAAGUAAUAUUAUGAGAUUUCCCGACAAUAUUUAUGAUUAUGUUUAGAUUUCAUAAAUGUAUUAUAAAAAGGUUUAAAAAAAAUUGCACCUGGACUUCUAAAAAAUAAAUAAAAUAAAAAAAAAUGGGAUGUUACGUUUGGUAUCAGAGCUUGCCUGGUUAUCAAAAUUUUGUUUACUUCAGUUUAUUAAUAAAAAAUUAUUAUCAGAACAAUAAGGAAAAAAACAUAAAUAGUAAGGCUACCAGAUAUAGCUUUCUAACAUGUUGCCAAUAAUUUCCUAUUUUUAACAUGUUGGUAGUCAGACAUAGCUCUUUAGGUUGUGCAAUUCCAUUAAAACUGCAAUUUAAAUCAUUCAGAGUCCACUAUAUAAUGACUUCAUGGUUGAACUCACUCUUAGUUAGAGUCCAAUGUAGUUUUACAAGUCAAUAGAUUCAAAUUAGCAUGAGUAAUGACUUUUGAUAUUACAUACAAAUUUUAAUUUCUUACAUACAAAUUGUAUCCUUAGGUAAAAUUCCUGCCUAAACACACCAACAUUACAUACAAAUUUUAUGUACAAAUAUGUCGAUAGGUAAAAUCUGUAUGCAACUUGUUUUUCAUGAGCCGUAUAUAAAAUUCAUAUGUAAUACCUAUGUUACAUACAAAUCAAAAUUCGUAUGUAAAUAUCGAUAGGUAAUAACCAUUUUUUUGUUGUGAUUAAAAUGAAAUGUAUAGAUUCAAAUUAGCAUGAGUAAUGACAUAUUUUUAUAAGAUAAUAUACAAGUAUAACAUACUAACCUAUAAUAAAUAUUUACUAAUAAGAUAUUAACAUGAAUCUUCCAUAACUUCAAUGAUUUGAUUAUUGACAUCUGCAAUUAGGAAAAUACUACGACAAAGAAAAAUAAUAUAAAAUUAGUCAAUUAAAAUUCUACCACAAAUUAAUUAUAUAUACAAUCAAUAUAACUUGCAUUGAUUGACAUUGUCUCUCCUUCACAAAAGGUGAUAAUUUCCUUCAUAUAGCAACAAAUGUAAUACCCAUAAUCAUUGUUGUUGGCUUGUUUUGGACACUAGAAAACUAAAAGUAAAAAACAUCAAUAAAAUUGGUAUGAACAACAUCAAUUGAUCUUGAAAUAAAAAAUUGUAAUCUAUCUUAAUUGGUAUCUACUUGAUAUGGUUUAAUUUGAACUUUAAAACCAUAUUUUCUUUUUUGAGCUCGAUAGGUUUGUAUAACCUUAGUUAACAAAUAAAAGUAAAGCAUAUAUGAGUAAAAAAAAAUACAACUACAAGUAUACAUAUAUUUGAAUCACACGUAUAUUCUUACAUGUCAAACAACUUCUUCAAAUCUUGCGUCAUAUUGAUGUCUUUCGCCAAUGGAUUAAGAUAGUGAAUUAUCUCAUUCAAGAUGAUUCCGAACAAGACCCAAUGAUGGCUAAAAUUUGAAACGAAUCACAAAAUUAGAAUUCAUGCAUCUAACUUUGAAAAUAAUUAGUAAAGUUGGAAAGAAAGGUAUUGUCCUAUAUUGAUAGGUGCAAGAACAAACAUAUAAAUCACCCCAUUAUCAAGAAAAAUAAUGACUAUUUUUUGCAUUCUCUCUUUCAUUGAAAGUUCAUGUGUUGUUAUUUGGGGUGAUGAAAAUAAGAAAUCCUCAUGAUUUGGCUUAUAAAAUUUUGAUAUAUAUUUAUUCCGUCAGGCUUAAUCAUAACCACAUGUCACAUGUUAUACGAGUUGCUUUGCAUACCAUAUAGAUAUAUUCUAUAAGUAGACAAAGCAAGAUAUGAGUUUCGUACUUCUUUCUCAAAAUUAGGAUAAUCAUGGUCAACUUUUUCCCAUUAAAGAUAGAUAGAAUGUGGAAACUUUCCAUCAGUUAUCCUUUCCUCCACAUGUAAUCUUAAGUUGUUUACAUAAUUUGACACAUUUAAACUCAAAUGUCAAUUCUUAAACAUCACUUAAUAUAUAAAAAAUUAAACACAAUAACAAAUUUCAAUUUUAAUGUAUAUAAAGAGUCAUGAAAGCAUCAAAGCCCAUAAUAUGUCUACAUUUAAGAAAUAAAACUAAACAGUUGUGUGAUGAAAAUGUUUACUCGGUCAAUUAGGAUUAAUGAGUAUAGAGGAGGAUCAAGUUUGGCAAAAUUUAAAAUAUUACUUAACGACAAAAGAUUGAUAGAUGUAUCUCAAAAAUGCAUUACAGAAAGAAAACAAAGGCAAUGGUUAGCUUCAAAAAGCCGAAACACCCAAAAUUAUUUUCUAGCAAAUUUCCAGUAUGCACUAGAAAACUGGAAAAGGCCUUUCUCUCUUAUCUAAUAUUAAAUCUAACAAACAGCAUAGCUACAACCCAUGCUUCGAACUUUCAGUAAUAAACUGCAAAAACGAAUACAAACGUGAUAUAUUUUAAAAUUAACCUUUAAAUUUUAAUGUAAUGUAGGCUAGUUAAAAUCCCAUCUAACCCCUUCUAUCACUAUAUUCUAUAUAUUACCAGUUCUACCCUUGUCAAUCUCCCUUUUUUCGGUUUUGUUUAAUUGCUUUUUAGAAAACUUUUUGUAAUUUUUAGAACAUGGAUUAUGGUUAUUCUUAUUUUAUUUUUCUCUUUUUAAUAGACUAUUGCAUAUGAUUAUCGAAGCACGGCAUCUUAAUUAGGUUGACGCAUAUUCAAAAUAAUCUAGCAUAAAUUUAUAAAAAAAAAAAAAAAAAAACUAAAACACUUGUAAAAUUACAUGUAAUAUCCUCUCUCUCUCUUUUUAUAUAUAUAUAUAUAUAUAUAUGGGGUUUGCUAACUUGCGUACGCCUAUUUUUCAGUUGGUACAUUUUAGCAAUGUGUACCGGGUUUCGGUAGACAAAAAUACCCUUAUAUCAUGAAUUCUAAGUUUUAAGGUUAAGGAUAUUUUAAUAAUUUUCAUUCUCAAAAUUAAAAAAAAAAAAAAAAUCUCCCCAAACCCUUGCUCACCUCUCUCAUUCCUCUCAACCCUUUCUCUUUCAUCUUUUUUACUCCAACCUUUUCUUCUCUCUGUCAUCCUUACUCUAGCCCCAAUUGAAAAAAAUCAGAAAUACUUGCCUUAUUUUAAUAAUUUUCAUUCUCAAAACUAAAAAAAGAAACCCCAAACCCUUACUCACCUCCUUCAUCUCUCAAUCCUUUCUCCUUCAUCUCUCUCACUCAAACAUUUUCUCUGUCAUCUUUGUACUAGCCCCAACUAAAAAAACACUCAUUAUUAAAUAAAAUGGUUAGAGAAAAANNNNNNNNNNNNNNNNNNNNNNNNNNNNNNNNNNNNNNNNNNNNNNNNNNNNNNNNNNNNNNNNNNNNNNNNNNNNNNNNNNNNNNNNNNNNNNNNNNNNNNNNNNNNNNNNNNNNNNNNNNNNNNNNNNNNNNNNNNNNNNNNNNNNNNNNNNNNNNNNNNNNNNNNNNNNNNNNNNNNNNNNNNNNNNNNNNNNNNNNNNNNNNNNNNNNNNNNNNNNNNNNNNNNNNNNNNNNNNNNNNNNNNNNNNNNNNNNNNNNNNNNNNNNNNNNNNNNNNNNNNNNNNNNNNNNNNNNNNNNNNNNNNNNNNNNNNNNNNNNNNNNNNNNNNNNNNNNNNNNNNNNNNNNNNNNNNNNNNNNNNNNNNNNNNNNNNNNNNNNNNNNNNNNNNNNNNNNNNNNNNNNNNNNNNNNNNNNNNNNNNNNNNNNNNNNNNNNNNNNNNNNNNNNNNNNNNNNNNNNNNNNNNNNNNNNNNNNNNNNNNNNNNNNNNNNNNNNNNNNNNNNNNNNNNNNNNNNNNNNNNNNNNNNNNNNNNNNNNNNNNNNNNNNNNNNNNNNNNNNNNNNNNNNNNNNNNNNNNNNNNNNNNNNNNNNNNNNNNNNNNNNNNNNNNNNNNNNNNNNNNNNNNNNNNNNNNNNNNNNNNNNNNNNNNNNNNNNNNNNNNNNNNNNNNNNNNNNNNNNNNNNNNNNNNNNNNNNNNNNNNNNNNNNNNNNNNNNNNNNNNNNNNNNNNNNNNNNNNNNNNNNNNNNNNNNNNNNNNNNNNNNNNNNNNNNNNNNNNNNNNNNNNNNNNNNNNNNNNNNNNNNNNNNNNNNNNNNNNNNNNNNNNNNNNNNNNNNNNNNNNNNNNNNNNNNNNNNNNNNNNNNNNNNNNNNNNNNNNNNNNNNNNNNNNNNNNNNNNNNNNNNNNNNNNCUGUACAUAAGAAUUAUCUUAGACUUUAAAUUUUAUUAAUAAAAUUGCCGGCUUUGACCACAAAAGUCUAAUAACCAUAAAAAAUCAAACUUCCACACUUUGGCUUUGACCACUUUACUAGUGUUGCCGAGUCAUCAAUAUUUCAGUUUCCUGUUUUCAGAGUAUUAUUUAAUAAACCAAGUGACGCCUAUAUAUUGUCUACUUCGUUGCUCCUCGCCAACUCUGUUCUUUCUAUUCUUACACCCUUCUCUGCAAACAUGUUGCGGUUGCCUUAUGCUAUUGUUUUCCUUUUGACUGCAGCAUUUGUGGUGUUAUGCUCAUGUGGUUGCAAUGAAGAAGAAAGGCAAGCUCUUCUAAAGAUCAAAGGAAGCUUCAAAGAUCCUUCAAGCCUUUCAUCUUGGGAAGGAACUAAUUGUUGCCAAUGGAAAGGUGUAGGUUGCAAUAAUCUUACAGGCCAUGUUGUCAAGCUUGAUCUCAGAAAUCCUUGUUAUCCCUUACAAGGAGAUUUUCAACCAAAUUGUAAGUUUUACGAUCAUGUCCUUGAAGCUCAACAUGUUCACCCUUCUAUAUUGCAGCUUAAAUAUCUAACUUACUUAGAUUUAAGUGGAAACAGAUUUCAUAAUAGUUCAAUACCAUCGUCCAUUCAAACGCUGCAGCAUCUGCAAUUCCUUUAUCUCUCUGAUAGUCAGUUUAGUGGUAGGAUCCCAUACAAUCUUGGGAAUCUCACUAAAUUGCUCAUUCUUGAUUUGAGCUUCAAUCAUCAUCUGUAUGCGAAUGACUUCUACUGGAUUUCUCAACUUUCAUCCCUCCAAUACCUUUACAUGAGUGAUGUGAAUCUUGAUAAAGCACAAAAUUUGUUGCAGUCACUCAACAUGCUUCCUUCUUUGAUAGAAAUAGAUUUGAGAAAUUGUGGACUCGAUAAAUUGCACACCCAUCAACAUAUUAGCACCACAAACCUUUCCAGACUGGAAUACCUCAAUCUAGCAGAAAAUGGACUUCAGACUCCGUUUCUGGAUGCUUUUCAAAAUAUGACUUCCAUUGCAAUCAUUGAACUUUCUCACAACAACCUGAAUUCCACUCCCUUCUGGUUGGAAACCUGUGCUAACCUCGUCAGUCUAUUUCUUGAUAGUAAUGCUCUUUAUGGCUCACUUCCAUCUGCUUUGCAGAAUCUGACUUCCCUGGUUUCUCUCGACCUUUCACAAAACAAGUUUGAUUCUGUUCCGGGUUGGUUAGGUGAGUUAAGGGGUCUUCAAUACCUCAAUCUUUCAAGUAAUGAUGUCAAUCAUAUUGAGGGAUCUCUGGCAUCUCUUCUGGGAAACUGUUGCCAUCUUCAACAAUUAUAUAUGUCAAGAAACAAAAUUCAAAGUGAUGCACUUGGAAACCAUAUACAUUUUGAAUGCAUUAGGCACGAUUUAAUGUACUUGGAUUUAAGUUACAACGAAUGUAAUGGUCCUUUGCCAGCAUGGUUGGGACAGCUUGAAAAUCUAAGUUCAUUGAUUAUGACUGACAGUAACUUGGUGGGAUCACUUCCUUGUGCUAUGAUAACAAAACUUGUCAAUCUGGAGAAUUUGGUGCUUUCCAACAAUAACUUCAAUGGUUCUCUUCCUGACUGUAUCGGAGAACUUGUCAGUUUAAAAAUUUUAAUUCUUUCUUCCAAUCAUUUUGAUGGGGUCAUUCCAAGAAGUUUAGUGCAACUUGUAAGCCUAACAGAUAUAGAUCUUUCACGAAACUCUUUAAAUGGUACCAUUCCUCACAAUAUUGGUCAACUUCAAAAUUUGUCGACCCUCUAUCUUUUUGAAAAUAAGUUACACGGAAACAUUCCUUUCAGUCUUAGUCAGCUUCUAAACCUUCAGGACUUAGACAUAUCCCUAAAUCAUUUGGAGAAUUUGGUGUCUGACAUAAGAUGGCCAAGGCAACUUGUCUACUUAAAUCUCACGGAUAAUCGUAUCAGUGGGUCACUUCCCCAUGAUAUUUCUGAUAGCUUGCCCAAUGUCGGAUACUUGCUUCUUGGAAACAACCUCAUAAGUGGUCCUAUUCCAAACUCAUUGUGCAGAAUAGGCUCCUUGUACAAUCUUGACCUUUCAGGAAACAUGUUAGUUGGUGAAAUUCCUAACUGUUGGAGUGUUACUCAAAGACUCGGUGUCAUAAAUUUGGCAUCCAACAAAUUAUCAGGUGUCAUUCCUAGCUCUCUUGGUAAUCUACCCACGUUGGCAUGGUUACAUUUGAACAAUAACAGCCUUCAUGGGGGCUUUCCAUCAUCUUUGAAAAAUUUAAAUCAACUUUUAAUUUUGAAUGUUGGAGAGAAUGAUUUGUCUGGGAUUAUCCCUUCAUGGAUGGGGAAUAUCUUUUCCUCGAUGCAGAUUCUAAGGCUACGGCAAAACAGGUUGAAUGGAACAAUUCCUUUACAAUUAUGCCAACUUUCUGCACUGCAAAUUUUGGAUCUUUCAAACAACAACUUGAUGGGUCCAAUCCCUCAUUGCAUAGGAAAUCUCACAGGUAUGGCCUCAAAAAAGAAUAUUUCUUUAAAUCAACCUACUAGAACUGUUGAAUGGUAUGAACAAGACGUUAGAGUGGUCAUGAAAGGAAGAGAACUUGAGUAUACCAGAAAUCUAAAACUUGUGGUACACUUGGACUUGUCAAAUAACAAUUUGAUUGGAUCUAUUCCAGAAGGAAUAACAUCACUUCAUGCAUUGCAUGGCCUAAAUCUAUCACACAAUCGUUUGUCAGGACAUAUCCCCAAAAGAAUUGGAGACAUGAAAUCACUAGAAUCUCUUGACCUCUCUCUUGACCAACUUUCUGGUGCAAUUUCAGAAAGCAUAACUAGUUUAAGUUGGUUAAGCUACUUAAAUUUGUCCUACAACAACCUUUCAGGACCAAUCCCCCAAGGACCUCAAUUA
rnacentral:lncRNA from 1 species